rnacentral:lncRNA from 1 species
GGAUAAAGCUGGGAACUCGCAAAACUCAAAAGACCGUAAACCUGACCAAGGCAUGUGACAAUCUGCUGCAAAAUCAAUCAAAAAUCUAACCUCCAUGUACUUCUCCGUAGACGCUGCAGCUUUCCAGAUUAGUCCCUCAAUUUCAUAACAUCAUCCAUGUCCCAUCAUCGCUGAGUCUCAUCGAUAAAACCAGUGCUAAGGACCUUCUAGACUCGUUCCCAUACUUAUACCUCAACAAAUUGACCAUACUACACAAAAGUACCUUUCCUCUCCCCCGAACUUAUUCACUUUUCAAGCUGUUUCGUUUUUUUUUUCGGCACAUAUAACAAGGUUCAAAGACGCGAGUAUUGAUGGUGAUUGCCACCGAAUCCCCGGUUUGUCCCCUCAUCAUAUAUCAAAGGUGUAGGCGAAUAAUGGGGUCACAGGAAAUUUUCCUACCCCUCGCUUCCAUCCCUUGUGUGAUCAUUCCACUUUAGAAGUAAAAUAAUGGGAUCCUUGGAAAUUUUCCUAACCCUUUACUUCUAAAAGAAAAUCAUUUCAAUCUUUUCUGCCUUUUGAUCAUAUUUUUUUUUUUUUUUUUUUUUUUUUUUUUAGAAACAGCCUGAAACAAUGCUUAGAACAUAAGAGAGGAAUACCAAAUCUAUCACACAGGUCUUUAUUUGUCAGGUAAGAAUGAGGAGUCAAGCCCUAUGAGCACUAACCUGAUCGAUGAGGAAAAUGAAGAGCUGAAAAAUUAGCUCAGGUUCAAUGGAUGUGUCAAGAAUUUUGGGCUCCUCUAGUCUACUGCUUUGUCUUUGGAUUUUCCAUUAGUCGAUCUAGAUGAUUCUGCAGCAAUAAUCACUAGAAGAAGAUGGUCAAGAUUCACAAAUGGUCUGAAAUCAUCAUAGAAUUGGUCCUAAUUCCCACGAGCUUUGACUUGACUCAUAUAACAAACUGACUCAAAGAAACAAAAUAACUCAAAGAAACAAACUAAAACUGACUCAAGAAAAACACAAGAAAAUGCAAAAGAUGACAAGAUCCUCCCCCGAACUUAUUAUACACCGUCCCUGGUGUACAAAUAGGAGCAGAGAAAAAUCCUGUCGAAACAAAUAAAAGAAAAGAAACCAAGGCGGAUAAUACAAUGGUGGUAGAGAGAUGUUACUAGCGGUCAGUGAGUGGUGGUGUCCUCCGGGCUCUCACUACCAGAUCCACCAGUGCGACGUCUGCGUCUCGGGUGCCUCUCCGGAGAACUGGCUGCGGUCGCUGUGCUGCUACGACAUCCACUGGUAAGCAUCUGCAACAACCUCUUCAUGAGGCUGUUGUUCUUCUUUGUAGACGCGACCAUCCACCUCCGAAACUCUGCAUCAUCAGGAUCAUCAGAGAUAGGAGCCAAAUCGAACUCACCAGCAUCAGCUGAAACGUAGUCAGGCAGCUCCUCAUCUCCCUGCGGUGAAUGGGGAUAGCGUGAAGAACUGGCGCGAGCAGGUGCUCCGGAACUCGAAGCAGGUGCUCCAGAAUUCGGAGCGGGUGCUCCGUCGUGUGCUGCAUCAGCUAAAAGUGGCACCUCCAUCAGGAAACGCAGAUUAGCUGCAGUGUUUAGUGCAGUCAUGGCAGGAUUUGGGCGAGGCGUGCGCUGUGCAACUCCGUAAGCACCUUUGUAGCUGUAGGUGUUCUCAUCGCAUAGAAAACCUGAAGUCAGCAGAUGGGCUGUGUCCAUUUUCCUUCGGCUCACAUCUUUGGUAGCAUACCGAAGAGGAAUAUGAGCAAAAGUGAAAAGCGCUGUGAGGAGACUUCCAAUGUAAAUGACCUGCGAACUCCCAAAAGGUUUGGCCCUCACUGCGCAUAUGGUUUGCGCCAGCUGAACUCCAAAGUUGAUACUGUGCUCGACCGGGACGCUGACGCUGUAAGAGUCUGCAACCAAAUCACCACAACCAAAGUAAAGCAACAUCAAAACAUCCAGCGCUACCUUAUUCCCAGAAUCACGGUUGAACAGCAUGUUGUUGAAGAUUUUCGCACAGAUGCGAACAGCUGGGUGGCGAAUGACUGAUACGCUUGCCGUGUUCGACUUGUAGUGGCCGGAGGCGAUGGUUUGCCAAAAUUGGUUGGCAACCUCGAACUUACUCGGGAAACGCAGCUCUUUAUCCUCGUCAUGAAACCCGUAAGCAGUGCAAAACGUCGCCAUGUCGAUGCUGUAGCGCUUCCCUUCAGCAAAGAAAGUGAAAGUCGCUUCAUCGGCCUUUGGCUUCGUCGGAUUUGCGUACCGCAACUUUGCAGAUGCGAGGCAUUGGCGGACCAGAUCAGGGUAGAGAUCGUCGUCCUCGAAAGCGAGUUGCGUCAGCUUCGUGUUGCGCAGGAUGAUGCUCACCUCAUCGAAGAUUCCCAACCGUUUUAGUGUGUCUAUGCACAUCACUAAGGUUGGUUGCAGUUUGAUGUUGAGCAGCUUGUUGUAAUAGAACGAGUCCGUUUGGUCCCACUGCUCGUCCGAGUGUUCGGGUAUCAACUCAUCAGGCAAUUCGAUCAGUGUGUUUUCUUCGCGAGGCCAUGGAUACGUCGAUGGGGUAGGUUUAUUUCCCUCACCGUUCUUCUUCUUUCCCUUCUUCCUGAACAUUGUUCUGGGAGGUAUUCCUGGAACAACAUUGAAGAAGAAAACAAUUAAGCCCAUAGAAAAUCUCCAACCUAAUUUUUCGAGCAGAGUUUUGCAUGUGUGUAUGUAGAACGGAUAAUCACAUAGAUGUAAACUGAUGCUGCUCUAGAACCUCAACAACAUGCGCAUAAGUCGAAAUCAACACAUAGAUAGAAGUAAGCACCCUUUUAAAAAUUUCGCCAAAAUAUUAAAAAGGGAAUUGCGAGUCAUACCUUUGCUGGGUGUCGAAAUUGGUUGCAGAAACGGAGAGAGGACGAAAAACCGAUGAACUUAGACUCAAAAACGUUGAAAUCGGUGAAGUUUUGAAAAAUCUGGGAUUUGAGCUCAAGUAUCAAGUAUGGCGAAAAAGAAAGGAGGAAGGAGGAGGUGUUUAUGGGUCGCAAAACUCAAGUUAAGAAACCAAGGGAAACUCAGGUAGGGUAAAAUUCUGUGUAAAAUAAAUCUUUUGGUAAAAUUUGCACACUAGCCCCUGCGUUCCCAUUAAAACUCCAAUUUUCCCAAAAACUUACCUGGAAGCGCCAAACACCCUGGCAGAGCAAGUGCUCCAAACUAGAGCAGGGUGCUCGUUCGUCGCAUUCUACGUGGUGAGCAACCAACCUAGUAGAUGGAGCAGGUGCUCCGGUGGGUUGCUCCCUCCUUCUUCUUCUUUUCACCUCCAUCGCUGAAAACCUCUCUACCUGCUUUAUCUUUUUUCUUUUUUUUUUUCUUUUUUUUUUUUUUUUUUAACACAAAGAACCUAAAAACAAAGUUAGUAGCUAAGAAUUGAAAGACACAAAGUUAGAGACUCUUACCGGUGGGUUGCCUCCCACCAAGCGCUUGUUUUAAGUCAUUAGCUUGACUUGGAAAACCAUUUAGGCUUGAGGAGGAUCGCUUAAGGUGACUGAUUCACCUUCUGCGAUAUUUGGACCAGCAAGGUAUGGUUUCAACCUCUGUCCAUUGACAACAAACUCGCCUCCUUUAGUGUCCAGCAACACUACAGCUCCAUAUGGUCGAGCCUCCUUGAUGGUGAAUGGUCCAGACCAUCUCGAUCUCAGCUUCCCUGGAAACAAUUUCAAUCUAGAGUUAAAGAGAAAUACCUGAUCGUUUGGUGCAAAGCUUCUGUUGAGGAUCCUCUUGUCAUGAAAAGCUUUUGUCCUCUCUUUGUAAAUCUUCGAGUUUUCAUAGGCCAGGUGCCUAAUUUCUUCCAGCUCAUGUAACUGCAUUACUCUCCUCUCCUGAGCACUCUUUGCAUCGAAAUUCAGCAGCUUCACUGCCCAAGCAGCUUUGUACUCAAGUUCCACUGGAAGAUGACAUGCUUUUCCAUACACCAAGUGGAAUGGUGUAGUCCCCAAAGGUGUUUUGUAAGCUGUUCUGUAUGCCCAAAGAGCAUCAUCAAGCUUCACUGCCCAAUCCUUCCUUGUGGUGCUCACAGUCUUCUGCAGAAUGUUCUUGAUUUCCCUGUUGGAAACCUCAACUUGCCCACUCGUCUGAGGAUGGUAUGGGGUCGCCACCUUAUGCCUUACACCAUUCUUCUUCAACAAGUUUUCAAAGACUUUGUUGAUGAAGUGAGAGCCUCCAUCGCUAAUCACCACUCGCGGCACACCAAACCUGGGAAAAAUGACAGAUUUGAACAUCUUUAAAAUCACCUUUGCGUCAUUUGUGGGACUAGCCAGAGCUUCCACCCACUUUGACACAUAGUCAACUGCCACCAGAAUAUACUCAUUCCCAUAAGAUGAUGGAAAAGGUCCCAUGAAGUCUAUACACCACACAUCGAAAAUCUCUACUUCCAAGAUGAAAUUCUGAGGCAUCUCAUUCCUCCUGCUGAUGUUCCCUUGUCUCUGACAUGUGUCACACCUGGAGAUAAAACUCGCUGCAUCUCGGAACAUCAUCGGCCACCAAUACCCAGCUUGGAGAAUUUUCGACACAGUCUUGAAAGUGGCGAAGUGACCUGCAUAAGAGGAUCCAUGGCAAUGAAACAACACUCCUGGUAUCUCCUCGUCAGCUACACAUCUUCUGAAGAUUCCAUCAGAGCAAUGCCUGUAUAAAUAAGGCUCAUCCCAAAAGUAGUGCCUCACAUCCUUUAGAAACUUCUUCUUUUUGUUUCCCACAAAACCUGCAGGUUCCUGCUCUGCAGCAAGGUAAUUUGCAAUCUCUCCAAACCAUGGGAAACCAGAAUGCCGAUCUAUGUCAACUUGGUUGCAAAAACUCGUCAGAGCAGGUGCUCCGGUGGGGAGCAGGUGCUCGUCGAACCCAGAAACUUCUAUGGCGUAAACUUGUUCAUCAGGAAGGCUGUCAUUUAGUGGAAUGUCAUCAUCUAUCUUCAGCCUCGACAAGUGGUCUGCAACACCAUUAUCAAUCCCUUUUUUGUCUUUAAUCUCCAAAUCAAACUCCUGCAGCAAAAGGAUCCAUCGAAGGAGUCUUGGCUUGGCGUCCUUCUUCGUCAACAGGUAUUUCAGAGCUGCAUGGUCUGUGUGAACAACAACUUUCGACCCAACAAGGUAAGACCUGAACUUCUCAAAAGCAUAAACCACUGCAAGAAGCUCCUUUUCAGUUGUGGCAUAUUUGCACUGAGCCUCGUCGAGUGUUCGGCUAGCAUAAAUGACGUGGGGCCUCUUUUCUUUCCUCUGUCCCAGCACUGCUCCCACUGCAUAAUCGCUAGCAUCGGUCAUGACCUCAAAAGGUAGUUCCCAAUCUGGUGGCUGGACAAUAGGAGCGCUGACCAAAGCUCCUUUUAUCCUGUGAAAUGCCUCCAAACAUGCAUCAUCAAACUCGAAUUUCACAUCCUUGCACAGCAGCUGCGUCAGGGGCCUGGCAAUCUUCGAGAAAUCUUUGAUGAAGCGUCUGUAAAAACCUGCAUGGCCCAGAAAACUGCGAACCCCCUUGACUGAUGUUGGUGGCUGCAGACUCAUCAUCACCUCGAUCUUUGCCCUGUCCACCUCGAUCCCUUUCUCUGAGAUUUUGUGUCCCAGCACGAUCCCAUCUCUUACCAUGAAAUGGCAUUUCUCCCAGUUAAGCACCAGAUGCUUCUCCUCACACCGCUGCAAGACCCUGCACAGAUUAGAUAAACAGACAGAAAAGGAGCUUCCAUAGACAGAAAAAUCGUCCAUGAAAACUUUCAUUAUGUCUUCAAUCAGGUCAGUGAAAAUCGACAUCAUGCAGCGUUGGAAUGUUGCUGGAGCAUUACACAAGCCAAAUGGCAUUCUGCGAUAUGCAAAGGUGCCAUAAGGACAUGUGAAUGUCGUCUUCUCCUGGUCAUCCGGGUGGAUUGGGAUCUGAAAGAAACCUGAAUAACCAUCUAAGAAACAGUAAUAAGGAUGGUUAGCCAAGCGUUCAAGCAUCUGAUCGAUAAAUGGUAAAGGAAAAUGAUCUUUGCGAGUUGCAGCAUUCAAUUUCCUGUAAUCUAUGCACAUUCGAUGCCCAGUAACAGUUCUAGUUGGUAUCAAUUCAUCCCUAUCAUUUUUUAUCACAGUGAUACCACCUUUCUUAGGAACUACAUGAACCGGACUAACCCAAUUACUAUCUGAAAUUGCAUAGAUCACACCAGCUUCUAGAAGUUUCAUUAUCUCUUUCUUUACAACAUCUUGUAGAUUCGGGUUUAACCUCCUCUGAUGUUCUACAGAAGUCAUUGAUUCAUCUUCUAGAUGUAUUCUAUGCAUGCAAAGAUCAGGAGAAAUCCCUGGAAUUUCAUCUAGCGAAUAUCCUAUAGCUUUCCUAUACUUUCUAAUUUCACAAAGAAGCAAGGCAAUCUCUACAUUGUUCAAUUCAGAAUUCACUAUCACAGGGAAUGUCGAAUUGGGUCCUAGAAACGCGUACCUGAUCCCCACAGGAAGGGGUUUGAGCUCAAGCUUCGGAGCUCUCAAUUCGCUCCAAGGUCCAUCAAUCAAACCGUCGGGAGCAGGUGCUCCAGGAUUCAGAGCAGGUGCUCCGUCGGCUUUUUCUGCAGGUGAGCUCUCCUUGCCUUCUAAGCUCAUGUACGCCACCUGCCUUUGCAUCCUCGUGCUUGCAUUCAGCAUUUUUGCAAACCCAUUAGCUUCUUCACUCAAAUACCCAUGUUCUCCUUCAGCUUUGGUGAGUGCAACUUCGAGAGGAUCGAUGGCCAAAACCUCUUCAGCAACCUCUUCAGCAAUGCCUGAACCAUCAUCUAUGACAAAUGUCUGUCCGUCCAGCAUUGGUUUCUUGAAGAGUUUAUUCAUCUCAAAUCGCACCACCAUAUCUCCCAGCUGGAGAUCUAUCACUCCUUCUUUCACAUCUAUGAUUGCACCAGCUGUGCAUAAGAAGGAUCGACCCAAUAUCAAAGGAUCCUUGGGUUCUUCAUCAAGCUCCAGAACCACAAAAUCUGCUGGAAUGAGUGUAUCACCUAUCUGAACAUGAAGAUCUUCAAGUAUACCAACAGGGAAUUUGGUUGAUAUAUCAGCAAAUACCAGCGAGAUUUUCGUCGGUUUGAAUCUGGUGUAACCCAAUCGCUUGGCUACAGAGUAAGGCAUCAGAUUCACACUUGAACCUAGAUCGCAGAGAGACCUUGCAAAAAGUACAUUCCCAAUCCUGACUGAGAGAACAAACCUUCCUGGAUCACUUCUCUUCUUCAGCACUUUGUUCUGAAGCACAGCACUGCACUCCUUCGAAACCAUCAUGACACUCUCUUCCUCAACAGCUUUCCCAGACACUAACCCCUUCAUGUAUCUUUUAAGGGCUGGUAUCAUCUGAACAGCAUCAGCUAGAGAGAGUUUUACAGUCAAAUCCUUCAGCAUCUCCCUGCACUUUGCAUCCUCUAAGUCCUUGCGAGACUUCUUUGGUGGAACUGGGUAAGGUACCUUAGGCGUGUAAACUCUUGCAGGAAUGUUUGCUGGAGCAGGUGGCUGGAGCAGGUGCUCCCUCGUUGGCUCAGGGUGCUCCCUCGUCAAAUCUACGUCUGGAGCAGGUGCUCCAGAUUUUGGAGCAGAUGCUCCGAUGGAGGAAGAGUGCUCCUUCGUCUUUUUUACGUCAUGAGCUGGUUCCUCUUCUUGGAGCAGGUGCUCCACAUCCUUUUCCUUCCUCUUUUCUGAGACAGAGCUUGUUGGUGCAGCAUGUAGAGUCUUCCCACUUCUAAGCUCAAUAGCAUUCACAAACUCAUUCCUGGGGUUUUCACCUUUUCCAGGGAGAGUUCCAGGUGAUUUCUUCACAGCUUCUGCAGUCUGAGCUACCUGAACAUCCAGCUUCUUCACAUGAGUCCACACAGCCUCAUACUUGCCAUUCAAAUCAUUGUACAUGGUGUCCACUUUGGCAUUAAUCUCCAUGGAAGACUUUUGCUGAUUAACCAGCAGCUGUUGCAUCAAGUUUUUCAGCUCAUCCUGCGAGUUAUUUUAGGAACUCGAAGAAGGCUGUAGACUUGUGAAAGGCAACUUCUGCUGAUUUCCACCUUGAAAUCGAUUCUGAUUGGUGAUGAACUGCUUUCCUUGGAAGUUGCUGGAGAAGUUCUUCUGAAAUCCUGACUGAUUCUGCACUCCUUGCUGCGGAUAGACCUGAUCCUGAGGGUUCUCAACAUUGUUGCUUCUGUAGGAUAAAUUCGGGUGGCUUCUGAAGUUGUUGAAACUGCAAUUCUGCACAUACCCUUGUCCAUUCACGAAAUUUACCUCCAUCUGAUCAUUAUUCUCUGCAUCUACAAACUCUUGAGCAAGAGGUGCAUCACCGACCUCAUCAGCAAAAUGCACAGAUCUCUGGUUCUCUCUCAGCAGCAGAUUCACCUUUGCUGUAAGCUCAUCGAUUUUGCUCAACUCCACACUAUGAACUGAUUUGCUAGACCUGUCAUACUCUUGGGAUUUGUUGCUGGAGCUUGCAGCUAAGUUCUCAAUCAACUCAUAAGCAGCUUCUUUGGACUUAGUCAUGAAAUCGCCAUUGCUAGCUGCAUUCAAAGCAUUCCUGUAAUCCCAGUUGACACCAUCAUAAAAGGUUGACAGGAUCUGCUCAUCAGAGAACCCAUGGUGAGGGCACUCUCUUCGGUACUCCUUGUACCUCUCCCAAGCUUCGCAGAAAGCUUCACCAGGUUGCUGUUUAAACGACGAGAUCUUGUUCUUCAGAGCUGCAGUUUUGGCCUUAGUGUAGAAAUGGUCCAAAAAUGCUGAUCUGCACUCUUCCCAUGUAGUCAAUGACCCAGGUGGUAAUGACUUCAGCCAGCGCAAAGCUUUGUCCGCAAGUGAGAAUGGAAAAAGCUUGCACUUCAAGAAAUCGGCUGGUAUCCCAUUUGAUCCAGUCGUGCUGCAAAUCUCCUCAAAAUUCUCGAUGUGGUCCAUCGGAAUCUCAGCAGGAAGCCCAUGAAAGAGGUGCUGCUUCACCAAUGAGAUCAGCUGAGGUUUGAUCUCAAAGUCUUGCCUCUGAAUGGUUGGAGGAGCAAUCGCAGCCCUGUUGUGAUAGUAAGCGUGCGGACUGUCCUUGUCUCCAAUAGCAGGUUGUGGCUGCUCCCUGUCUUGCUGCGCCUUUUGCAGCUGCUCCAAUUGCUGUCGAAGCUGUUGAACCUCGACAGCGAUGUUGCCAUUGUUGCCUUGAUCGCCCAUGUUGGCUUGAAUAGGCCUUUGACGUCUGUUUUCUCGCUCGACUCUUGCUAGAUCGGUGUUCGACAAAGAAACAAGAUCGGUGCAGUUGCUCCUUGUGGAUAUGUUUGACAUACACCUGAAACACACGCAAACAAGAGAACAAGAGAGAAAAAUUAAUAAAGCCUUAGUCUGAAUUUCAAACCAAAAAUCAAAGGUAACGAAUUGGUCCCCGUCGCAACGGCGCCAAAAUUUGAUUCUCACUAGAUGUACUCCUAGUUUCUACUGCAAUAGAACAGUGAUGUAGUUGUAAUAUAAAGAAUUCGAAAUCCAGAGGACCAGUGUUACUCUAUGAAUUUGUGAGGAUUGAAUUAAAGCUAAGACGAAAGAUGGUUUGUUUUGAAAACUAAAAAGUAAACAGAAUGGCAAACAACGAUUUAAAUUCAAAUUAAAACAAGCACUAGACCAAAGCAAUUCGCAGGAAUUUCAGAGAUAAGAACCAGAUGACUAUUCAGGGCACAAGUGUAACGCAAUUCUCGAACUCAAACAGAAAAGCUUAUCGAUCCACUGUCGUGAUCUCGAUAACUUUGUCUAACAACCUAAAUCCUAAACUGUCGUUUGAACCUAGAAAAUUGCAGACAAGCAUUAGCUAGCAGGUUUGAUCUGUUCACAAUUUGCCUUAACUUCAACUGUCGUUGGCUAAGGACAAAUCGCUCACCAAUGUUUAUUCUAGCAACCUAUUACACUUUUGAUGAACAGAUUAACCUAAAAUCGCAGAUUGAGUGAUCAAUUCAACCUAAGCAUUAAGUCUAACAAUGGUGAAGACAAUAGAUAUCAAGCCCUAUUUGCAUCUAAUCCUUUAACUCAUGAAAUCCUUUGAACGCUUAAAUCUAGCUAAGAGAUCUACUCAGACAUGGAGAAAAGAAACACAAAAACAGAUGGAAAGGAAUUCAUGAAUUAAAAUCGCAGAAGAGAUAAUAGGGUUCAGAAUUCUUCUCAAAGUGUAGCAGAUUUCUUCUCCCAAAAGCUUACAAGUAAAAACUCUAUGGUUCAGGAAAUUGUAAAAAGAAAGCGUAGAAGUAAAGAUAGGCGGCUUGGACUCCUUUUAUUCCUUUCACGCGGCUUGAGAUUAGGUAAAGAUGUUUUCCUUAUUUUUCUCCCGUCUGGAGCAGGUGCUCCACGAAGGGUCCAAACCGGGAGCAGGUGCUCCGGGGAUGAUUUCUCCAAAAACGUGUGAAAUAGCUCCUUAUUGCUCAAAUUCAUCUCUUUUUGCUCCAAUGCCUCCUAAACACUCCAAUCCUUUGAUAAGGCCUCUAAGUCACCUGAAACUUCCUGAAAAGACUCUAAAAACUCCUAAACAAUUAGUAAACACAAGUUAGAAUGAGUCAAAAUCUCCACUCAUCAUAACUCUAGAGUUAUACCGCGAUAGAAGAUACCCAGCAGGUAUUCCUCGGUAUAUCCAUGGUGUGGACAAUCUCUUUGGUAUUCCCUAUAUCUUUCCCAAGUAUCUAAAAGAUCUUCAUCUUCUUUUUGUUUAUAAGUUCUUAUCUUGCUCCUUAAGAGAUUUGAACGAUUUCUAGUGUAAAAACAAUUUAGGGAAUGAUUUUAGUGAAGCAGGUGGCAAAGAUUUUAGCCAUUUGCUGGCAUUGUCUUUCAAAGAGAAUGGGAAAAGACUACACUUGUGGUAAUCCCCAUUUGCUGUAAUGGUUGCACAUAAUUCUUCAAACGUCUCGAUAUGGUCUAUCGGGUUUUCGAAUGAAUAACCAUAGAAUUGAUUUUGUUGAACUAAAUGGAUAUAAGGUACCUUGAUUUCGGUUUUGCCAUUCUCUGGUAAGGCUGGUUGAAUAGCUCUUCGAUCUCCCAAGAAUUUCUCGAGUGAAUCGAAACUUCCAAUCAGUUCUUCAUCAUCUUCAUGUUUUGCCAAUCCGACUAGCUCAUUGUCAUCAUAGAUCGGUUCUUCAAACUCAUCAUCAGUCAGGUCAUCAUUGCUUGGAUCACCAUCCACACGAUAUGGUGGAUCACCAAGAGUUCCGGGAACAUGUUCCCAGUCUCUCAUCUCAGAGAAACCUGAAAAAUUCAAAAGAAAAAGUAAAAAUAAACAACUGUUCUAAUGGAUUUAAGCUGGGAUUCGCAACGAAACAAAUCAAAGUCCCCGGCAACAGCGCCAAAAAAUUGAUUGCAAUUUGUAAACGGGGUUUGUUGUUUUCGUUUUACUAAGCUUCAGGUUUUAAAUUUAUAACCCCUAAAUGUCUGCAAGUGCACAGAUGUGCGCUGUAGUACUUAGGAUAUCGAUCCACAGAGACUUAGUUGUUUCAGUACGAAUUCACGGCAAUGCUUAAAUCAGACUAUAACUAAAUAGUUUGGGGCUUUGGUUUUGGGUUUUUGGUUGUCACUAAAUCUAAACUAGAAAACUAAACAAGUAAAAACAAUUAAAAACGAAAGCAAGUGCAAGCAACUAAAAAUCGAUUAUGAAUGAAAGCAAGUAACAAGCGAAUGAAAGCAGAAUGGAAAUCGAAGGUUGUAAGCAAUGAAAGACAAACGUUGGGGCUCAAGGGGUUUCGCAGGGGUUCAUGGACUAAGCUAUGUCGAUUUUAACCAAGUGAUAAAGGUAAUCAACUACGUAUGUUCUAGAACUCGAGGCACGGAAGUAUGAAUAGCCUACUUUCGCAGCACUAAACAACUAUCUCUCGCAACCCUGAUCAGUAGGUUUCCACUCUGUUCCUGGAAGGGAGAAGAUGCAAUAGCAGAAUAAGACUCAUCAACAUUCACAGCUCAACUACAGGUAGGUUUCCACUCCUAUAGAAUAAUCGCUCGUUUCACCCUAGUUCAGACAAUCAAUGAAAACUUUCGCCACAUAUCAUAUCAGAUCGGCUUUUAAGUGGCCAGCAAAGAAUCAUGCAGUAAGAUUAAAGGCAAACGAAGAACAUCUAGAAGAUUAAUAAUCCUAAAUCUAUCGAUUUAUAAGCAAAGACACAUGAAAUUCCCUUUGAAUAAUCCCUUUAAACCCAACUGUGUAACUACUCAAACAUAUUGUAACAAAGCAUAGUGCAGGAAAUUAAAGAGAACAAGGAAGAGAAACAAAGAACAGAGAAGCGGACGGAGGCGCGAUGAUUGCACUCCAGCGGCGGCUCCUCCUUAGGGUUACACGAAAAUCUCUCUCUCUCCAAGUAUGUCUAAGUUUCGGUCUCUGCUCUUUAGAAUGACCUAAAGAGGGUAUUUAUAGCUUUUGGAGUUGUCCUGGACACUUAGGGCUUCAAAAAUAACAAAAGGAAUUGAUCUGGGCUUUAAUUAAGUCGUCUGGAAAGUGAACGACCAAGUUCCGCGGUCGCGGUGGCUCUACCUACGGGAAAAUGGGUGUUGGCCGCGGUCCCGGCUCGUGGUCCUGUUCCGGAACUGCAUUUUCUGUCAUUCUUGCAUCGGGAGUAUCUGAAGAUCUAACCGUUGGAUUUUAUCCAAACCAAGUGCAUUAGAAAGCUGUUUGGAUUCUCUAUGUUGUCUCUAAUUUUGGGGGUGAUCAGACGGUGAGAAGGUCUUCAUCGCUUGUCAUACUUCUGACGGUCUGCAUUUAUCCAAAAUUGCUCAUUUGUUCCAAAUUGCAUAUCUUUUGCCCAAGUUUCUUGUAAAUUCUUUUGAAACUCUAAAUCAUUGAAAACACUUUAAAAACCAUUGAAAACAAAGUUAAAACACCUGCAUAAGAUACAAUUAUGAUCCAUAAAAGUGGUCAAAAUACAGUGUUAUCAGGUUGUUGCCCCCAGAACUGUGUUCUUGGUGGUUUUCUGACUCGAGUAAGAAAAUUUUGCUCAAAGAUUGUUGUCCAUCUAGCGUAGAACUGUUUAGGGGAUUUUUAGUCAUCUGCGCAGGCAAGUCUCCUUCUAAACUAGCAAACACGUGAAGGCCUGGAAAACACGAUGGAAGAGUGUUUUUUGAUGGCUCUCCUACGCUCAAGUCAGAAAACAGGGAAAGAAAGGACACAAAGUGGCAAAUUGGAGAGAGGAAAGAGAUCAUAAAAUGGAGGAAGGAAGUUUUGUCGAGAGCUCGGGAGAAAAAUGGAAUCUACUCGGACCUUUGUGUGGUAAUGGGCUUUUUGAGGUGAAAAAAGAGGAAGUGUAAGAGUUUUGGGGUGAGAGUGCUCCACGGUUUAGGAACCGCCGUGGAAAGGAAGUAAAGAGAUGGUCGUAAUAAUGACCAGAAAUGUUAAGUGCUAUGGCUUAAGGAUCACGAGUAUCUAGAGAGUUAGCAUGUGCCUUAAGUUAGCGAAAAUAGUGAACCCCCUUCUCGUUGAAAGAGACAAGGUAUUUAUAGAGUUUUACCUAAUCCUGAUUAAUAUACCGGAACGGUCCUUGGGUCACAGGUUUGGCGGAUCGGUUCGUGAUCCGACUUGGUUGGAUCCAAAUCUUAUGCUUGCAUCAUGCCUUUGAUGGUUUCACGAACUUUCAUUGACACGUUAAAAAAAGUUGGUGAGAGUGUCAGAGGCAUGACAUGAGCAUAAGACUCAGAUCCAACGAAGCCAGAUUACGAACUGACCCGCCCGACUCACGGCCUAAGGACUGACCCCAGUAUAUGAACCUGAGUCAGGUAAAAUUUUAUAAAUACUCUAUUCUUUCUAACGAGGAAGGAGUUCACUGUUUUCGCUACCUUAAGGCUCAUACUAUCUCUCUAGAUAUUUGUGAUCCUUAAGCUGCAGCACUUUAUAUUUUAUGGUCAUUACUCCGACCAACUCUUCACUUUCUCUCUAAGGUGGUUCCUAGUUCCUAAAUAGUGGAGCAAUGCAACCCAGAAAAUCUUAUAGUUCUUCUCUUUUCAUCUCACAAAGCCCAUCAGCACUUAAAGGCCCGAGUCGAUUCCACUUUUCUCAGAAAAGCUCAUCUCCUACUCUCGUUUUCCGAUCUCUUUUCUCUCUCUGAUUAGCCACUUAGUAGUUUUUUUUACUGUUUUCUUACUUGAGUGUCAGAGAGCCAUUCGAAAACACGCCCCAUCGUGUUUUUGGGCCCAUGCAUUAUAUAGUUUUGCAGGAGAAUUUCUCCUGCAGAGGACAAAAAAUCCCAUAUAUAGUGUCAAGACAAUCAAAAAUUCAAAACUGUGUAGCAGUGACCAAGUUGAAUUAUGUAUUUCUAUGAAAAUUAGUGAUUAAGAAUAGUAUAAAUAAAGAAGAAGUUUUACUAUAGAGACUUGAAUAACCCAAUAAUGAUCUGGAAUUUAUACAUUUUUAGUGUUUUAUAUACCUGCAGAACUAUUUAUUUGCAGCAAAUAAAAAAAAACAAUUGUACGCAAAAUGAGUUGUUUAUAGUUGUAGCUAAAAACUGAAAUAGUUAGGGGGUUUGAAUGGUGAAAACUUAUUAUAAUGAUUAUUUAAGCUACAACUAUAAACAACUCAUUUUGCGUAUAAUUGUUUUUUUAUUUGUUGUAACUGUAAAUAUAGUAGUAUUUAAGAAGAAAUAUAGGGAAUAUAUAAGAGGGAAAGGAAAAGUUAUUAUAAAAGUUGAUGGUAUUAUGCUUGCAUCAUGCCUUUGAUGGUCUCACCAACUUUCAUUGACACGUUAAAAAAAGUUGGUGAGAGUGUAAGAGGCAUGACGUGAGCAUAAGACUCAGAUCCAACGAAGCCAGAUUACGAACUGACCCGCCCGACUCACGGCCUAAGGACUGACCCCAGUAUAUGAACCUGAGUCAGGUAAAAUUUUAUAAAUACUCUAUUCUUUCUAACGAGGAAGGAGUUCACUGUUUUCGCUACCUUAAGGCUCAUACUAUCUCUCUAGAUAUUUGUGAUCCUUAAGCUGCAGCACUUUAUAUUUUAUGGUCAUUACUCCGACCAACUCUUCACUUUCUCUCUACGGUGGUUCCUAGUUCCUAAACCGUGGAGCAAUGCCACCCAGAAAAUCUUAUAGUUCUUCUCUUUUCAUCUCAUGAUAACACCGUAUUUUGACCACUUUUAUGGAUUGUUUUGAAAUACUUUUUCUAUGUUUUUAAUUGCUUUUAAGUACUUUUAUUACGUUUUUCUAGUAUUUGUAGUUCCAAGACUCUUUUCAGGAAACUUAGUGAAAAGCUUAACAAAAUGGAUAGAAAACAAGAUUUCAGCUCAAAGUCAAACCGUCAGAAGUUCACCCCUGAUUGAAGGCCUUCUCACCGUCCGAUCCCGCUCAAAUUUGGAGACCUUAAAGAUGGAAGUAUCAGCUUUCCAAUGCACUUUACAGCUUGGCAAUCCAACGGUUCAAUCAAAAAAUACGCGAAGAGCAAGAUGUCCCGUAAACCAGCCGGCAAGCACUUCCACCCGCUGCCAAACACUCAUUCCCCACGGUCAGAAGCAUCCCGACCGCGCCCAUCAACCUCCGAGCCCAAAAAGCCCAUUUCUGAAGGCCCACAUUUGGAGAAACCCUAAGUGACGUCCAAGAGGUCUUGAGCACUAUAAAUACAUGUCUUAGGAACCCUAAAUCGNNNNNNNNNNNNNNNNNNNNNNNNNNNNNNNNNNNNNNNNNNNNNNNNNNNNNNNNNNNNNNNNNNNNNNNNNNNNNNNNNNNNNNNNNNNNNNNNNNNNCAUAAGAGUGGAAACUUACCUAUGGGCGAUUUGUGAAUAGGACGAGUCUAAACAUAAUGCAUCUCUCUCUUCCCAGGGCCAGAGUGGAAACCUACUGGUCAGGGUUGAGAGAGAUGUUGUCUAUGAUCACGACAGUGGCGUAUUCAUACGUCCGUGACUCCAGUUCGAAAAGUUUAAGCUAAGAUCUUACAAAAUUUCCUCUCUAGCAAUGUUUUGAAUCGUUCGUACCCCUGAGAAAACUUUCCUGAACCCCAACGCUUUCUUUCUUAUUGAUUUACAUCAAUUUUCUUUCAAGCUUUAGUUCAAUAUUGUCUUUCCUUUUUAGUUUAUUUUCAUUUAAGCAAUUAGAUAUCCGUUUUUUUUACAUUUUUAGUCAUUUUCGUUAAGUUUAGUUAUUACGUUAUUUAAUUCCCGUAUUCUCUUUUAAUAUUUCGUUUUUACAUUUUAAACACACUACCAAACCCCCACAAAACCGUUUUGGUUCUAGACUUCCUUACUUAAUACUUAUUUCAAAGGCUUUUUGCAGGAAAAGAUCCUCCUUCCCUGUGGAUUCGAUCCCUAAGUACUACAACCGAUCAGCUGUGCACUUGCGGCUAUUGAUUUCAAUUAGGAUAAAACUUGACAACCCUCGACACCACACAUCAAGUCACACCACCAUCAUCUCACAAAGCCCAUCAGCACUUAAAGGCCCGAGUCGAUUCCACUUUUCUCAGAAAGGCUCAUCUCCUACUCUCGUUUUCCGAUCUCUUUUCUCUCUCUGAUUAGCCACUUAGUAGUUUUUUUUACUGUUUUCUUACUUGAGUGUCAGAGAGCCAUUCGAAAACAUACCCCAUCGUGUUUUUGGGCCCAUGCAUUAUAUAGUUUUGCAGGAGAAUUUCUCCUGCAGAGGACAAAAAAUCCCAUAUAUAGUGUCAAGACAAUCGAAAAUUCAAAACUGUGUAGCAGUGACCAAGUUGAAUUAUGUACUUUCUAUGAAAAUUAGUAAUUAAGAAUAAUAUAAAUAAAGAAGAAGUUUUACUAUAGAGACGUGAAUAACCCAAUAAUUAUCUGGAAUUUAUAUAUUUUUAGUGUUUUAUAUACCUGCGGAACUAUUUAUUUGCAGCAAAUAAAAAAAACAAUUAUACGCAAAUGAGUUGUUUAUAGUUGUAGCUAAAAACUGAAAUAGUUAGGGGGUGUGAAUGGUAAAAACUUAUUAUAAUGAUUAAUUAAGCUACAACUAUAAACAACUCAUUUUGCGUAUAAUUGUUUUUUAUUUGUUGCAACUGUAAAAAUAGUAGUAUUUAAGAAGAAAUAUAGGGAAUAUAUAAGAGAGAAAGGAAAAGUUAUUAUAAAAGGAAAUAAACCCAAAUUAUUACUUUGUAUUUCAUUUGUAUGUUCCUUAUUUUUAUCAGAUUUCAAAUUAAUGUAUAAUUGUGAUUUUUUUCUUAACAGGUUUUUUCCUAUUAAUUUUUAAAGGGGGAGAAUUUUCUUUAUAUAUCUAUUUUUUUAGACUUUCUGAAAAAAGAUGUCUCUCAAAAAAUAUGAACGGUAAAAUCAAAAUGGGACCAAAAUCUCUCAUUAUAAAAAAAAAACUUACUGAUAAAUUGUGGGUUUAGAUUCUUUUAUAGGUUUUGAUAUUUGCAUAAAAAUGAUUAAGUAAAAAGAGAUUUACAAGCUUUUAGGAUUAACAUAAAUCCAAAUGUUUGAAUCUAAUUUUGUUUUUGUUAAAGGUGAAUAGAAUUUUCAAAAAGAAGAAUUUCUUUAUUGAAGGAAACCCAAAUAUUUCAAAACUUGAUUAGAUGAAACCAAUUCUUCCAUAAUUUAAUGACUAUGAUAAACAACAACCAAACACUUUUCAAAAAUCUACACCAGUUUAAGAACUUAAGGAUACUACGGUUGAUUAGACGCAAGAUUAAGAGCAAAUCACAUCAAUCUUAUAAUAUAUUGCUCGAAUUUAAAUAUUGUAUACCAUUGUACAUUAAGGGAAAAACAUUAUUACAUAAAAAACAAAUUAAGUAAGAGAUAGGUUUUUUUUAUUUAAAGAGCAAAUUAUGAAAAAUAUAGAUCAACUUUAGAACUUGCAAAGAAAGUGAACUCAAGGGACAAAGUCUCAUCUUGUUACCAUCAUCAUUGUCCAUUUCAUUUUUUUCAGUUUCAUUCGUUCCAAUCUGCCAUAUCCAGUUAUAUACAUUAUUAUAUGUGAAUGAAAUAAUACGUAUCAAAUCUUCAAUAAAAUUUGUUAAUACUUAGUUAUUAUUAAUCAUGUUUGAUGAUUAUAGCGUAAGAAUUUUGAAAAGAGAAAAAACAUAAAAUUUUAAACAGAGAGAAAACUUACUCUUGAAGAUUGAAACAGAGACUUGCAAGAUAUUUCAAUGGCUCUCUUACUUUGAUUCUCCCAUUUCCAUUAUUUUUUUCUGCUUUUUUUCUUCUUCCCUACAAUAUUGAUUAAAAAAGGUACAUUCAAAUUUAAAACAAAAUAUAUAUAUAUAUAUAUAUAUAUAUAUUAAGUUUUUAAUUAAUAAUAAUUAAGUAUUAUACAAACAUUUUCGCAUAGAGUUGACAAUUUCUACAAGACGUUCAUAUUGACGAAGGUGUUGUUGAUUUUGCCUCAAAAUCAUUUCUCUUGUCAGUCUUUCCCUUCGAAUUGCUUGUACCUCUUCUACUAUAGGACAUGUAAGUGUAUAGAUUUUUAUUUUCUAUAUAAUAUUUACAUAUAAAUGCUUUUUUAAGAAAACUUCAACAUAUUUGGUCUGAGCAUAUAUUUUUUAUUUUUGUUUUAUUUCUGAAAAUAUUUUUUUAUACAUACACUUAUAGAAAAUACAAUUUCUUUAUAAAUAUAAUAAUAAAAAAUAAAUAAAUGUAUAUAAUACUUAUUCACCUUUUUUAUACUCAUCAAGCAUGGUGGUACUAUACAUCUGAUGAAGGCAAAAACAUAAAAUUGGUUCAUAUUAAGCCCAACAUAAUAUGAAAAAAUUGACAAAAUAUAUAUACGCAUAUAUUGGGAAAAAUGAAGAAAUUAAAUCAUGUAUAUAUAAGUUACGACCUGGAGAUGGAUCUUUACAUGUGAUAUAGUGAGUCCUUCAAUAUUCAUUAUCUCCAAAAUUCUCUUAGGAGUUGCUUGUGCAUUUACAAUGAUUAAUACAAGUUGAAUUUAUAUUAAAAGAAAAUAAUGUUUAGCCCACAACUCUAGAUUUAGGAUUGUUAUAUAGUUUUUAUAUAUGUUAGGAUCUUAAUUUAUAAUUCCGAUCCCCGAAUUUGACAAAUAUGAAUAUAUCACAAAAAACAAAAAACAGAAAAGAUCAAGAGAAUUAUAUAAUUGAAAAUUGAAAAGGAUAUGUAUCCAAUGAUAAAUUGAAAACAAUAGUUGAUGAUUCCGGUAGCAAUCUAUUUUAUGAUUUUUCUUAUUUUAUUUUAAAAAAUCAUACAAAACUAGAAAAAAUAUUAACUUACGAUGUAUUCCGUCAAGUUGUACACCGCAUAAAUAAAGCGAUUGUGAUGAUAGGCACUCAAUUGCAUCCGAUCCAUUUUUUGACCAAUUAUAAGGUCUAAAAAUCGUGACUUUUAUCAGAAAAAUUCUCGAACUUUACAGUUUUUGGUUUUUAGUUAUUAGAAACUCUUAUCAUGAGUGGUCAAUUUAUAAUAGUUGUAGAAAAAAUUUAUAAGGUUAAAAAUAAACUAAUAAUUUUCAUAAAUGUAAAGGGUAGAAAAACAUAAAUGUACUACUAAACUUGUCAUAGUGCAUAUCUUUUUACUUUCGUUUUUUUUUAUUGGUUUUCUAAAUUACUUUGUUUAUUAUUUCCAUUAUUUAGAAAAAAAUAUUUUAAAACUAUUAAUAUAUUAUUUAAAAACUUAUAUUUAUAUAUAUAAGCAUUAUUGAAAUCUUCAAUUAUAUAUGCUAAGUUAAGUAUUUCCAUUAUUUAGAAAAAAUGCCUUACAACUAUGAGUUGGAUCAUCAAGAAAAUAAAAUAUAUGUAAGUAUUAUUCAAAUCAUCUUGGAUAUAUUUUGAAAAUGAUCACUGGCAUUAUUUUAAAAAAAUUUUAAUAAAAAAAAUCUUAAUAUAAAACCUAAAAACUUAACCCAUAAAAGCUAAGAAAUUAUGUUUCCAACCCCAAAAAUGAUUUGUUUUUUUUGUCGGUCUAUCCUUCUUUUUGUCUUUUUGUUUUUCCUCACUUGAGGGGUUCCCAGCCUUUAUGCGUGUUGUGAUCCUUGGGCGGGUAAGAUGCUGUGUUCUUCCCUCGCAACUAUGCUGUCUUUCUCCGGUUCCCUUUUUCACCUCCGGGUUACAGAUCCGAUUUAGUUGAUGUCGCGAUUUAUCUUGCUGGUCGUACCAUCCUUCCUUGGUAUAUCUCGUGCGUAUUUCUCGGUUUGCCUCCAGAGUCUUUCCAUCCUCCACCUGGUUGGGAACUCGAUCAAUCGUAGAUGUUUGCACACUGUGGCCUCCAUCUCGUCCACCCAAGGUUGACCUAACAGCGCUAUGUACCGAGCUGUCGUGCUGACUACUGUUAUGGCCAUUACCCAGGUGUUAUUAAGCGCAGUGACUAUGAGUGCUGCCUCUCCUAUCGCUCGAGUCACCCUCCCAUUAUAUUCUAUGAACAAUAUCUUCGCUGGUUUGAGGGAGCUUCGAAAUCCCACGAACUCUUUGAAGAUGGCUGCAAGAUGAGAUUAACAGGGCAGGUCUAGUCCACCAGAAUCUGCCUCAUCUGUUUGCCUCCUAUCUCCAACAUCACAUUCAGAGCGGGGUAUUGAGUGAUAAUUCUCGACACUUUUUCUGCUGCGUUGAAAAACUCUGGCAGGCGAGCCAGUCACCUUCGAAUUCCAAGCAUUCUACCAUGACUGUCUUCCUCAGCUUCAUUCGUGUGUCUUUCGACCUGUCCGACCUUGUUGAAGCUCCCUAUUACACGGUCUUGUGUGUUCAACAUUUGCUUCACUUUUCUAGACAGCAGAAGUCGUAUGGAAAGGUGGCGAACCAGAGCCAGCAUCUCCUCCGUAAAGGCCAAACAGCUCUCAGUCUGAUGCCCCCUGGAUCAGUGGUACUUGCACAAUAGUUUUCUGUAUUUUCGUUCCUCUGAGGCGGGCUCAUCUUCUCCAUCUGGAUCCCGUAUGGCGUGAGAAUUUUUUACCCGUACUUCUUCCUCUAAUCGCCUCUGGUCGCACCAUCCGGGGAUUGCAUAGAACAUGCUACAAGGGGGUUUACCUCUGCCUCCUCUCCUUGGUCUCCGGUUAUCUCCCAGUCGUUGUCGCUUGCGCCUCCCUUGGCGUUCUCCCUUUGGUCAGGAUCCAUUGAGCCGAUGGGUAUGUAAGGUUUAUUCUCUCUAAACUCGAUCAUGCCCACCUAGCACUUGCAAUUUUUCGCUCUGGCUUUUACGGUAUUUGGUUUGCUGCCAAUCACUGUCUGGGUCUCUCCCAUUUGCAUUCAUAGGUUGUUGCCCCCAGAUCUGUGUUCUUGGUGGUUUUCUGACUCGAGUAGGAAAAUUUUGCUCAGAGAGUGUUGUCCAUCUAGCGCAGAACUGUUUAGGGGAUUUUUUAGUCAUCUGCGCAGGCAAGUCUCCUGCAAAACUAGCAAACGCCUGAAGGCCUGGAAAACACGAUGGAGGGGUGUUUUUUGAUGGCUCUCCUACACUCAAGUCAGAAAACAGGGAAAGAAAGACCACGAAGUGGCAAAUUGGAGAGAGGAAAGAGAUCAGAAAACGGAGGAAGGAAGUUUUGCCGAGAGCUCGUGAGAAAAAUGGAAUCUGCUCGGACCUUUGUGUGGUAAUGGGCUUUUUGAGGUGAAAAAAAAGGAAGUGUAAGAGUUUUGGGGUGGCAGUGCUCCACGGUUUAGGAACCGCCGUAAAGAGGAAGUAAAGAGAUGGUCGUAAUAAUGAGCAGAAAUGUAAAUUGCUAUGGCUUAAGGAUCACAAGUAUCUAGAGAGUUAGCAUGAGCCUUAAGUUAGCGAAAAGAGUGAACCCCCUUCUCGUUGAAAAAGACAAGGUAUUUAUAGAGUUUUACCUAAUCCGGAUUAAUAUACCGAAACGGUCCUUGGGUCACUGGCUUGGCGGAUCGGUUCGUGAUCCGACUUGGUUGGAUCUGAAUCUUAUGCUUGCAUCAUGCCUCUGAUGAUCUCACCAACUUUCAUUGAUACGUUAAAAAAAUUUGGUGAGAGCGUUAGAGGCAUGACGUGAGCAUAAGACUCGGAUCCAACCAAGACAGAUUACGAACUGACCCACCCGACUCACGGCCUAAGGACUAACCCAGUAUAUGAACCUGCGUCAGGUAAAAUUUUAUAAAUACUCUAUUCUUUCUAAGGAGGAAGGAGUUCACUUUUUUUGCUACCUUAAGGCUCAUACUAUCUCUCUAGAUAUUUGUGAUCCUUAAGCUGCAGCACUUUAUAUUUUAUGGUCAUUACUCCGACCAUCUCUUCACUUUCUCUUUACGGUGGUUCCUAAUUCCUAAACCGUGGAGCAAUCCCACCCAGAAAAUCUUAUACUUCUUCUCUUUUCAUCUCACAAAGCCCAUCACCACUUAAAGGUCCGAGUCGAUUCCACCUUUCUCAGAAACGCCCAUCUCCUAUUCUUGUUUUCCGAUCUCUUUUCUCUCUCUGAUUACCCACUUAGUAUUUUUUUUUAAUGUUUUCUUACUUGAGCGUCAGAGAGCUAUUGGAAACACACCCCAUCGUGUUUUUGGGCCCAUGCGCUUUCUAGUUUGGCUGGAGACUUUCCCCUGCAAAGGAUAAAAAAUCCCAUAUAUAGUGUCAAGACAAUCUAAAAUUCAAAACUGUGUAGCACAUCAAUGACCAAGUUAAAUUAUGUACUUUUUAUAAAUUUAAAACAAUGAUGGGUAGAAAAAAGAUUCUAUGAAAUUUAGUGAUUAAGAAUAAUAAAAAUAAACAAGAACUUUUACUAUAGAGACAUGAAUAACCCAACAAUGAUCUGGAAUUUAUACAUUUUUAGUGUUUUAUAUACUUGCGGAACUAUUUAUUUGCAGCAAAUAAAAAAAACAAUUAUACGCAAAAUGAGUUGUUUAUAGUUGUAGCUAAAAACUGAAAUAGUUAGGGGGUGUGAAUGGUAAAAACUUAUUAUAAGGAUUAUUUAAGCUACAACUAUAAAGAACUCAUUUUGCCUAUAAUUGUUUUUUUAUUGCUUGAACUAUAAAAAUAGUAUUAAGAAGAAAUAUAAGGAAAAUAUAAGAGGGAAAGGAAAAUUUAUUAUAAAAGGAAAUAAACCCAAAUUAUUACUUUGUAUUUCAUUUGUAUGUUCCUUAUUUUUAUCAGAUUUCAAAUUAAUGUAUAGUUGUGAUUUUUUUUCUUAACAGGUUUUUUUUCUAUUAUUUUUUAAAGGGGGAGAAAUUUGUUAAUAUAUAUUUUUUAGACUUUCUGAAAAAGAUGUCUCUCAAAAAAUAUGAACGGUAAAAUAAAUAUGGGACCAAAAUUCUCUCAUUAUAAUAGAAAAACUUACCGUUAAUUUGGGGUUUAGAUUCUUUUAUAAGUUUUGAUAUUUGCAUUAAAAUGAUUAAGCAAAAAGAGAUAUACAAGCUUUUAGGAUUAACAUAAAUUCAAAUGUUUGAAUAGAAUUUUGUUUUUGUUAAAGGUGAAUAGAAUUUUCAAAAAGAAGAAUUUCUUUAUUAUAGGAAACCCAAAUAUUUCAAAACACGAUUUGCUGAAACCAAUUCUUCCAUGAUUUAAUGACUUUAUGAUCAAGAACAACCAAACACUUUUUAAAAUCUACACCAGUAUAAGAACUUACGGAUAUUACGGUUGAUUAGACGCAAGAUUAAGAGCAUAUCACAUCAAUCUUAUAAUAGACUACUCGAAUUUAAAUAUUGUAUACUAUUGUACAUUAAGGGAAAAGCAUUAUUACAUAAAAAGCAAAUCAAGUAAGAGAUAGGUUUUUUUUUAUUUAAAGAGCAAAUUAUGAAAAAGUUAGAUCAACUUUAGAACUUGCGACCAAGAGUGAGCUCAAGGGAUAAAGUCUCAUCAUUGUUACCAUCAUCAUUUUCCACUUCAUUGUUUUCAGUUUCAUUCGAUCUAAUCUGCCAUAUCCAGUUAUAUACAUUAUUAUAUGUGAAUGAAAUGAUACGUAUCAAAUCUUCAAUAAAAUUUGUGCAAACUUGGUCAUUGAUAAUCAUGUUUGAUGAUUAUAGCAUAAGAAUUUUAAAAAGAGAAAAAACUUAAAAAAUUUAAACAGAGAGAAAACUUACUGUUGAAGAUUGACACAGAAACUUGCAAGAUAUUUCAAAAACUCUCUUACUUGAUUCUCCCAUUUCCAUUAUUUUGUCCUGCUUUCUUUCUUCUUCCCUACAAUAUUGAUUAAAAAAGAUACAUUCAAAUUUAAAACAAAAAAACCUAUAUAUAUAUAUAUAUUAAAUUUUUAAUUUAAUAAUAGUAUUAUACGAACAUUUUUUGCAUAGGGUUGACAAUGUCUUCAAGACGUUCAUAUUGACGAAGGUGUUGUUGAGUUUGCCUCAAAAUCAUUUCUCUUGUCAGUCUUUCCCUUCGAAUUGCUUGUACCUCUUCUACCAUAGGACAUGUGAGUGUAUAGAUUUUUAUUUUCUAUAUAAUAUUUACAUAUAAAUUUUUUUUUAAGAAAAUUUCAUCAUAUUUGGUCUGAGCAUAUAUUUUUAUUUUAUUUUAUUUUAUUUCUGAAAAUAUUUUGUUUUAUACAGACACGUAUAGAAAAUAGAAUUUCUUUAUAAAUAUAAUAAUAAAGUAAAUAGAAAUGUAUAUAAUACUUAUUCACCUUUUUUAUACUCAUCAAGCUUGGUGGUCCUAUACAUCUGAUGAAGGCCAAAACACAAAACUGGUUCAUAUUAAGCCCAACAUAAUAUGACAAAAUUGACAAAAUAUAAUACGCAUAUAUUGGGAAAAAUGAAGAAAUUAAAUAAUGUAUAUAUAUAUGUUACGACCUGGAGAUGGCUCUUUACAUGUGAUAUAGUGAGUCUUUCAAUAUUCAUUAUCUCCAAAAUUCUCUUAGGAGUUGCUUCUGCAUUUAUGAUGUUUAAUACAAGUUAAAUUUAUAUUAAACGAAAAUAAUGUUUAGCCCAUAACUCUAGAUCUAGGAUUGUUGUGUAGUUUUAAUAUAUGUUGGCAUCCUAAUUUAUAAUUCCGAUCCCUGAAUUUGACAAAUAUGAAUAUAUCACACAAAACAAAAAAUAGAAAAGAUAAAGAGAAUCUUAUAAUCGAAAAAUUGAAAAGGAUAUCUAUCCGAUAAACUGAAAACAAUAGUUGAUGAUACCGGAAGCAAUCUAUUUUAUGAUUUUCCUUAUUUUGUUUUAGAAAAUCACACAAAACAAGAAAAAAUAUUAACUUACGAUGUAUUCCGCCUAGUUGUAGAACCGCAUAAAUAAAGCGAUCGUGAUGAUAGACACUCCAUUGCAUCCGAUCCAUUUCACGUAUUAUAAGGUCUAACAAUCGUGACUUUUAUCAGAAAAAUUCUCAAACUUUACAGUUUUUGGUUUUUAGUUAUAAAAAACUCCGAUCAUGAAUGGUCAAUUUAUAGUAGUUGUAGACAAAAUUUAUGAUAUUAAAAAAUUAAAUAAUAAUUUUCAUAAAUGUAAAGGGUAGAAAAACAUUAAAUGUGCUUCUAAACUUGUCAUAGUGCAUAUAUUUUUACUUCCCUUUUUUUUUUUGGUUUUCUUAAUUAGUUUGUUUCUUAUUUUCAUUAUUUAGAAAAAAAUCUUAUACAACUAUGAAUGAAUUAUUAAAAUGUUAUAUAUAUAUAUAUAUAUAAGCACUAUUCAAAUCUUCAAUUAUAUAUGCUAAGUUAUGUAUUUCCAUUAUUUAGAAAAAGUGCCUUACAACUAUGAGUUGGAUCAUCAAUAAAAUAAAAUAUAUGUAAAUAUUAUUCAAAUCAUCUUAGAUAUACUUUGAAAAGGAUCACUGGCAUUAUUUUAAAAAAUUUUAAUAAAAAAAAUCUUAAUAUAAACCCUUAAAACUAAACCCAUAAAAGCUAAGAAAUCAUUUUUCCAAUCCCAAAAGUGAUUUUUUUUUUGUCGGUCUAUCCUUCUUUUUGUCUUUUUGUUUUUCCUCACUUGAGGGGUUCCCAGCCUUUAUGCGUGUUGUGAUCCUUGGGCGGGUAAGAUGCUGUGUUCUUCCCUCGCAACUAUGCUGUCUUUCUCCGGUUCCCUUUUUCACCUCCGGGUUACAGAUCCGAUUUAGUUGAUGUCGCGAUUUAUCUUGCUGGUCGUACCAUCCUUCCUUGGUAUAUCUCGUGCGUAUUUCUCGGUUUGCCUCCAGAGUCUUUCCAUCCUCCACCUGGUUGGGAACUCGAUCAAUCGUAGAUGUUUGCACACUGUGGCCUCCAUCUCGUCCACCCAAGGUUGACCUAACAGCGCUAUGUACCGAGCUGUCGUGCUGACUACUGUUAUGGCCAUUACCCAGGUGUUAUUAAGCGCAGUGACUAUGAGUGCUGCCUCUCCUAUCGCUCGAGUCACCCUCCCAUUAUAUUCUAUGAACAAUAUCUUCGCUGGUUUGAGGGAGCUUCGAAAUCCCACGAACUCUUUGAAGAUGGCUGCAAGAUGAGAUUAACAGGGCAGGUCUAGUCCACCAGAAUCUGCCUCAUCUGUUUGCCUCCUAUCUCCAACAUCACAUUCAGAGCGGGGUAUUGAGUGAUAAUUCUCGACACUUUUUCUGCUGCGUUGAAAAACUCUGGCAGGCGAGCCAGUCACCUUCGAAUUCCAAGCAUUCUACCAUGACUGUCUUCCUCAGCUUCAUUCGUGUGUCUUUCGACCUGUCCGACCUUGUUGAAGCUCCCUAUUACACGGUCUUGUGUGUUCAACAUUUGCUUCACUUUUCUAGACAGCAGAAGUCGUAUGGAAAGGUGGCGAACCAGAGCCAGCAUCUCCUCCGUAAAGGCCAAACAGCUCUCAGUCUGAUACCCUCUGGAUCAGUGGUACUUGCACCAUAGUUUUCUGUAUUUCCGUUCCUCUGAGGCAGGCUCAUCUUCUCCAUCUGGAUCCCGUAUGGCAUGAGAAAUUGUUACCCACACUUCUUCCUCCAAUCACCUCUGGUCACACCAUCCAGGGAUGGCAGUGGAACAUGCUACAAGGGGGUUUACCUCUGCCUCCUCUCCUUGGUCUCCGGUUAUCUCCCAGUCAUUGUCGCUUGCGCCCCCCUUGGCGUUCUCCCUUUGGUCAGGAUCCUUUGAGCCGAUGGGUAUGUAAGGUUUAUUCUCUCUAAACUCGAUCAUGCCCACCUAGCACUUGCAAUUUUUCGCUCUGGCUUUUACGGUAUUUGGUUUUCUGCCAAUCACUGUCUGGGUCUCUCCCAUUUUCAUUCAUAGGUUGUUGCCCCCAGAUCUGUGUUCUUGGUGGUUUUCUGACUCGAGUAGGAAAAUUUUGCUCAGAGAGUGUUGUCCAUCUAGCGCAGAACUGUUUAGGGGAUUUUUUAGUCAUCUGCGCAGGCAAGUCUCCUGCAAAACUAGCAAACGCCUGAAGGCCUGGAAAACACGAUGGAGGGGUGUUUUUUGAUGGCUCUCCUACACCCAAGUCAGAAAACAGGGAAAGAAAGACCACGAAGUGGCAAAUUGGAGAGAGGAAAGAGAUCAGAAAAUGGAGGAAGGAAGUUUUGCCGAGAGCUCGUGAGAAAAAUGGAAUCUGCUCGGACCUCUGUGUGGUAAUGGGCUUUUUGAGGUGAAAAAAAGGAAGUGUAAGAGUUUUGGGGUGACAGUGCUCCACGGUUGAUGUGCUCGUGUCAACUACGUGAGGGAACAAGUUUUACCCUUAACAAAACAAAUGAAAGCCGCAAGUGCACAGCUAAUCAGUUGUAGUAUUUAGGGAUCGAAUCCACAGAGAUUUGUGUGCCUGGUAUUCUUCUACGGUUUUUAACUUUAUGUCUAGACUAAAUUGGUUUUACAGGUUAGUUGUUUUUUUCUUGCGAAUUAAACUAAAACAAAAGAAAGCAAAUAAAUCUAUCCUAAAUAGCAGGUAAGAAAAUCGAAUGGAAUGCAAUUAGAAUAGGCAAAUAUCGAAUGAAAGACUAAUAAGGCAAGUAAGAUAUCGCAUAAAAAGUAAAUAAAGCAAGUAAAUAAUGAACUAAGGAAAUUGAAAUGCAGGUCUAAGAAAGCAAGUAAAAAUCGAUGGAAUUGUAAACUAUGGCUAAAAACGCUGAGCUUUUGGGAACUCUAAGGGAUCAUAAUCGGUUUUAACACUAAGGUAGAUAGAUUGGGAUUGACAGAUAACGAUAUAUGGGUUCUAGAGCUAGAGUACGGCGGUAUGACUACGUCACUGUCGUGAUCAUAACCAACUGUUUCUCGCAACCCUGACCAGUAGGUUUCCACUCUGGCCCUGGAAGGGAGAGAACGCAAGAGCUGCACAAGACUCGUCAAUACUCACGAUCUCGCCGCAGGUAGGUUUCCACUCCUAUGGAAAAAUCGCCUGUUUCAUUCUAGGGCUGAUACUUAAUAAAAACUUUCGCAACACUAACUAUCUAGAUCAGAUACUAGGUGAUCAAUCAAGCAUACAUGCAAUAAGAACAAGAAUAAACAGAGAACAGGUCGAAAUCCCAGAUCUAUAAACCUAGAUGUCUUAAUCGAUUAUGAGAGCCCCUUUCGGUAAACCCUAAGCCCAACUCGGGAUCUACUCAGACAUGGCUGAGUUCGACAUCAUCAUUGGUUUUAAUAAAAGUAAUGAAAAACAGUAAAGAAAAGAGAUAAAGAAAGCUUCUCUAUUGAAGAACUCGGACUUGAACAAUAUUCUACAAAAAUCUCAUAAAAACGGCUAAAGGAAAAGGGUUUCUGUAAAGUAUGAAGGGUUCUCCUUAAAAACGACCUAAAUGACAUGUAUUUAUAGUCUCCAAUACCCCAUGGUCUCUAGGGUUCCAGAAUUGAGGCUGAGAAUGACUUUGGGCUUCAGAUAAGUGGGCUUUAACUCAGAGAUUGAUUGCCGCGGUCGGGAGUGCUGUGACCGCGCCAAUUGGCUUGUUGGCCGCGGUCGGGAAGCUUUUGACUGCGGCAAAUAGCUUGUUGGCCGCGGUCGGGUGAGUUGCUGACCGACUUCGAAUGGCUCCGAGGCUAAUGAAAUAUCUUGAGAUCCAACCGUUGGAAUGUCUCCAAACCAAGUGCAUUUGAAAGCUGGUUGAUUCUUCUAUAAGUUGUCCAAUUUUGAGGGUGAUCAGACGGUGAGAAGGUCUUCGUCUCUCCAUGAGAAUUCUGACGGUCUGCAUUUAUCCAAAAGAGUAUUUUUGUUCCAUUUUGUGCCUCUUUAUCCCAAAUUACCUGAAAAGUCUUUUAAAAUCCGGAAACAUAGAAAUCCUUUGAAAACCUUUGAAAAUGGAGUAAAAACACCUGUAAAAGAUAUUAAAAUGAUCCAUAAAAAUGGUCAAAAUCCGGUGUUAUCAACGGUUUAGGAACCGCCGUAAAGAGGAAGUAAAGAGAUGGUCGUAAUAAUUGUCAACUCGCUACNNNNNNNNNNNNNNNNNNNNNNNNNNNNNNNNNNNNNNNNNNNNNNNNNNNNNNNNNNNNNNNNNNNNNNNNNNNNNNNNNNNNNNNNNNNNNNNNNNNNUCUAGCGAUCAGGCUCUAGCCUUAAGUUAGCGAAAAGAGUGAACCCCCUUCUCGUUGAAAAGACAAGGUAUUUAUAGAGUUUUACCUAAUCCGGAUUAAUAUACCGAAACGGUCCUUGGGUCACAGGCUUGGCGGAUCGGUUCGUGAUCCGACUUGGUUGGAUCUGAAUCUUAUGCUUGCAUCAUGCCUCUGAUGAUCUCACCAACUUUCAUUGAUACGUUAAAAAAAGUUGGUGAGAGCAUCAGAGGCAUGACGUGAGCAUAAGACUCGGAUCCAACCAAGACAGAUUACGAACUGACCCACCCGACUCACGGCCUAAGGACUAACCCAGUAUAUGAACCCGCGUCAGGGUAAAAUUUUAUAAAUACUCUAUUAUUUCUAACGAGGAAGGAGUUCACUUUUUUUGCUACCUUAAGGCUCAUACUAUCUCUCUAGAUAUUUGUGAUCCUUAAGCUGCAGCACUUUAUAUUUUAUGGUCAUUCCUCUGACCAACUCUUCACUUUCUCUCUACGGUGGUUCCUAGUUCCUAAACCGUGGAGCAAUGCCACCCAGAAAAUCUUAUAGUUAGAUCUAACUUCCAGUCAACUAGCUCUCUACAUUCAUUAAGUAUAGUAGUGAAUUCUCAUCAAAUACAUUAUUCAGGGUAGACGGUGUUUGGCAUUAAAGUUAUUUAAGUGGUGGAGCUUAGAUGUUUAGGGUUACGUGAAGAUCUGGAGGAUGCUAGAUAUUAUGCAAAACCGCAAGAGAGAGAAGGACCUGUUGGUGAUCGCAGAUUUUCAGUCACUUCUCCUUUGCCAAUUGUUGUUGCAUAAUUUUCCUCCUUUUGUUGUAAACAGCCAUUUCCCCAGACUUAGAUCUUUUCAGGGAAUCAAAAAGAUAAUCUCCAAAACUCCAUGUAAUCGGACUCUAGCUUGCCUCAAGUAUAAAAUAUGAUCCUCCUAGACUUUCUAAGGUUUAAAUUUCCUUUCCCUUCUUAUUUUUCUUUUCUUUUCUUCUCUUUUUUUUUUUAGGGGAAAUAACCUUUUAUAGAGAGAGAGUCUAAAUGACGAAAUUGUACCAAGAGUUUGAAGUUUUUCCAAGGCAAACUGAGUUUUCUCCUUUUGUUGAAUCAUUCCAAUGAAAUCGCAGGUCUCCGUCUUCAGUGACUGAAAUCCGCAUAUAUAACAAUGAAAAACAAGAAUGCAUGUGGUUUGAAAGAGGUUAGGUUCAGUGGGGAACUAGCUAAAGAUAAACUAACCAUUCAGGAUCAACAAAGAGUAGUAAAAUGGUAAAGGAGUCCUGAAUGUAUGAUUCGUUUCCCUGAUCUAAUGCUUUAAUGAGAAAAUUAAGUCAAAAUUAAGUCUAGAUAAAAUGAGCUAGUAUAUCUUGUCAGAAAGAAUCUCCAUGAAUAGAAGUCCUCUGGUGGGAUUUCGUAAUUCAAGUGUUCUAGCUACCGCCUAGUCUAGGCCUAAAUCACAAAAAGAGCAAAAAACGAUGAAAUAGCGUAGAAGCACACUGGUCUAAUUCAUCAUAGUAAUGUUUAUUGUGUUCCUGGUUUGAAAACUUUUUGAAACGAUUUUUGAAAACGAUUUUUGAAAAAUUUUAUGAAAAACAUUUUGGAAAACUUUUUGAAAAAAAUUUAUGUAUCCAAAACAAACUCAAAACAAUUCAAAUUUCAUUAGUAACGGAUGAACAUCCUCCCCCAGACUUAUUUCACACUAUCCUCAGUGUGAUAAAUCUGGAAAGAAUGGUAAAGAAAAUAGAAAAGUUGAAAUGUUUAAGUGAACUUAUCGUGUUGGAGAGUGCUGCUUGUCUUUUUUAUUUGUUCUUCCUUAUUGAAAUUCUGAAAUUAAAUGAAACAGAAACAAAGCAAUGGAAAUAGAAAAUGAAGGUCAAAGGGAUAUAGAUAAAAUACCAAGUGGGUUGCCUCCCACUAAGCGCUUGUUUCAAGUCGUUAGCUUGACAUUGUUGCUCGAUUAGACUUAACCGGGGUCGUGACAACCUUUGGUCUCAUCAUUGGCCGAUGAUGGAUCAAUCAAAAACAUCACUUCUCUCUCGUCUUCUCUUUCUUCAGCCAGAUAUGGCUUUACACGCUGUCCAUUCACUGUAAAUGAGUUUCCGGUUCUGUCCCACGGGACUAUUGUUCUGUAUGGCUUGACUUCCUUUAUCUUGAAGGGUCCGGACCAUCUUGAACGUAAUUUUCCUGGAAAAAGCUUAAGACGACAAUUGAAAAGAAGAGAUUUUUCGUUAGGAGCAAAAGUUCUAUGAAUAAUCUUCUUAUCAUGAUAUGCUUUAGUCUUCUCCUUGUAGAUCUUCGAGUUUUCGUAAGCAUUGUGUCGGAUUUCUUCUAACUCGUGAAGUUGAAGUAGUCUUCUUUCUCCAGCUGUUUUCAGGUUCAUGUUCAUCUCCUUGAUAGCCCAUUGCGCUUUAUACUCAAGUUCUACUGGAAGGUGACAUGCUUUUCCAUAAACUAGGUUGAAUGGUGUUGUUCCUAAUGGUGUCUUGAAUACUGUUCGAUAUGCCCAUAAUGCAUCGUCAAGCUUUGUAGACCAAUCCUUGCGAUGAAUUGCAGUUGAUUUCUGAAAAUUGACUUGAUUUCUCUGUUUGAGAUCUCUACUUGACCGCUGGUUUGGGGAUGGUAUGGGGAAGCAACUUUAUGUGUGACUCCAUUCUUUCUAAGAAGAUUUUCGAAGACUCUGUUGAUAAAAUGCGAUCCUCCGUCGCUUAUCACAAUUCUAGGAACUCCAAAACGCGGGAAUAUUACAGAUUUAAACAGCUUUAUGACAACUUUUGCAUCAUUGGUGGGACUAGCGACUGCUUCUACCCACUUAGAGACGUAGUUUACUGCUACUAAGAUGUAUUGGUUGCCAAAAGAAGUCGGAAAGGGUCCCAUAAAAUCUAUUCCCCAGACAUCAAAAAUUUCGACUUCGAGAAUAAAAUUUUGAGGCAUCUCAUUCCUUUUACUUAUGUUGCCCAUCCGUUGGCAUUUAUCGCAUCGCGAUAUAUAAGCUUGAGUAUCUUUGAACAAAGUAGGCCACCAGAAACCAGCUUGUAAGAUCUUUGAAGCGGUUUUGAAUUGCAAAAUGUCCUGCAUAAGACGAGCUAUGGCAUCCGAAUAAAAUUCCUUCCAUCUCUUCUUCAGCCACGCAUCUUCGGAAUAACCCAUCAGCACAUCUCUUAUAGAGAUAGCGUUCAUCCCUAAAAUAAUGUCUUACGUCUUUUAGAAACUUUUUCUUCCUAUAACCGAAAAAUUGCGGGGGCUCUACAUCAGCUGCUAAGUAAUUUGCUAUGUGCCUAAACCAUGGGGUGUUGAAAGCAUCUGCUCGUCGCAUGAGUUGGCGUGGUGGUGCGGUAUUGGCAUUGGUGGGGGUAGUAUCUAUUGCAUAGAUGUUUUCUUCUGGCAAACUAUCAUUUAAAGGCAAUCUUUCUUCAACUCGAAUUCGUGAAAGAUGGUCUGCAACUCCAUUAUCUGCGCCUAUUCGAUCUCGAAUUUCGAUAUCGAAUUCUUACAGUAGGAGGAUCCAUCUUAUCAACCGAGGUUUAGCGUCUUUCUUAGACAUUAAAUACUUGAUUGCAGCAUGAUCAGUAUGAACUAUGACCUUAGAUCCUACGAGAUAAGAACGAAAUUUCGCAAAUGCAAAUACGACAGCUAGAAGUUCUUUCUCUAUUGUAGCAUAAUUGCAUUGAGCUUCGUCUAGAGUUCUGCUUGCGUAGUAGAUUACAUGAAGUUUCUUAUCUUUUUGUUGGCCAAGCACUGCUCUGACUGCAUAGUCACUUGCAUCGCACAUGAUUUCGAAUGGGAGUUCCCAAUCAGGUGCUUGCACGACUGGAGCGGAGACAAGGGCUUCUUUGAUCUUAUGGAACACGGCUAAGCACUCAUCAUCGAACUCAAAGUUCGUUUCCUUGCAAAGCAAACGCGUAAGAGGUCUAGCUAUUUGAGAAAAAUCUUUUAUGAAUCACCUAUAGAAUCCUUCGUGUCCUAAGAAACUACGAAUUCCUUUGACGUUUGUGGGUGGUUGUAGGCUUGUCAUGACUUCGAUUUUAGCUUUGUCAACUUCAAUACCUUUUCUGGAAAUCCUGUGCCCAAGCACGAUUCCGUUGCGUACCAUGAAGUGAUAUUUUUCCCAAUUUAAUACUAAGUGCUUAUCUUCACAUCUUUGCAGAACUUUACCAAGGUUGCCUAAGCAUUUUUCAAAAGAAGAUCCAUAGACAGAGAAAUCGUCCAUGAAUACUUCCAUGAAAUCCUCAAUAAAAUCUGAGAAGAUCGACAUCAUGCAUCGCUGGAAAGUAGCAGGUGCAUUACACAAUCCCAAAGGCAUACGUCGGUAAGCGAACGUGCCAUAUGGACAAGUGAAUGUCGUUUUUUCUUCCGGGGGAAUAGGAAUUUGGAAGAAUCCGGAGUAUCCAUCAAGGAAGCAAUAGUAGGGGUGAUUAGCUAACCUUUCUAGCAUUUGAUCUAUGAAGGGAAGUGGAAAAUGAUCUUUCCUAGUUGCUGCAUUCAGUUUCCGGUGAUCGAUGCACAUACGAUGUCCAGUUACUGUUCUUGUAGCGAUCAUUUCAUCUUUAUCAUUUUUAAUGACAGUGACUCCUCCUUUUUUCGGAACAACAUGAACUGGGCUAACCCAAGUGCUAUCUGAAAUAGGAAAAAUUAUUCCAGCUUCUAAAAGCUUCAUAAUCUCCUUCUUGACAACAUCCAUGAGAUUAGGGUUCAGUCUCCUUUGACUUUCGAUUGAGUUUUAGCAUUAUCCUCUAGAUUUAUCUUGUGCAUACAAAGAUCUGGAGAGAUUCCAGGUAUGUCAUCAAGUGAGUAUCCUAAGGCUUUUCUAUGCUUUCUCAGCUCAGUCAGCAGCAUUGUGGUUUCUUCUUCCGUCAAAUCAGAGUUUAUUUUGACAGGAUAAGUAGAAUUUGGUCCAAGGAAAGUGUACUUAAGUCCGAAGGGAAGAGGUUUAAGAUCGACUUUAGGGGCUUUAAGCUCGCUCCAAGGAUCAUUAAUUGCUGCAGCAGUGUCUUUAGGAGGUGUAGGAAUGUUUGUUUGGUCCUUAAGAUCUAGAUAGUUUAGAGGUUUCCUAUAAGUUUCGGAUUUAUCAAGCAUACGUGCGCAUUCACUUGAAAUUUCUUCAAGGAAAUUGCGUUCAUCUUUUGCGGGUGAAAGCGUGACACUUAAAGGGUCGUCUAGAAGCAGAUCUUCAUAGAAUUCCUCAAUAGUUCCGUGUAACUCAUCAACCCAACAAAUUUUGCCAUCCAGAGUCGGUUUAUCGAAACUUUUGUUCAUGUCAGACUGCAUAACUAGGCCAGCUAGAUGAAGGUUGAUUUUUCCUUCAGGAACAUUGAUUAUGGCUCCAGCUGUAGAUAGGAAUGGUCUUCCAAGAAUAAGGGGAUCCUUAGGUUCUCUUUCUAGUUCUAGAACUACGAAAUCGGUGGGGAUGGAACAUUUUUCAAUUUCUACUGAAAAAUCUAUUAGGAUACCUACGGGUUGUCUAACGGAACGAUCAGCUAGUACUAAAGAAAUUUUAGUGGGCUUGAAAGUGUGGUGUCCUAAACGUUUUGCUACUGAAAGUGGCAUCAUGUUUAUGCUAGAACCUAAAUCACAGAGAGCACGCUCAAAAGCUACAUCAUUGAUGGUGCAUGAAAGUACGAAGCUUCCAGGAUCGUUUUCUUUUCAGGGAUUCGACUUUGCAGGAUAGAACUACAUUCAUGGGUUAUCAUCAUAACGCCUUCUUCAAGAGUUAAAGAAUUUGUUAGAAUACCCUUCAUGUAUUUUCUUAAAGCUGGAAUCAUAGCACAAGCUUCUACGAAAGGUAAUCUCACAUUUAGUUGAUCAAUUAACUCUUUCAGCUUAGAUUUUUCUUUCUCUUUCUUAGGGGCUCUUAAGCCUCUAGGAUAUGGAGGUUUAGGUUUAUAGACACGAGUUGGUGGAGGUGGAAUUGGAUCUUCUCCAAGAAUUUCCCGAGAUGAAUCUUCUCUUACUUCUUCUCCACUCUUUUCUCCUACCACUUCUUUUUCAAUAUCUUCAUUCGUGAUUCUUUCUUUUUCUUUCUCCUUUUCCUUACCCUUUUCCUCAUCUUUGGGAUCUUUAGGAAAUUCAGGCUCUUUGUAAGCUAAUCCACUCCUAAGUGUGAUAGCUUUCACAUGAUCGGAGAGAUCUGCUUCACUUGAGUUCUCGAAAAAAUUUUCACUUGGCUCCUCUUCAGAAUUUUCUAUGUUUCUAGAAUUGGUUUUGAUCAUCAGGCUAAGGAGGGUGGAAAAUUUUUCAUUGAAAUCCCUUUGCAUCGUGUUUAGGUCAGAUCUAAGAUCACUAAUCUCUUGAGACCUAGAUUUUUCAAGCUCUAGAAUCUUUUCGUUUAGGUUUUCAGCUUCAGAAGAGGGAAAACUAGGAUAUGGAACAGGAUUAGAUUGAAUAGCCAAGAUUGGUUCGGAAGAUGGUUUCCAGUCAAGCUCAGAAGACAAUUUCCCGCGGUCAGAAGGCUCCGCGGUGAAACGAGUCUUGGCUGCGGUCAGAACCAGCACGACCGCGGUGAAAGCUUGCUUGGCUGCGGUCCGGAUGAAUGGACCCGCGGUGAUCAGAAACGAAUGGAAAAUCUUGAAUUUGAUAGACUUCUGCAGUGUUAACCAUCCCUUGAUCAUAAGAAUCCAUUGGGUUGUCCCAGCCAUCAAAGUUACACGUAUUGUGUACCUUAUUUGGUUGUUGCAAUCCAAGAUGACUCAUUAUGUGAUGAAGACACUUUAUAACUUCCGAGAUCUCUUCUUUCUUCUCAGGAAUUGCAGAAUUACUAAAAGUUACUUGAUUUCGGAUGCUGUUUGCGAAAUUGUUGAUGAAAGCAUGAGCAUCUUCUACAGAUCUAGUUGAGAAGUCUCCAUUACUUGAUGUGUCGAAAGAGUGUCGUAACUCUAGAGUUAUACCGCGAUAGAAGAUACCCAGCAGGUAUUCCUCGAUAUAUCCAUGGUGUGGACAAUCUCUUUGGUAUUCCCUAAAUCUUUCCCAAGUAUCUAAAAGAUCUUCAUCUUCUUUUUGUUUAUAAGUUCUUAUCUUGCUCCUUAAGAGAUUUGAACGAUUUCUAGUGUCAAAACAAUUUAGGGAAUGAUUUUAGUGAAGCAGGUGGCAAAGAUUUUAGCCAUUUGCUGGCAUUGUCUUUCAAAGAGAAUGGGAAAAGACUACACUUGUGGUAAUCCCCAUUUGCUGUAAUGGUUGCACAUAAUUCUUCGAACGUCUCGAUAUGGUCUAUCGGGUUUUCGAAUGAAUAACCAUAGAAUUUAUUUUGUUGAACUAAAUGGAUAUAAGGUACCUUGAUGUCGGUUUUGCCAUCCUCUGGUAAGGCUGGUUGAAUAGCUCUUCGAUCUCCCAAGAAUUUCUCGAGUGAAUCAAAACUUCCAAUAAGUUCUUCAUCAUCUUCAUGUUUUGCCGAUCCGACUAGCUCAUUGUCAUCAUAGAUCGGUUCUUCAAACUCAUCAUCAGUCAGGUCAUCAUUGCUUGGAUCACCAUCCACACGAUAUGGUGGAUCACCAAGAGUUCCGGGAACAUGUUCCCGGUCUUUCAUCUCAGAGAAACCUGAAAAAUUCAAAAGAAAAAGUAAAAAUAAACAAGUGUUCUAAUGGAUUUAAGCUGGGAUUCGCAACGAAACAAAUCAAAGUCCCCGGCAAUAGCGCCAAAAACUUGAUUGCAAUUUGUAAACGGGGUUUGUUGUUUUCGUUUUACUAAGCUUCAGGUUUUAAAUUUAUAACCCCUAAAUGUCUGCAAGUACACAGAUGUGCGCUGUAGUACUUAGGAUAUCGAUCCACAUAGACUUAGUUGUUUCAGUACGAAUUCACGGUAAUGCUUAAAUCAGACUAUAACUAAAUAGUUUUGGGUUUUGGUUUUGGGUUUUUGGUUGUCACUAAAUCUAAACUAGAAAACUAAACAAGUAAAAACAAUUAAAAACGAAAUCAAGUGCAAGCAACUAAAAAUCGAUUAUGAAUGAAAGCAAGUAACAAGCGAAUGAAAGCAGAAUGGAAAUCGAAGGUUGUAAGCAAUGAAAGACAAACGUUGGGGCUCAAGGGGUUUCGCAGGGGCUCAUGGACUAAGCUAUGUCGAUUUUAACCAAGUGAUAAAGGUAAUCAACUACAUAUGUUCUAGAACUCGAGGCACGGAAGUAUGAAUAGCCUACUUUCGCAGCACUAAACAACUAUCUCUCGCAACCCUGAUCAGUAGGUUUCCACUCUGUUCCUGGAAGGGAGAAGAUGCAAUAGCAGAAUAAGACUCAUCAACAUUCACAGCUCAACUACAGGUAGGUUUCCACUCCUAUAGAAUAAUCGCUCGUUUCACCCUAGUUCAGACAAUCUAUGAAAACUUUCGCAACAUAUCAUAUCAGAUCGGCUUUUAAGUGGCCAGCAAAGAAUCACGCAGUAAGAUUAAAGGCAAACAAAGAACAUCUAGAAGAUUAAUAAUCCUAAAUCUAUCGAUUCAUAAGCAAAGACACAUGAAAUUCCCUUUGAAUAAUCCCUUUAAACCCAACUGUGUAACUACUCAAACAUAUUGUAACAAAGCAUAGUGCAGGAAAUUAAAGAGAACAAGGAAGAGAAACAAAGAACAGAGAAGCGGACGGAGGCGCGAUGAUUGCACUCCAGCGGCGGCUCCUCCUUAGGGUUACACGAAAAUCUCUCUCUCUCCAAGUAUGUCUAAGUUUCGGUCUCUGCUCUUUAGAAUGACCUAAAGAGGGUAUUUAUAGCUGUUGGAGUUGUCCUGGACACUUAGGGCUUCAAAAAUAACAAAAGGAAUUGAUCUGGGCUUUACUUAAGUCGUCUGGAAAGUGAACGACCAAGUUCCGCGGUCGCGGUGGCUCUACCCACGGGAAAAUGGGUGUUGGCCGCGGUCCCGGCUCGUGGUCCUGUUCCGGAACUGCAUUUUCUGUCAUUCUUGCAUCGGGAGUAUCUGAAGAUCUAACCGUUGGAUUGUAUCCAAACCAAGUGCAUUAGAAAGCUGGUUGGAUCCUCUAUGUUUUCUCUAAUUUUAGGGGUGAUCAGACGGUGAGAAGGUCUUCAUCGCUUGUCAUACUUCUGACGGUCUGCAUUUAUCCAAAAUUGCUCAUUUGUUCCAAAUUGCAUAUCUUUUACCCAAGUUUCCUGUAAAUUCUUUUGAAACUCUAAAACAUUGAAAACACUUUAAAAACCAUUGAAAACAUAGUUAAAACACCUGCAUAAGAUACAAUUAUGAUCCAUAAAAGUGGUCAAAAUACAGUGUUAUCAGGUUGUUGCCCCCAGAACUGUGUUCUUGGUGGUUUUCUGACUCGAGUAGGAAAAUUUUGCUCAAAGAGUGUUGUCCAUCUAGCGCAAAACUGUUUAGGGGAUUUUUAGUCAUCUGCGCAGGCAAGUCUCCUUCUAAACUAGCAAACACGUGAAAGGCCUGGAAAACACGAUGGAAGAGUGUUUUUUGAUGGCUCUCCUACGCUCAAGUCAGAAAACAGGGAAAGAAAGGACACGUAGUGGCAAAUUGGAGAGAGGAAAGAGAUCAUAAAAUGGAGGAAGGAAGUUUUGUCGAGAGCUCGGGAGAAAAAUGGAAUCUACUCGGACCUUUGUGUGGUAAUGGGCUUUUUGAGGUGAAAAAUGAGGAAGUGUAAGAGUUUUGGGGUGAGAGUGCUCCACGGUUUAGGAACCGCCGUGGAAAGCAAGUAAAGAGAUGGUCGUAAUAAUGACCAGAAAUGUUAAGUGCUAUGGCUUAAGGAUCACGAGUAUCUAGAGAGUUAGCAUGAGCCUUAAGUUAGCGAAAAUAGUGAACCCCCUUCUCGUUGAAAGAGACAAGGUAUUUAUAGAGUUUUACCUAAUCCUGAUUAAUAUACCGGAACGGUCCUUGGGUCACAGGUUUGGCGGAUCAGUUCGUGAUCCGACUUGGUUGGAUCCAAAUCUUAUGCUUGCAUCAUGCCUUUGAUGGUCUCACCAAUUUUCAUUGACACGUUAAAAAAAGUUGGUGAGAGUGUCAGAGGCAUGACAUGAGCAUAAGACUCAGAUCCAACGAAGCCAGAUUACGAACUGACCCGCCCGACUCACGGCCUAAGGACUGACCCCAGUAUAUGAACCUGAGUCAGGUAAAAUUUUAUAAAUACUCUAUUCUUUCUAACGAGGAAGGAGUUCACUGUUUUCGCUACCUUAAGGCUCAUACUAUCUCUCUAGAUAUUAUCCUUAAGCUGCAGCACUUUAUAUUUUAUGGUCAUUACUCCGACCAACUCUUCACUUUCUCUCUACGGUGGUUCCUAGUUCCUAAACCGUGGAGCAAUGCCACCCAGAAAAUCUUAUAGUUCUUCUCUUUUCAUCUCAUGAUAACACCGUAUUUUGACCACUUUUAUGGAUCGUUUUGAAAUACUUUUUCUAUGUUUUUAAUUGCUUUUAAGUACUUUUAUUACGUUUUUCUAAUAUUUGUAGUUCCAAGACUCUUUUCAGGAUACUUAGUGAAAAGCUUAACAAAAUGGAUAGAAAACCAGAUUUCAGCUCAGAGUCAAACCGUCAGAAGUUCACCCCUGAUUGAAGGCCUUCUCACCGUCCGAUCCAGCUCAAAUUUGGUGACCUUAAAGAUGGAAGUAUCAGCUUUCCAAUGCACUUUACAGCUUGGCAAUCCAACGGUUCAAUCAAAAGAUAUCCCGUAAACCAGCCGGCAAGCACUUCCACCUGCGGCCAAACAACCUCCGAGCCCAAAAAGCCCAUUUCUGAAGCCCACAUUUGGAGAAACCCUAAGUGACGUCCAGAGAGGUCUUGAGCACUAUAAAUGCAUGUCUUAGGAACCCUAAAUCGUGUAACCUCAUCACCACCGAAUUGUUACUUCAUAUUUUUAUUGUUUUUGCUUUAGCUUUUAGGGAGAGAGAGAUUUGUUCUCUUGAACCCUUGUUCUUUCUUUUUCAAUUUCGGUUUCUAUUCUACUUCUUAAUACUAUGUCUUUGAUUUCGUUCAUUAUGUCUGAGUAGUUUUAUUGUUGGGAUUAAGAGAUUUUCGAUGGGGAUUUAUAUGUUCGAUGAGGAUUCCAUGAGCUUUUGAGCCGAAUCUUAGAACUUUUUCUUCUGAAUUCUUUUUUACUGCAUGAGAGUAGCAUCAUGAACUACAAUCUGAUCCAGAUACUUGGUGACACGAAAGUGUUCAUCAGGUAUCAGAUCUAGUUUAGGAGAGCAAAACAAACAUAGGAGUGGAAACCUACCUAUGGGCGAUUUGUGAAUUAGGACGAGUCUUAAACAUAAUGCAUCUUUUCUCUUCCAGGGCCAGAGUGGAAACCUACUGGUCAGGGUUGAGAGAGAUAGUUGUCUAUGAUCACGACAGUGGCGUAUUCAUACGUCCGUGACUCCAGUUCGAAAAGUUUAAGCUAAGAUCUUACAAAAUUUCCUCUCUAGCAAUGUUUUGAAUCGUUCGUACCCCUGAGAAAACUUCCCUGAACCCCAACGCUUUCUUUCUUAUUGAUUUACACCGAUUUUCUUUCAAGUUUUAGUUCAAUAUUGUCUUUCCUUUUUAGUUUAUUUUCAUUUAAGCAAUUAGAUAUCCGUUUUUUUACAUUUUUAGUCAUUUUCGUUAAGUUUAGUUAUUACGUCAUUUAAUUCCCGUAUUCUCUUUUAAUAUUUCGUUUUUACAUUUUAAGCACACUACCAAACCCCCACAAAACCGUUUUGGUUCUAGACUUCCUUACUUAAUACUUAUUUCAAAGGCUUUUUGCAGGAAAAGAUCCUCCUUCCCUGUGGCUUCGAUCCCUAAGUACUACAACCGAUCAGCUGUGCACUUGCGGCUAUUGAUUUCAAUUAGGGUAAAACUUGACAACCCUCGACACCACACAUCAAGUCGCACCACCAUCAUCUCACAAAGCCCAUCAGCACUUAAAGGCCCGAGUCGAUUCCACUUUUCUCAGAAAGGCUCAUCUCCUACUCUCGUUUUCCGAUCUCUUUUCUCUCUCUGAUUAGCCACUUAGUAGUUUUUUUUACUGUUUUCUUACUUGAGUGUCAGAAAGCCAUUCGAAAACAUACCCCAUCGUGUUUUUGGGCCCAUGCAUUAUAUAGUUUUGCAGGAGAAUUUCUCCUGCAGAGGACAAAAAAUCCCAUAUAUAGUGUCAAGACAAUCGAAAAUUCAAAACUGUGUAGCAGUGACCAAGUUGAAUUAUGUACUUUCUAAGAAAAUUAGUGAUUAAGAAUAAUAUAAAUAAAGAAGAAGUUUUACUAUAGAGACGUGAAUAACCCAAUAAUUAUCUGGAAUUUAUACAUUUUUAGUGUUUUAUAUACCUGCGGAACUAUUUAUUUGCAGCAAAUAAAAAAAACAAUUAUACGCAAAAUGAGUUGUUUAUAGUUGUAGCUAAAAACUGAAAUAGUUAGGGGGUGUGAAUGGUAAAAACUUAUUAUAAUGAUUAAUUAAGCUACAACUCAUUUUGCGUAUAAUUGUUUUUUAUUUGUUGCAACUGUAAAAAUAGUAGUAUUUAAGAAGAAAUAUAGGGAAUAUAUAAGAGGGAAAGGAAAAGUUAUUAUAAAAGGAAAUAAACCCAAAUUAUUACUUUGUAUUUCAUUUGUAUGUUCCUUAUUUUUAUCAGAUUUCAAAUUAAUGUAUAAUUGUGAUUUUUUUCUUAACAGGUUUUUUCCUAUUAAUUUUUAAAGGGGGAGAAUUUUCUUUAUAUAUCUAUUUUUUUAGACUUUCUGAAAAAAGAUGUCUCUCAAAAAAUAUGAACGGUAAAAUCAAAAUGGGACCAAAAGUCUCUCAUUAUAAAAAAAAAACUUACUGAUAAAUUGUGGGUUUAGAUUCUUUUAUAGGUUUUGAUAUUUGCAUAAAAAUGAUUAAGUAAAAAGAGAUUUACAAGCUUUUAGGAUUAACAUAAAUCCAAAUGUUUGAAUCUAAUUUUGUUUUUGUUAAAGGUGAAUAGAAUUUUCAAAAAGAAGAAUUUCUUUAUUGAAGGAAACCCAAAUAUUUCAAAACUUGAUUAGAUGAAACCAAUUCUUCCAUAAUUUAAUGACUUUAUGAUAAACAACAACCAAACACUUUUCAAAAAUCUACACCAGUUUAAGAACUUAAGGAUACUACGGUUGAUUAGACGCAAGAUUAAGAGCAAAUCACAUCAAUCUUAUAAUAGAUUGCUCGAAUUUAAAUAUUGUAUACCAUUGUACAUUAAGGGAAAAACAUUAUUACAUAAAAAGCAAAUUAAGUAAGAGAUAGGUUUUUUUUAAUUUAAAGAGCAAAUUAUGAAAAAUAUAGAUCAACUUUAGAACUUGCGAAGAAAGUGAGCUCAAGGGACAAAGUCUCAUCAUUGUUACCAUCAUCAUUGUCCAUUUCAUUGUUUUCAGUUUCAUUCGUUCCAAUCUGCCAUAUCCAGUUAUAUACAUUAUUAUAUGUGAAUGAAAUAAUACGUAUCAAAUCUUCAAUAAAAUUUGUUCAUACUUAGUCAUUAUUAAUCAUGUUUGAUGAUUAUAGCGUAAGAAUUUUGAAAAGAGAAAAAACUUAAAAUUUUAAACAGAGAGAAAACUUACUCUUGAAGAUUGAAACAGAGACUUGCAAGAUAUUUCAAAAACUCUCUUACUUGAUUCUCCCAUUUCCAUUAUUUUGUCCUGCUUUCUUUCUUCUUCCCUACAAUAUUGAUUAAAAAAGAUACAUUCAAAUUUAAAACAAAAAACCUAUAUAUAUAUAUAUUAACUUUUUAAUUUAAUAAUAAUUAAGUAUUAUACGAACAUUUUCGCAUAGAAUUGACAAUUUCUACAAGACGUUCAUAUUGACGAAGGUGUUGUUGAGUUUGCCUCAAAAUCAUUUCUCUUGUCAGUCUUUCCCUUCGAAUUCCUUGUACCUCUUCUACUAUAGGACAUGUAAGUGUAUAGAUUUUUAUUUUCUAUAUAAUAUUUACAUAUAAAUGCUUUUUUAAGAAAACUUCAACAUAUUUGGUCUGAGCAUAUAUUUUUUAUUUUUGUUUUAUUUCUGAAAAUAUUUUUUAUACAUACACUUAUAGAAAAUACAAUUUCUUUAUAAAUAUAAUAAUAAAAAAUAAAUAAAUGUAUAUAAUACUUAUUCACUUUUUUUAUACUCAUCAAGCAUGGUGGUCCUAUACAUCUGAUGAAGGCAAAAACAUAAAAUUGGUUCAUAUUAAGCCCAACAUAAUAUGACAAAAUUGACAAAAUAUGAUACGCAUCUAUUGGGAAAAAUGAAGAAAUUAAAUAAUGUAUAUAUAUGUUACGACCUGGAGAUGGAUCUUUACAUGUGAUAUAGUGAGUCCUUCAAUAUUCAUUAUCUCCAAAAUUCUCUUAGGAGUUGCUUGUGCAUUUACAAUGAUUAAUACAAGUUGAAUUUAUAUUAAAAGAAAAUAAUGUUUAGCCCACAACUCUAGAUUUAGGAUUGUUAUAUAGUUUUUAUAUAUGUUAGGAUCCUAAUUUAUAAUUCCGAUCCCCGAAUUUGACAAAUAUGAAUAUAUCACAAAAAACAAAAAACAGAAAAGAUAAAGAGAAUUAUAUAAUUGAAAAUUGAAAAGGAUAUGUAUCCGAUGAUAAAUUGAAAACAAUAGUUGAUGAUUCCGGUAGCAAUCUAUUUUAUGAUUUUCCUUAUUUUGUUUUAGAAAUUCACACAAAACAAGAAAAAUAUUAACUUACGAUGUAUUCCGCCAAGUUGUAGAACCGCAUAAAUAAAGCGAUCGUGAUGAUAGGCACUCCAUUGCAUCCGAUCCAUUUCACGUAUUAUAAGGUCUAACAAUCAUGACUUUUAUCAGAAAAAAUUCUCAAACUUUUCAGUUUUUGGUUUUUAGUUAUAAAAAACUCCGAUCAUGAAUGGUCAAUUUAUAGUAGUUGUAGACAAAAUUUAUGAUAUUAAAAAAUUAAAUAAUAAUUUUCAUAAAUGUAAAGGAUAGAAAAACAUUAAAUGUGCUUCUAAACUUGUCAUAGUGCAUAUAUUUUUACUUUCCUUUUUUUUGGUUUUCUUAAUUAGUUUGUUUCUUAUUUCCAUUAUUUAGAAAAAAAUCUUAUACAACUAUGAAUGAAUUGUUAAAAAGUUAUAUAUAUAUAUAUAUAAGCACUAUUCAAAUCUUCAAUUAUAUAUGCUAAGUUAAGUAUUUCCAUUAUUUAGAAAAAGUGCCUUACAACUAUGAGUUGGAUCAUCAAGAAAAUAAAAUAUAUGUUGGUAUUAUUCAAAUCAUCUUAGAUAUACUUUGAAAAGGAUCACUGGCAUUAUUUAAAAAAAUUUUAAUAAAAAAAAUCUUAAUAUAAAACCUAAAAACUAAACCCAUAAAAGCUAAGAAAUCAUUUUUCCAAUCCCAAAAGUAAUUUUUUUUUGUCGGUCUAUCCUUCUUUUUGUCUUUUUGUUUUUCCUCACUUGAGGGGUUCCCAGCCUUUAUGCGUGUUGUGAUCCUUGGGCAGGUAGGAUGCUGUGUUCUUCCUUCGUAACUAUGCUGUCUGUCUCCGGUUCCCUUUUUCACCUCCGGGUUACAGAUCCGAUUUAGUUGAUGUCGCGAUUUAUCUUGCUGGUCGUACCAUCCUUCCUUGGUAUAUCUCGUGUGUAUUUCUCGGUUUGCCUCCAGAGUCUUUCCAUCCUCCACCUGGUUGGGAACUCGAUCAAUCGUAGAUGUUUGCACACUGUGGCCUCCAUCUCGUCCACCCAAGGUUGACCUAACAACGCUAUGUACCGAGUUGGCGUGCUGACUACUGUUAUGGCCAUUACCCAGGGGUUAUUAAGUGCAGUGACUAUGAGUGCUGCCUCUCCUAUCGCUCGAGUCACCCUCCCAUUAUAUUCUAUGAACAUUAUCUUCGCUGGUUUGAGGGACCUUCGAAAUCCCACGAACUCUUUGAAGAUGGCUGCAAGAUGAGAUUAACAGGGCAGGUCUAGUCCACCAGAAUCUGCCUCAUCUGUUUGCCUCCUAUCUCCAACAUCACAUUCAGAGCGGGGUAUUGAGUGAUAAUUCUCGACACUUUUUCGGCUGCGUUGAAGAACUCUGGCGGGCGAGCCAGUCGCCUUCGAAUUCCAAGCCUUUUACUGUGACUUUCUUCCUCAGCUUCAUUCGUGUGUCUAUCGACCUGUCCGACCUUGUUGAAGCUCCCUAUUACACGGUCUUGUUUUUUCAACACUCGCUUCACUUUCCUAGAGAGCAGAAGUCGUAUGGAAAGGUGGCAAACCAGAGCCAGCAUCUCCUCCGUAAAGGCCAAACAGCUCUCAGUCUGAUGCCCUCUGGAUCAGUGGUACUUGCACCAUAGUUUUCUGUAUUUCCGUUCCUCUGAGGCGGGCUCAUCUUCUCCAUCUGGAUCCCGUAUGGCAUGAGAAAUUGUUACCCACACUUCUUCCUCCAAUCACCUCUGGUCACACCAUCCAGGGAUGGAAGUGGAACAUGCUACAAGGGGGUUUACCUCUGGCUCAUCUCCUUGGUCUCCGGUUAUCUCCCAGUCGUUGUCGCUUGCGCCUCCCUUGGCGUUCUCCCUUUGGUCAGGAUCCUUUAGCCGAUGGGUAUGUAAGGUUCAUUCUCUGUAAACUCGAUCAUGCCCACCUAGCACUUGCAGUUUUUUGCUCUGGCUUUGACGGUAUUUUGUUUGCUGCCAAUCACUGUCUGGGUCUCUCCCAUUUGCAUUCAUAGGUUGUUGCCCUCAGAACUGUGUUCUUGGUGGUUUUCUGACUCGAGUAGGAAAAUUUUGCUCAGAGAGUGUUGUCCAUCUACCGCAGAACUGUUUAGGGGAUUUUUAGUCAUCUGCGCAGGCAAGUCUCCUUCUAAACUAGCAAACGCGUGAAGGCCUGGAAAACACGAUGGAGGAGUGUUUUUUGAUAGCUCUCCUACGCUCAAGUCAGAAAACAGGGAAAGAAAGACCACGAAGUGGCAAAUUAAAGAGAGGAAAGAGAUCAGAAAAUGGAGGAAGGAAGUUUUGUCAAGAGCUCGGGAGAAAAAUGGAAUUUACUCGGACCUUUGUGUGGUAAUGGGCUUUUUGAAAAAGAGGAAGUGUAAGAGUUUUGGGGUGAGAGUGCUCCACGGUUUAGGAACCGCCGUGGAAAAGAAGUAAAGAGAUGGUCGUAAUAAUGACCAGAAAUGUUAAGUGCUAUGGUUUAAGGAUCACAAGUAUCUAGAGAGUUAGCAUGAGCCUUAAGUUAGCAAAAAUAGUGAACCCCCUUCUCGUUGAAAGAGACAAGGUAUUUAUAGAGUUUUACCUGAUCCGGAUUAAUAUACCGGAACGGUCCUUGGGUCACAGGUUUGGCGGAUUGGUUCGUGAUCCGACUUGGUUGGAUCCAAAUCUUAUGCUUGCAUCAUGCCUUUGAUGGUCUCACCAACUUUCAUUGACACGUUAAAAAAAGUUGGUGAGAGUGUCAGAGGCAUGACGUGAGCAUAAGACUCAGAUCCAACGAAGCCAGAUUACGAACUGACCCGCCCGACUCACGGCCUAAGGACUGACCCCAGUAUAUGAACCUGAGUCAGGUAAAAUUUUAUAAAUACUCUAUUCUUUCUAACGAGGAAGGAGUUCACUGUUUUCGCUACCUUAAGGCUCAUACUAUCUCUCUAGAUAUUUGUGAUUCUUAAGCUGCAGCACUUUAUAUUUUAUGGUCAUUACUCCGACCAACUCUUCACUUUCUCUCUAUGGUGGUUCCUAGUUCCUAAACCGUGGAGCAAUGCCACCCAGAAAAUCUUAUAGUUCUUCUCUUUUCAUCUCACAAAUCCCAUCAGCACUUAAAGGCCCGAGUCGAUUCCACUUUUCUCAGAAAGGCUCAUCUCCUACUCUCGUUUUCCGAUCUCUUUUCUCUCUCUGAUUAGCCACUUAUUAGUUUUUUUUUACUGUUUUCUUACUUGAGUGUCAGAGAGCCAUUCGAAACCACACCCCAUCGUGUUUUUGGGCCCAUGCAUUAUAUAGUUUUGCAGGAGAAUUUCCCCUGCAGAGGACAAAAAAUCCCAUAUAUAGUGUCAAGACAAUCAAAAAUUCAAAACUGUGUAGCAGUGACCAAGUUGAAUUAUGUACUUUCUAUGAAAAUUAGUGAUUAAGAAUAAUAUAAAUAAAGAAUAAGUUUUACUAUAGAGACGUGAAUAACCCAAUAAUGAUCUGGAAUUUAUACAUUUUUAGUGUUUUAUAUACUUGCGGAACUAGUUAUUUGCAGCAAAUAAAAAAAACAAUUAUAUGCAAAAUGAGUUGUUUAUAGUUGUAGCUAAAAACUGAAAUAGUUAGGGGGUGUGAAUGGUAAAAACUUAUUAUAAUGAUUAUUUAAGCUACAACUAUAAACAAGUCAUUUUGCGUAUAAUUGUUUUUUUAUUUGUUGCAACUGUAAAAAUAGUAGUAUUUAAGAAGAAAUAUAGGGAAAAUAUAAGAGGGAAAGGAAAAGUUAUUAUAAAAGGAAAUAAACCCAAAUUAUUUCAUUUGUAUGUUCCUUAUUUUUAUCAGAUUUCACAUUAAUGUAUAGUUGUGAUUUUUUUCUUAACAGGUUUUUUUUUAUUAAUUUUUAAAGGGGGAGAAUUUUCUUUAUAUAUCUAUUUUUUUAGACUUUCUGAAAAAAGAUGUCUCUCAAAAAAUAUGAACGGUAAAAUAAAAAUGGGACCAAAAAUCUCUCAUUAUAAUAAAAAAACUUACCGAUAAAUUUUGAGUUUAGAUUCUUUUAUAGGUUUUGAUAUUUGCAUAAAAAUGAUUAAGUAAAAAGAGAUUUACAAGCUUUAGGAUUAACAUAAAUCCAAAUGUUUGAAUAUAAUUUUGUUUUUGUUAAAGGUGAAGAGAAUUUUCAAAAAGAAGAAUUUCUUUAUUGAAGGAAACCCAAAUAUUUCAAAACUUGAUUAGAUGAAACCAAUUCUCCCAUAAUUUAAUGACUUUAUGAUAAACAACAACCAAACACUUUUCAAAAAUCUACACCAGUUUAAAAACUUAAGGAUACUACGGUUGAUUAGACGCAAGAUUAAGAGCAAAUCACAUCAAUCUUAUAAUAGAUUGCUCGAAUUUAAAUAUUGUAUAUCAUUGUACAUUAAGGGAAGAACAUUAUUACAUAAAAAGCAAAUUAAGUAAGAGAUAGGUUUUUUUUAUUUAAAGAGCAAAUUAUGAAAAAUAUAGAUCAACUUUAGAACUUGCGACGAAGAAUGAGCUUAAGGGACAAAGUCUCAUCAUUGUUACCAUCAUCAUUGUCCAUUUCAUUGUUUUCAGUUUCAUUUGUUCCAAUCUGAAAUAUCCAGUUAUAUACAUUAUUAUAUGUGAAUGAAAUAAUACGUAUCAAAUCUUCAAUUAAAUUUGUGCAUACUUAGUCAUUAUUAAUCAUGUUAGAUGAUUUUAGCGUAAGAAUUUUGAAAAGAAAAAAAACUUAAAAUUUUUAACAGAGAGAAAACUUACUCUUGAAGAUUGAAACAAAGACUUGCAAGAUAUUUCAAUAGCUCUCUUACUUGAUUCUCCCAAAUCCAUUAUUUUUUUCUGCUUUCUUUCUUCUUCCCUACAAUAUUGAUUAAAAAAGGUACAUUCAAAUUUAAAACAAAAAAAACAUAUAUAUAUAUAUAUAUAUAUAUAUAUAUUAAGUUUUUAAUUAAUAAUAAUUAAGUCUUAUACGAAAAUUUUCGCAUAGAGUUGACAAUUUCUACAAGAUUGUUAUAUAGUUUUUAUAUAUGUUAGCAUCCUAAUUUAUAAUUCCGAUCCCCGAAUUUGAAAAAUAUGAAUAUAUCACACAAAAAAUAAACAGAAAAGAUAAAGAGAAUUAUAUAAUUGAAAAUUGAAAAGGAUAUGUAUCCGAUGAUAAAUUGAAAACAAUAGUUGAUGAUUCCGGUAGCAAUCUAUUUUAUGAUUUUUCUGAUUUUAUUUUAGAAAAUCAUACAAAACAAGAAAAAAUAUUAACUUACGAUGUAUUCCGUCAAGUUGUACACCGCAUAAAUAAAGCGAUUGUGAUGAUAGCCACUCAAUUGCAUCCGAUCCAUUUUUUGACAAAUUAUAAGGUCUAAAAAUCGUGACUUUUAUCAGAAAAUUUUCGAACUUUACAGUUUUUGGAUUUUAGUUAUUAAAAACUCUUAUCAUGAGUGGUCAAUUUAUAAUAGUUGUAGACAAAAUUUAUAAGGUUAAAAAAUAAAUUAUUAAUUUUCAUAAAUGUAAAGGGUAGAAAAACAUAAAUGUACUACUAAACUUGUCAUAGUGCAUAUCUUUUUACUUUCCUUUUUUUUUGGUUUUCUAAAUUAGUUUGUUUAUUAUUUCCAUUAUUUAGAAAAUAAUAUUUUAAAAUUAUUAAUAUAUUAUUUAAAAACUUAUAUUUAUAUAUAUAUAUAUAAGCAUUAUUGAAAUCUUCAAUUAUAUAUGCUAAGUUAAGUAUUUCCAUUAUUUAGAAAAAAUGCCUUACAAUUAUGAGUUGGAUCAUCAAGAAAAUAAAUUAUAUGUAAGUAUUAUUCAAAUCAUCUUAGAUAUAUUUUGAAAAUGAUCACUGGCAUUAUUUUAAAAAAUUUUAAUAAAAAAAAAUCUUAAUAUAAAACCUAAAAACUAAUCCCAUAAAAGCUAAGAAAUUAUGUUUCCAACCCCAAAAAUGAUUUUUUUUUUUUUUUUGUCGGCCUCUCCUUCUUUUUGUCUUCUUGUUUUUCCUCACUUGAGGGGGUUCCCAGCCUUUAUGCGUGUUGUGAUCCUUGGGCGGGUAGGACGCUGUGUUCUUCCCUCGUAACUAUGCUGUCAUUCUCUGGUUCCCUUUUUCACCUCCGGGUUACAGAUCCAAUUUAUUUGAUGUCGCGAUAUAUCUUGCUGGUCGUACCAUCCUUCCUUGGUAUAUCUCGUGCGUAUUUCUCGGUUUGCCUCCAGAGUCUUUCCAUCCUCCACCCGGUUGGGAACUCGAUCAAUCGUAGAUGUUUGCACACUGUGGCCUCCAUCUCAUCCACCCAAGGUUGACCUAACAGCGCUAUGUACCGAGCUGGCGUGCUGACUACUCUUAUGGCCAUUACCAAGGUGUUAUUAAGCGCGGUGACUAUGAGUGCUGCCUCUCCUAUCGCUCGAGUCACCCUCCCAUUAUAUUCUAUGAACAUUAUGUUCUCUGGUUUGAGGGACCUUCGAAAUCCCACGAACUCUUCAAAGAUGGCUGCAAGAUGAGAUUAACAGGGCAGGUCUAGUCCACCAGAAUCUGCCUCAUCUGUUUGCCUCCUAUCUCCAACAUCACAUUCAGAGCAGGGUAUUGAGUGAUAAUUCUCGACACUUUUUCGGCUGCGUUGAAGAACUCUGGCGGGCGAGCCAGUCGCCUUCGAAUUCCAAGCCUUUUACCGUGACUUUCUACCUCAGCUUCAUUCGUGUGUCUAUCGACCUGUCCGACCUUGUUGAAGCUCCCUAUUACACGGUCUUGUUUUUUCAACACUCGCUUCACUUUCCUAGAGAGCAGAAGUCGUAUGGAAAGGUGGCAAACCAGAGCCAGCAUCUCCUCCGUAAAGGCCAAACAGCUCUCAGUCUGAUGCCCUCUGGAUCAGUGGUACUUGCACCAUAGUUUUCUGUAUUUCCGUUCCUCUGAGGCGGGCUCAUCUUCUCCAUCUGGAUCCCGUAUGGCAUGAGAAAUUGUUACCCACACUUCUUCCUCCAAUCACCUCUGGUCACACCAUCCAGGGAUGGAAGUGGAACAUGCUACAAGGGGGUUUACCUCCGCCUCCUCUCCUUGGUCUCCGGUUAUCUCCCAGUCGUUGUCGCUUGCGCCUCCCUUGGCGUUCUCCCUUUGGUCAGGAUCCUUUAGCCGAUGGGUAUGUAAGGUUCAUUCUCUGUAAACUCGAUCAUGCCCACCUAGCACUUGCAGUUUUUUGCUCUGGCUUUGACGGUAUUUUGUUUGCUGCCAAUCACUGUCUGGGUCUCUCCCAUUUGCAUUCAUAGGUUGUUGCCCCCAGAUCUGUGUUCUUGGUGGUUUUCUGACUCGAGUAGGAAAAUUUUGCUCAGAGAGUGUUGUCCAUCUAGCGCAGAACUGUUUAGGGGAUUUUUAGUCAUCUGCGCAGGCAAGUCUCCUGCAAAACUAGCAAACGCGUGAAGGCCUGGAAAACACGAUGGAGGGGUGUUUUUUGAUGGCUCUCCUACACUCAAGUCAGAAAACAGGGAAAGGAAGACCACGAAGUGGCAAAUUGGAGAGAUGAAAGAGAUAAGAAAAUGGAGGAAGGAAAUUUUACCGAGAGCUCGUGAGAAAAAUGGAAUCUGCUCGGACCUUUGUGUGGUAAUGGGCUUUUUGGAAGUGUAAGAGUUUUGGGGUGACAGUGUUCCACGGUUUAGGAACCGCCGUGGAGAGGAAGUAAAGAGAUGGUCGUAAUAAUGAGCAGAAAUGUAAAGUGCUAUGGCUUAAGGAUCACAAGUAUCUAGAGAGUUAGCAUGAGCCUUAAGUUAGCGAAAAGAGUGAACCCCCUUCUCGUUGAAAAAGACAAGGUAUUUAUAGAGUUUUACCUAAUCCGGAUAAAUAUACCGAAACGGUCCUUGGGUCACAGGCUUGGCGGAUCGGUUCGUGAUCCGACUUGGUUGGAUCUGAAUCUUAUGCUUGCAUCAUGCCUCUGAUGAUCUCACCAACUUUCAUUGAUACGUUAAAAAAAGUUGGUGAGAGCGUUAGAGGCAUGACGUGAGCAUAAGACUCGGAUCCAACCAAGACAGAUUAUGAACAGACCCACCCGACUCACGGCCUAAGGACUAACCCAGUGUAUGAACCCGGGUCAGGUAAAAUUUUAUAAAUACUCUAUUCUUUCUAAUGAGGAAAGAGUUCACUUUUUUUGCUACCUUAAGGCUCAUACUAUCUCUCUAGAUAUUUGUGAUCUUUAAGCUGCAGCACUUUAUAUUUUAUGGUCAUUACUCCGACCAUCUCUUCACUUUCUCUUUACGGUGGUUCCUAAUUCCUAAACCGUGGAGCAAUCUCACCCAGAAAAUCUUAUACUUCUUCUCUUUUCAUCUCACAAAGCCCAUCACCACUUAAAGGUCCGAGUCAAUUCCACCUUUCUCAAAAAUGCCCAUCUCUUAUUCUUGUUUUCCGAUCUCUUUUCUCUCUCUGAUUAGCCACUUAGUAUUUUUUUUUUUUAAUGUUUUCUUACUUGAGCGUCAGAGAGCCAGUGGAAACACACCCUGUUGGGGUCGGUUUCAUCCCAAGCGGAUAAAACCAUCUCAAAAAUGACUAACUACUGGAGAAAACCGAUUUGCCAAGAAGGAACAGCUGCCCGCCGAAUAUGGGCCGAGCCGUCCCACGAAACAAGUGGGCCGAGCUUUGCUCACCAAGAUGAGUGGUCCGAGCCGUGGAAGAAGAUAAAUGGGCCAAGGCGCGAGAAGAACAAAGAGUGGGCCGAGCUGAGCAAGAGGAAGAAUGGGCCGAGCCACUUUUCUUCGUGUUGGGUCAAGCCUGUCCUUCUUUAAUGAGAUGAGCCAAAAUCGUAAAGGACCUACGCCCAUAAAAACCUUAGGCAAAGUGCUAUGGCGGCGGCUGCACGAAGCGAUAAAGAAAUAUUCCGAAAAUCUUUCCCGAGAUUCUUGGCUAGGCGGUUCAUAGAAUCUAUAUAAAUAGUCGCUGUAAACAAUUCAUGAUGUAAUUUUUGACAACGCAAGAGCAAUAAGACUUAAACACUUUUCAGCAAAACCCUUCUUUUGAUCUUACUGUUCUUGCGAUAAACCUUAGAAAUUUUGGAUCCCUUAAGUUUUCCUUAACAAAUUUUUGGUUGUGCGAGUUUUGGCUCACACAAUUUGGCGCCGUCUGUUGGGACUCGAAAUUUUCUUACUCAAUAUUGUCAAGAGCUAAAGAUCCGAAGAACAUGGCAACCGACGCACCCGGAGACGACAACAACAACAAUGGCGCGGAGAAAGACGCUCCACCAGCAAGCACGACAACGACAACCACCGAAGCCCAGGAGGAGAUGCGAAACAUGAUGGCCACGUUGAUGAAGAAAAUCGACGAGAAGGACAAGAGGAAUGAGGCGAUUACAGAGAGAUUUGACGCAAUGACGGCCGAAAGACGGCACCCAACUUGGAGUGCCAGGAUCUCCGAUCCGACAGAUAUAGUCAGGAGACGCUUCGAUUUCUCGACACCUGCAGGAGCAUCCAGUAGCGGCAUAAGAAAUCCCAUGGCUCCCCUAAUGUUUCGUCCCCUCGGCGAACAAACUCCCGCAGCUACCCGAGUCAACAUGACCGAGCCGCCCCCGCUUAGUCAGAAUUCAAGGCGACGAGGCGAUGAGGAGGAGAACGACGUGAUCGAUGUGGACGCCCAUCAGAGCGACAGAACCAGGAACUUGCAACAAAACAGCUCAGCUCGGCAGAUAAGUCAAGAAGAGCUCGCCUCGGCACUAAAUGGCAUUCAAGUUGACGAAGUCGCCGACCCGAUUCGCGAUAACGACCCAACCGAGGAAGAGGAAAAUCUCCAAUGGGUCAAGCAGGCAGAGUUCAAAGACGAGCCGAGGAGAGAAGACCAGGAGCGACCUCGCCCACCUAGGAGAAUGACACGCGCGCAAACCUUGGAGAUCGAAGAGUUGCGAGCCUCAAUGGCUCGGACAGUGGCAGAGAUACGCGCCAUGAAAUCUCAAGUGCAUAAUGCGACAAGUGCCGCGCCGGAGAUUGAUCGAAUGCUCGAGGAAACCAAAAGAACCCCGUUCACGACGAGGAUCCCAGAGGCUAUGAUCCCUGAGCCCGGAACAGUUAGGAUCCCUUUCUAUGAAGGAACCACCGACCUGAAAGCUCAUAUCACGGCGUUCCGCAUAGCAAUGGGACGAGCCUUCACGAGGAACUCUGCCAACCUGACCAAGCAAGAAAAAGACGCCGGUUAUUGUCUGCUGUUUGUAGAGCAUCUCAAAGGGGCCGCACUAGAAUGGUUCUCAAGGCAAGAACGUAAUUCGAUCAACAGCUUCCAGCAGUUCUCCGCCUUGUUCUUGAAGCAGUACUCGAUGUUCAUGGACCGAGACACCUCCGACGCCGAUCUAUGGACGUUAUCUCAAGGACCUAACGAACCGCUUCGGGAUUACAUGGCAAGGUUCAAAGCUGUUGUGUCCAAACUAGAAGGAAUAAGUGACAAGGCCGCCCCUAAGCCCUAAAACGAUCCCUAUGGUACAAAUCAGAGUUUCGAAGGGAGAUGGCGCUGAACACGCCGCAAACAAUUCAGGACGCUCUGCAUCGAUCAUCAGACUUUAUCGUGAAUGAGGAAAAAAUAAAGAAUUUAGACGAGCAGUACGAAGCGACGAAAGCAGCAAUCCGGAGCUUGAUUUUAACUCCGGAUCUGAAGAAAUACUAUCACUAAGGAUGCACCACGACCAGCAUGAACUACGGAACAGUACGAAGCAACGCAAGCAGCAAUCCGGAGCUUGAUUUUAACUCCGGAUCUGAAGAAAUACUAUCACUAAGGAUGCACCACGACCAGCAUGAACUACGGAACAACUUGAUCCCUGCAAAUUGUACGUAGGCAGCCCGUCCUCAGACGGGUUCAGCUGUCCCCCUUCCUAAAGGGGGGGGGGGAGUAGUUUUCAUUCACUUGCUUUCACUUCGGCUAGUCUUUUAUUCACUUGUUUUACGUCGGCUAGACAUUUUACUUGUUUUACAAAGCACUUUAUUUUCAUUGAUCUUGCAUUGCUUCGGCAAAGUUUUACUUUGGUAUCCAAACACCAUACGCCUCGUCUCGUUUCAGGCCACAACGAGACAACAAAUACAAAGUUCUCUAAACGGACUUUUACCACCUUUCCUAGGACAAGGGUGCAAGUUACAUCCUUUAUGGAUAAAAAUUAAGCGCGCUAUACAAAUUUCAGACUUAAAACGUAUCGGUCGCCACAGUCCACAAUCGCACACGAGAUUAUAAGUCGAGACUACAUCGAUUUCUCUAAAACCAAAGUGAACUCUUAAAACCCGGCAAAACACACUCACCCUCUCGGGAACGCCGGUCUAUAGUCAUAUUCCAAAGAGAAAACUAUAUCCUCUUGAACUUUUGCCUCAUCAAUGAGAAACCCUGGGCUAACGCCUCGGCAAGAAAAAAACAGGCUCAAGCUAAACACUUUGGCUGCAACGCCCGACUCUUCCUCACGAACGAUCAGUCUCUCAAAGAGAACAAGGCCUAUAAAACACAUAACUUACUUGAAAAAUACUUCGGCGUUAGUCGGAGAUUCUUUCUCAAAACAAUCUAAAACAGCUCACCUCAAUGAGGACCUCUCUCAGGGAUAGAAUGGAUAAAUCUCAAUGAACGGCCAGAAAUCAUCUUUGGUUAAUAAAAAAAAACGCCUCGUCGUUAUACAUGGCUCGGCAUCACAUAAUGAAAUUGCCUUGUCGUUAUACAUGGCUCGGCAUCAUCUAAUGAAAACGCCUCGCCGUUGUCAUUAAACACGGCUCGGCAUUGCCAAUAAAAAUCGCCUCGUCGUUAUCAUUAAACACGGCUCGGCAUUACCAAUGAAAAUCGCCUCGUCGUUAUCGCUAAACACGGGUCGGCGUCAUCUAAACGAAGACGCCUCGUCGCCUAUGCAUUAUCUUCUAUCGUCACCUAGGCAUCAUUUUACUGUACUCAUCGCCUAGGCAUCACCUCGCCUUGUCGCCUAGGCAUUAUCUCGGCUCGUUGCCUAGGCAUUAUUUUGGCUCGUCGCCUAGGCAUUAUCUCGGCUUGUCGCCUAAGCAUCAUCUUGCCUUUUUCGCCUAGGCAUCAUCUUGCCUCGCAUCUCGUCGCCUAGCCAUCAUCGGCUCGUUGCCUAGGCAUCACCUCGCCUUGUCUCUUAGACAUUAGGUCGGCUCGUUGCCUAGGCAUUAUCUCUGCUCGUCGUCCAUGCAUUAUCUCGGCUCGUCGCCUAGGCAUCAUCUUGCAUCGUCGGCUAGGUGUCAUCUUAUAUCAUCGCCUAGCGAUCAUCAGCUUGUCGCCUAAGCGUCAUCUUGUAUCAUCGCCUAGCCAUCAUCGGCUCGUCGCCUAGGCAUCAUCUUACCUCGUCGCCUAGGCAUUCUCUUGCCUUGUCGCCUAGCCGUUAACUCGGCUCGGCAGCUAGGCAUCCUUUUGCCUUGUCGCCUAGCCGUUAACUCGGCUCGGCAGCUAGGCCUCCUCUUGCAUUGUCGCCUAGCCAUCAUCUCGGCUCGUCGGCUAGGCGUCAUCUUGGCUUGUUGCCUAGGCAUCAUCUUACCUCGUCGCCUAGGCAUCCUCUUGCCUUGUCACCUAGCCGUUAACUCGGCUUGGCAGCUAGGCAUCCUCUUGCAUUAUCGCCUAGCCAUCAUCUCGGCUCGUUGGCUAGGCGUCAUCUUGCCUCGUCGCCUAGGCAUCCUCUUGCCUUGUCUCCUAGCCAUCGUCUCGGCUCAUCUUCUAGGUACUGUCUUGCCUUGUUGUCUAUGCAUCUUUUGACCUUGUCGGUUUGGCAUCUCCUGACUUAAUCCAGUAACAAGCCGUAUCUAGAUCAUGUGCGUCGGCGUAACACUCUCCCCCGAUAAUAUCCAACACGCCUUGGCAUUGUAUUUUCUGGAAAAGCUUUUGUAUUAGUCUUUCUGCGCACCGUAGCACUAUGGGCGCCUUGUCAUUAAGAACAACACAGUUUUCGCAAAACGCCUCGUCGUUUAUUCGGUUCGGCAAAGUUUUCGCAAAACGCUUCGUCGUUUAUUCAAUUUUCACAAAACGCCUUGUCGUUUAUUCGGCUCGACACAGUUUUCACAAAAAUGCCUCGUCAUUUUAAAAGAAACUCCGGGAAAAACAGUUCACCUAUCCCCGUUAUCAAAUCGCCUCACGUACACUCUUUCCCAAGGAUAUCUCAUCAAGCAGCACAGACUGCGCCACACCUCGCCUUUAACAAAACGGCUUGGCAUUAUCUUUUAUCUUGAAACGCCUCUUCGCUAAACAUAGCUCAGCACUACGUAAACACCACGUCGUAGAAAACAGCUCAGCGCUAUCUUUGUCAAAGUAACCUCAUCUUUUGAACGGCUUGGCAUUUUCUUUCAAACAGCCUCGCCAAAACACGGCUCGCUAUUAUGCUUCGUCGAAGAACGGCUCGACAUUUUUUUCCCCAAAAUGCCUCACCUGGAAUUGUUUCGCCACGGCCUAACUCGAUGGUUUAUCCCAUGGCCAGGAGCAAUAAACCUCGUCACUCUCGUCUCCGAAAGACGAGCAGGGGAGCUAACUGUUGGGGUCGGUUUCAUCCCAAGCGGAUAAAACCAUCUCAAAAAUGACUAAGUACUGGAGAAAACCGAUUUUGCAAGAAGGAACAGCUGCCCGCCGAAUAUGGGCCGAGCCGUCCCACAAAACAAGUGGGCCGAGCUGUGCUCACCAAGAUGAGUGGUCCGAGCCGUGGAAGAAGAUUAAUGGGCCAAGCCGUGAGAAGAACAAAGAGUGGGCCGAGCUGAGCAAGAGGAAGAAUGGGCCGAGCCGCUUUUCUUCGUGUUGGGUCGAGCCAGUCCUUCUUUAAUGAGAUGAGCCAAGAUCGUAAAGGACCUACGCCCAUAAAAACCUUAGGCAAAGUGCUAUGGCGGCGGUUGCACGAAGCGAUAAGGAAAUAUUCCGAAAAUCUUUCCCGAGAUUCUCGGCUAGGCGGUUCAUAGACUCUAUAUAAAUAGUCGCUGUAAACAAUUCAUGAUGUAAUUUUUGACAACUCGAGAGCAAUAAGACUUAAACAUUUUUAAGCAAAACCCUUCUUUUGAUCUUACUGUUUUUGCGAUAAACGAAAUUUUGGAUCCCUUAAGUUUUCCUUAACAAAUUUUUGGUUGUGCGAGUUUUGGCUCACACACACCCCAUCGUGUUUUUGGGCCAAUGCGUUUUCUAGUUUUGCCGGAGACUUUCCCCUGCAGAGGAUAAAAAAUCCCAUAUAUAGUGUCAAGAAAAUCAAAAAUUCAAAACUUUGUAGCACAGCAAUGACCAAAGUUGAAUUAUGUACUUUUUAUAAAUUUAAAACAAUGAUGGGUAGAAAAAAAAUUCUAUGAAAUUUAGUGAUUAAGAAUAAUAAAAAUAAACAAGAAGUUUUACUAUAGAGACAUGAAUAACCCAACAAUGAUCUGGAAUUUAUACAUUUUUAGUUUUAUAUACUUGCGGAACUAUUUAUUUGCAGCAAAUAAAAAAAACAAUUAUACGCAAAAUGAGUUGUUUAUAGUUGUAGCUAAAAACUGAAAUAGUUAGGGGGUGUGAAUGGUAAAAACUUAUUAUAAGGAUUAUUUAAGCUACAACUAUAAACAACUCAUUUUGCCUAUAAUUGUUUUUUAUUGCUGCAACUAUAAAAAUAAUAUUAAAAAGAAAUAUAAAGAAAAUAUAAGAGGGAAAGGAAAAGUUAUUAUAAAAGGAAAUAAACCCAAAUUAUCACUUUGUAUUUCAUUUGUAUGUUCCUUAUUUUUAUCAGAUUUCAAAUUAAUGUAUAGUUGUGAUUUUUUUUCUUAACAGGUUUUUUUUCUAUUAAUUUUUAAAGGGGGAGAAAUUUAUUUAUAUAUAUUUUUUAGACUUUCUGAAAAAGAUGUCUCUCAAAAAAUAUGAACGGUAAAAUAAAUAUGGGACCAAAAUUCUCUCAUUAUAAUAGAAAAACUUACCGUUAAUUUUGGGUUUAGAUUAUUUUAUAGGUUUUGAUAUUUGCAUUAAAAUGAUUAAGCAAAAAGAGAUAUACAAGCUUUUAGGAUUAACAUAAAUUCAAAUGUUUGAAUAGAAUUUUGUUUUUGUUAAAGGUGAAUAGAAUUUUCAAAAAGAAGCAUUUCUUUAUUAUAGGAAACCCAAAUAUUUCAAAACACGAUUUGAUGAAACCAAUUCUCCCAUGAUUUAAUGACUUUAUGAUCAAGAACAACCAAACACUUUUUAAAAAUCUACACCAGUAUAAUAACUUACGGAUAUACGGUUGAUUAGACGCAAGAUUAAGAGCAAUCACAACAAUCUUAUAAUAGAUUGCUCGAAUUUAAAUAUUGUAUACUAUUGUACAUUAAGGGAAAAGCAUUAUUACAUAAAAAGCAAAUCAAGUAAGAGAUAGGCUUUUUUAUUUAAAGAGCAAAUUAUGAAAAAGAUAGAUCAACUUUAGAACUUGCGACCAAGAGUGAGCUCAAGGGACAAAGUCUCAUCAUUUUUACCAUCAACAUUGUCCACUUCAUUGUUUUCAGUUUCAUUCGAUCCAAUCUGCCAUAUCCAGUUAUAUACAUUAUUAUAUGUGAAUGAAAUGAUACGUAUCAAAUCUUCAAUAAAAUUUGUGCAAACUUGGUCAUUGAUAAUCAUGUUUGAUGAUUAUAGCAUAAGAAUUUUAAAAAGAGAAAAAACUUAAAAAUUUUAAACAGAGAGAAAACUUACUCUUGAAGAUUGAAACAGAGACUUGCAAGAUAUUUCAAAAAAUCUCUUACUUGAUUAUCCCAUUUCCAUUAUUUUUUCCUGCUUUCUUUUUUCUUCCUUACAAUAUUGAUUAAAAAAUAUACAUUCAAAUUUAAAACAAAAAAAACCUAUAUAUAUGUAUUAACUUUAAUUUAAUAUUAAUUAAGUAUUAUACAAACAUUUUUUGCAUAGAGUUGACAAUUUCUUCAAGACGUUCAUAUUGACGAAGGUGUUGUUGAGUUUGCCUCAAAAUCAUUUCUCUUGUCAGUCUUUCCCUUCGAAUUGCAUCUACCUCUUCUAUCAUAGGACAUUUAAGUGUAUAGAUUUUUAUUUUCUAUAUAAUAUUUACAUAUAAAUUUUUUUUUUAGAAAAAUUCAACAUAUUUGGUCUGAGCAUAUAUUUUUAUUUUAUUUUAUUUCUGAAAAUAUUUUGUUUUAUACAGACACUUAUAGAAAAUGCAAAUUCGUCAUAAAUAUAAUAAUAAAGUAAAUAGAAAUGUAUAUAAGACUUAUUCACCUUUUUUAUACUCAUCAAGCUUGGUGGUCCUAUACAUCUGAUGAAAGCCAAAACAUAAAACUGGUUCAUAUUAAGCCCAACAUAAUAUGAAAAAAAUUGACAAAAUAUAUAUACGCAUAUAUUGAGAAAAAAUGAAGAAAUUAAAUCAUGUAUAUAUAUAUAUAUAUAUGUUACAACCUGGAGAUGGCUCUUUACAUGUGAUAUAGUGAGUCUUUCAAUAUUCAUUAUCUCCAAAAUUCUCUUAGGAGUUGCUUCUGCAUUUACGAUGUUUAAUACAAGUUAAAUUUAUAUUAAACAAAAAUAAUGUUUAGCCCAUAACUAUAGAUCUAGGAUUGUUAUGUAGUUUUUAUAUAUGUUGGCAUCCUAAUUUAUAAUUCCGAUCCCUGAAUUUGACAAAUAUGAAUAUAUCACACUAAACAAAAAAUAGAAAAGAUAAAGAGAAUCGUAUAAUCAAAAAAUUGAAAAGGAUAUUUAUUUGAUGAUAAAUUGAAAAAAAUAGUUGAUGAUACCGGAAGCAAUCUAUUUUAUGAUUUUCCUGAUUUUGUUUUAGAAAAUCAUACAAAACAAGAAGAAAAAUAUUAACUUACGAUGUAUUCCGCCAAGUUGUAGAACCGCAUAAAUAAAGCGAUCGUGAUGAUAGCCACUCCAUUGCAUCCGAUCCAUUUCACGUAUUAUAAGGUCUAACAAUCGUGACUUUAAUCAGAAAAAUUCUCAAUUGGUUUUUAGUUAUAAAAAACUCCGAUCAUGAAUGGUCAAUAUAUAGUAGUUGUAGAAAACAUUUAUGAUAUUAAAAAAUUAAAUAAUAAUUUUCAUAAAUGUAAAGGGUAGAAAAACAUUAAAUGUGCUACUAAACUUGUUAUAGUGCAUAUCUUUUUACUUUCCUUUUUUUUUGGUUUUCUUAAUUAUUUUGUUUCUUAUUUCCAUUAUUUAGAAAAAAAUCUUAUACAACUAUGAAUGAAUUAUUAAAAACUUAUAUACAUAUAUAUAUAUAUAUAUAAGCAUUAUUCAAAUCUUCAGUUAUAUAUGCUAAGUUAAGUAUUUCCAUUAUUUAGAAAAAGUGCCAUACAACUAUGAGUUGGAUCAUCAAGAAAAUAAAAUAUAUGUAAGUAUUAUUCAAAUCAUCUUAGAUAUACUUUGAAAAGGAUCACUGGCAUUAUUUUAAAAAAUUUUAAUAAAAAAAAUCUUAAUAUAAACCCUAAAAACUAAACCCAUAAAAGCUAAGAAAUCAUGUUUCCAAUUCCAAAAGUGAUUUUUUUUUUUUUUGUCGGUCUAUCCUUCUUUUUGUCUUUUUGUUUUUCCUCACUUGAGGGGUUCCCAGCCUUUAUGCGUGUUGUGAUCCUUGGGCAGGUAGGAUGCUGUGUUCUUCCCUCGUAACUAUGCUGUCUUUCUCCGGUUCCCUUUUUCACCUCCGGGUUACAGAUCCGAUUUAGUUGACGUUGCGAUUUAUCUUGCUGGCCGUACCAUCCUUCCUUGGUAUAUCUCGUGCGUAUUUCUCGGUUUGCCUCCAGAGUCUUUCCAUCCUCCACCUGGUUGGGAACUCGAUCAAUCGUAGAUGUUUGCACACUGUGGCCUCCAUCUCGUCCACCCAAGGUUGACCUAACAGCGCUAUGUACCGAGCUGGCGUGCUGACUACUGUUAUGGCGAUUACCCAGGUGUUAUUAAGCGCAGUGACUAUGAGUGCUACCUCUCCUAUCGCUCGAGUCACCCUCCCAUUAUAUUCUAUGAACAUUAUCUUCGCUGGUUUGAGGGACCUUCGAAAUCCCACGAACUCUUUGAAGAUGGCUGCAAGAUGAGAUUAACAGGGCAGGUCUAGUCCACCAGAAUCUGCCUCAUCUGUUUGCCUCCUAUCUCCAACAUCACAUUCAGAGCAGGGUAUUGAGUGAUAAUUCUCAACAGUUCCUCUGCUGCGUUGAAGAACUCCGGCGGGCGAGGCAGUCGCCUUCGAAUUCCAGGCGUUCUAUCGUGACUUUCUUCCUCAGCUUCAUUCGUGUUUUUUUCGACCUGUCCGACCUUGUUGAAGCUCCCUCUUACACGGUCUUGUUUGUUCAACAUUCGCUUCACUUUUCUAGAGAGCAAAAGCCGUAUGGAAGGGUGGCAAACCAGAGCCAGCAUCUCCUCCGUAAAGGCCAAACAUCUCUCAGUCUGAUGCCCCCUGGAUCAGUGGUACUUGCACAAAUGUUCAUAGAGCGGGGUAAUGAGUGAUAAUUCUCGACACUUUUUCUGCUGCGUUGAAGAACUCCGGCAGGCGAGCCAGUUGCCUUCGAAUUCCAAGCAUUCUACCGUGACUUUCUUCCUCAGCUUCAUUCGUGUGUCUUUCGACCUGUCCGACCUUGUUGAAGCUCCCUAUUACACAGUCUUGUGUGUUCAACAUUCGCUUCACUUUCCUAGAGGGCAGAAGUCGUACGGAAGGGUGGCGAACCAGAGCCAGCAUCUCCUCCGUAAAGGCCAAACAGCUCUCAGUCUGAUGCCCCUUGGAUCAGCGGUACUUGCACCAUAGUUUUCUGUAUUUCCGUUCCUCUGAGGCGGGCUUAUCUUCUCCAUCUCGAUCCUGUAUGGUGUGAGAAUAUUUUACCCAUACUUCUUCCUCCAAUCACCUCUGGUCGCACCAUCUGGGGAUGGCAGUGGAACAUGCUACAAGGGGGUUUACCUCCGCCUCCUCUCCGUGGUCUUCGGUUAUCUCCCAGUCGUUGUCGCCUGCCCCUCCCUUGGCGUUCUGCCUUUGGUCAGGAUACUUUGAGCCGAUGGGUAUGUAAGGUUCAUUCUCUUUAAACUCGAUCAUACCCACCUAGCACUUGAAGUUUUUCGCUUUGGCUUUGACGGUAUUUGGUUUGCUGCCAAUCACUGUCUGGGUCUUUCCCAUUUGAAUUCAUAGGUUGUUGCCCCUAGAUCUGUGUUCUUGGUGCUUUGAUAACACCGGAUUUUGACAAUUUUUAUGGAUCACUUUAAUGUCUUUUACAAGUGUUUUUACUCCAUUUUCAAAGGUUUUCAAUGGAUUUCUAUGUUUUCAGAUUUUAAAAGACUUUUCAGGUAAUUUGGGAUAAAAAGGCACAAAUUGGAACAAAAAAACUCUUUUCGAUAAAUGCAGACCGUCAGAACUCUCAUGGAGAGACGAACACCUUCUCACCGUCUGAUCACCCUCAAAAGUGGAAAACUUAUAGAAAAAUCAACCAGCUUUCAAAUGCACUUGGUUUGGAGACAUUCCAACGGUUGGAUCUCAAGAUAUUCCAUUAGCCCCGGAGCCACUCGAAGACGGCCAGCAAGUCACACGACCGCGGCCAACAGCCCAUUUCCCGUGAUCACAAUCCUCCCGACCGCGGCCAGCCACCUAUUUCCCGCGGUCACGUCACUCUCGACCGAGGCCGGCCAACUCCGAACUAAAGCCCAUAUUUCUGAAGCCCAAAGUCACUCUCAUCCUCAAUUCCGGAACCCUAGAGACCAUGGAGUAUUGAAGACUAUAAAUACUUGUCAUUUAGGUCGUUUUUAGACACCACCCUUCAUACUUUACAGAAACCCUUUUCCUUUAGCCGUUUUUAUGCGAUUUUUGUAGAAGAUUGUUCAAGUCCGAGUUCUUCAAUAGAGAAGCUUUCUUCAUCUCUUUUCUUUACUGUUUUUGAUUACUUUUAUUAAAACCAAUGAUGAUGUCGACCUCAGCCAUGUCUGAGUAGAUCCCGAGUUGGGCUUAGGGUUCCCAAAAAGGGCUCUCAUAAUCGAUUAAGACAUCUAGGUUUAUAGAUCUGGGAUUUCAACUUUGUUCUCUGUUUAUUCUUGUUUUAUUGCAUGUAUGCUUGAUUGAUCACCUAGUAUCUGAUCUAGAUAGUUAGUGUUGUGAAAGUUUUCAUUAAGUAUCUGCCCUAGAAUGAAACAGGCGAUUUUUUCCGUAGGAGUGGAAACCUACCUGCGGCGAGAUCGUGAGUAUUGACGAGUCUUGUGCAGCUCUUGCGUUCUCUCCCUUCCAGGGCCAGAGUGGAAACCUACUGGUCAGGGUUGCGAGAAACAGUUGGUUAUGAUCACGACAAUGACGUAGUCAUACUGCCGUACUCUAGCUCUAGAACCCUAUAUAUCGAUAUCUGUCAAUCCCAAUCUAUCUACCUUAGUGUUAAAACUGAUUAUGAUCCCUUAGAGUUCCCAAAAGCUCAGCGUUUUUAGCCAUAGUUUACAAACCAAUCGAUUUUUACUUGCUUAUUUAGAUCUGCAUUUCAAUUGCCUUAGUUCGAUAUUUUAUUUGCUUUACUUGCUUUCCAUUCGAUUUUUCUACUUGCUAUUCUAGGAUAGAUUUAUUUGCUUUCUUUAAGUUUUGGUUUAAUUCGUGAUAAACAACCAACCUUUAAAACAAAUCUAGUCUAGACAUAAAGUUAAAAACCGUAGAAGAAUACCAGGCACACAAAUCUCUGUGGAUUCGAUCCCUAAAUACUACAACUGAUUAGCUGUGCACUUGCGGCUUUCAUUUGUUUUUGUUAAGGGUAAAACUUGUUCCCUCACGCAGUUGACACGCAUCAAGUUUUUGGCGCUGUUGCCGGGGAUUUGUUUCGCUGCCUUUUGCUAUUUUUCUUGUUUUAACUUCUGUUCUAGACACCUGAUCUCUAGUUCUUUCUUAAAGUUUUGCUGAAUUAUAUUUCCCUUCUUUUGUUUUUCUCUGAAUUGCAUGAAUACCAGGCGCAGACCUGUAGAAAACAUUCAAUUCUAGACGAGAUAGACAGACACGAAAGAGAACUUCGAAGACUUAGACGAACGCAAGGAAUAGCCAACGACGACCAGCCUGGAGAUCCUAUUAACCGAGCUUUAAAUAUGGACCAAGAGGGGUCCGAACAUGGAGAAAAUGAAGAGAAUGAUCACAGAGGAGGUGAUCAUGCUCGACAAGAUGGAGAGGAGGAUGAGGUUCCUUCGAGAAACCACCAGAACCGCGAGAGAGAAGAACGUGAAGACCUUGAUGCACCCAUCAAUGCAGCCAAUGGUGACCACCAAGGAAUGCAACCGAAUGGGCGCGCUAACUGCCCUGUGCAGCCAGCAAACCAACACCGAAGACAAGCCAGGAACCAUCGCAUAGCCGAUUUUGAUGCACCUACUCAAAAUUUUCAGAACCGAUCUGCAAUUCAAGUUCCAUUUCCGAACCGGAAUGAGUUUGAAGUCAAGCCUCAAAUCAUCUCAUUGGUGAAACAAAACCAAUUCCAUGGAGUUCGUUCUAAACACCCAAUGGACCAUAUCGAGCUCUUUGAAGAAAUCUGCAGCAUGAUGAGAACAAACCAAGUUCCAGCAGACUAUUUAAAGUGUAAGUUGUUCCCUUUUUCAUUAGCAGACAAAGCUCACCGUUGGUUGAAAUCUUUGCCUGCAGGAUCGAUUACUAAUUGGGAAGAGUGUAAAACUGCUUUCCUGAAUCACUUCUAUACUAAGUCAAGGUCAAAAUUGUUGACAACAAAGAUCUCAAGCUUUCAGCAAGGACCGACUGAAACUUUCUAUGAAGCCUAGGAACGUUUUAAGGAGUAUGAACAUGAUUUCCCUCACCAUAGAUUUCCUGGAUCAAGCCUGCUGAGCACAUUUUACCGAGGUUUGCAACCAAAAUACAAACUUUCACUUGAUACAGCUAGCAAUGGAGAUUUUGGACAAAAGACGAUAGCCCAAGGAAGAGCCCUCAUCGAAAAUUUGGCUCAAGCCAAUAGCAAUGAUUGUCCUGAAUAUGAUCGCUCGACGAAGCAAACCGGAACAGACAACAAGAAGAUAGCCGAGUUGAAGAACAUGAUGAGCCAGCUUCUGAAGAGUAACAAUCGCCCAAUCCAUGCUUGUGAGACCAACAAUGGCGCAGAAGAUGAAGGACCUAGUGAUAUCGAUCACAUUAAUCAAGCCUUUCAAGAAGAAGAGGUGAACUAUGUAGGAGCACUAGUACCAUAUAAAAUCCCUUCAACAAUGGUUUCAACAACAACUUCCGGAAUGCAAAUUACAACAAUCUCUCUUACCGCAAUCUAAAUGUGGAGAAUCCUCAAGAUCAGUACUACCCACCACAGCAAAAAUCCUUCCAAAACAAGUUCCAAGGUGGAAACUUUGGAGGGAAAGGAGCUUAUCAACUGCGACAGCCAUAUAACUACCAAGGUACGGGUUUUAACAAUCAAUUUGUACAACAGCAGGGAGUCACGACGAACCAGCUAGCUUCACAAAUCGGUAGACUUGAACAGUCCAUCCAACAGCUCGUUAUAACGAACGAAAAAGAAUCUAAAGACGUGAACGUGAAGGUUGACUGCAUGUACAACGACCUGAACGGGAAGUUUGAAGCUUUAUCUUUGCACGUCAAAAAGCUAGACGUACAAGUUGCCCAAACAGCCGACUCUAUGAAGAGGCAAAGUGGAGUUCUUCCAGGAAGAGUUGAAGAUAACCCUAAGAGGUUUUGCAAUGCUAUAACCACAUUGCCCGAAGAAGAGGCCAGAACCGAUGGAAAGAAAGAAGAAACCCCAAUCUUUGUACCUCUUUACAAGGAUGUCGAUGCCAAGCAGCCAUCAUUUAAGGUACCUCAACAAUCACCGUUUCAAAGGCUUACAAAAGCCGACGAUCCGGGACGUUUUGUUUUCCAAUGUUUCAUUUCAGGAAUCAGUUUUACAGACUGCCUGUGCGAUUUCAGAGCCAAUGUCAACAUCAUGUCAAAGACAUUUGCCAAAAAAUUGGGCAUAAAAACCUUAAAGACAUCGACGGUUAAGGUUAUCUUUGGAGAUUCAUCUCAAAAGGAUACUGAAGGGGCGAUUCAUGAUCUACAAGUUCUAGUGAGAGACAAGAUUGUUCCAGCAGACUUCCAAGUCCUGGAGAUCGAUAAAGACAAGGAGAGGCCACUCAUUUUCGGGAGACCAUUCCUAGCUACCGUAGGAGCAGUAAUCGAUCAUGCAAACCGGCAUGCUGUUUUCCUCAAUGUAGAUCGCAGAAGGUUUUACCCGACUAUCCUGGAUGAUUUUCCAAGCAAAGGAAACCGGCCAAAAGAGAAAGAAAAGGAGAAGCCGAAAGCUUUUGCAAAAAUCAAGAUCAUCAUUCCACCGGAUGCAACAGAAACUAGUGAGGACCAAAUCCAGGAGCUGAUCGAAAACACAAAAAGGGUUUUAAACAAUGUUAAAGUCCGAAAGAAGAGUAAAGGAAAGAAGACGGCUCCUCAAGGAGAAGAAGUAAAACCUCCAGCGACCAGAAGUGAUAAAGGCACAUCAAGUGGAGUGCCAUUCAAAUCAGCCUGAUUCUUCAUGCCUACGUCGAGCUAAACGACUUAAAACAAAAGCGCUUAAUGGGAGGCAACCCAUUUACGUACUCUUUCUUUUAGUUUUCUUUUCCUUUUUACAAUUUAUGUUUUCUUUUCCUUUUAAGUUUCAGAUAUUUUAUAAAACAAAAACACUAAAAUAUCAGAAAAUUAGAAAAAUCAAGAAGAAAAGGGUAGGUUUUUAGCUGCUCGGCCCGGCAAAGACCAGAAAGUUGGACAAAGGCCGCAGGAGAAAGAGCUGCGGUCGCGACCAACCGACCCGCGGCCAAGGGAGCAUCGACCGCGGCACCGUGAAUGUGACCGCGGCCGAGCCCUUAAUCGCCGCGGUCGCGCGUCUCCUGACCGCGGCCGUUGGUCGUUGAGACGAAAAUGCGGAUUUCCACCGCUUUUCGAAAGUUCCCGGAGUUUCCCGAUGAUUUCUGGAGUAUUCCCGGUAAAGCCCGUUAAGAUUUUUCGUAAGUUUUAAACCUUCCUUGCUUGCAAGACAAGAAAGGUAAGUUCCCGUAAACUUAAAAAUUCCCGAAAAUUUUCCGUUUUUGCUACAAAAACGCUUUUUAAAGAAAGGAAAUGCACUUUUUGGAUCAAAACUCCUUCUUCUCUUCUCUUCCAAAAGACUUGGAGAUUUAGGAGAUAAAACACCUUUUUCAAUUCUUAAGCUUUUUAAGAGAUUCUUGGCUCAAACCUCACUUUUUUUCAAAGCUGAUUUCAAUUCUGUCAUCAAAUCUCUCUUUCCAGCAAGGUAUGAAGCUCAAACUCGCCAUUUUUACUUGAUUUGAGAACUUAGGGUUUUCUUAAAAAGCCCAAAUCCUGGUUUAUUGAUGGCGGAAAUAGCUUAAGAACAGUAGAUUUUCCUUUUAGGUUAUCUAAAAAUCGAUUUAACACCUAGCUAAAGAGGAAUUGAGAUUUUUGAAAUUUGGAUUCUACAUGCUUUAUAAAAAUCGAGUUUGGAACAGAAAAAUGGAUGAAUCUGAUUAAGUCUUGUGUGAUUAGUGAUUAGUAUUAGGUAACCUAUAGAUUUGACAUGGAAAUUGCUCAUUAAAACCGAUUUCUAAAAGAUUUCUAUGUUGAGAACCUCAAAAAUCCGAAUCUAGUCACGAACUACUCGCUUUCUUUGAUUUAAUAUCAAUUCUGCUUGCUCAUGGUUUUAAUUAGACGUACAAGUUGCCCAAACAACUGAAUCUAGUCAUGGAUUGAUGCACUAUCUUUGGUCCUAGUUUAGGAGUUCAUGUCUAUGAGAUUUGUGCAUUCCCUAUUUUUUGUUUUCACUUAACCAGUUUAGGCUUUUGCUUUGUUUGAGGACAAACAAAGGUUUAAGUCUGAGGGAGUUGAUAACACCGUAUUUUGACCACUUUUAUGGAUCGUUGUGAAAUACUUUUUCAAUGUUUUUAAUUGCAUUUACGUACUUUUAUUACGUUUUUCUAGUAUUUGUAGUUCCUCUUUUUCAGGUACUUAGGAAAAAAAGNNNNNNNNNNNNNNNNNNNNNNNNNNNNNNNNNNNNNNNNNNNNNNNNNNNNNNNNNNNNNNNNNNNNNNNNNNNNNNNNNNNNNNNNNNNNNNNNNNNNGUAGUACUUAGGGAUCGAUCCACAGGGAAGAGGAUCUUUUUCCUGCAAAAAGCCUUUGAAUAAGUUAAAGUAAGGGAAGUCUAGAACAAAAACGGUUUAGUGGGGGUUUGGUAGUGUGUUUAAAAUCUAAAACGAAAUCUUAAAAGAGAAUACGGAAAUUAAAUGGCGUAAUAACUAAACUUCACGAAAAGGACUAAAAAUGAUAAAAACGAAUAUUCUAAUGCUUAAAUGAAAAUGAACUAAAAAGGAAAGACAAUAUUGAAUUAAAGCUUAAAGAAAAUCGGUGUAAAACAAUGGAAAAGAAAGCGUUGGGCUUCAAGGAUGUUUUCUCAGGGGUACGAACGAUUCAAAACAUUGCUAGAGAGGAAAUUUGAUAAGAUCUUAGCUUAAACUUUUCGAACUGGAGUCACGGACGUAUGAAUACGCCACUGUCGUGAUCAUAGACAACUAUCUCUCUCAACCCUGACCAGUAGGUUUCCACUCUGGCCCUGGAAGAGAAGAGAUGCAUUAUGUUUAAGACUCGUCCUAAUUCACAAAUCGCCCAUAGGUAGGUUUCCACUCCUAUGUUUGUUUUGCUCUCCCAAACUAGAUCUGAUACCUGAUGAACACUUUCGUGUCACCAAGCAUCUGGAUCAGAUUGUAGUUCAUGACGCUACUCUCAUGCAGUAAAAACGAAUUCAGAAGAAAAAGUUCUAAGAUUCAGCUCAAUAGCUAAUGGAAUCCUCACCGAACAUAUAAAUCCCCAUCAAAAAUCCCUUAAUCCCAACAAUAAAACUACUCAGACAUAAUGAACGAAAUCAAAGACAUAAUAUUAAGAAGUAGAAUAGAAACCGAAAUUGAAAAAGAAAGAACAAGAGUUCAAGAGAACAAAUCUCUCUCUCCCUAAAAGCUAAAGCAAAAACAAUAAGAAUAUGAAGUAAAUAUUUCGGUGGUGAUAGGUUACACGAUUUAGGGUUCCUAAGACAUGUAUUUAUAGUGCUCAAGACCUCUCUGGACGUCACUUAGGGUUUCUCCAAAUGUGGGCUUCAGAAAUGGGCUUUUUGGGCUCAGAGGUUGAAGGCCGCGGUCGGGACAAGUGUGACCGCGGUGGAUGAGUGGUUUGCUGCGGUCGGGAUGCUCCUGACCGCGGGAAAAUGCUUGUUGGNNNNNNNNNNNNNNNNNNNNNNNNNNNNNNNNNNNNNNNNNNNNNNNNNNNNNNNNNNNNNNNNNNNNNNNNNNNNNNNNNNNNNNNNNNNNNNNNNNNNUAAGUUACCUGAAAAGAGUCUUGGAACUACAAAUACUAGAAAAACGUGAUAAAAGUACUUAAAAGCAAUUAAAAACAUAGAAAAAGUAUUUCAAAACGAUCCGUAAAAGUGGUCAAAAUACGGUGUUAUCAUCAAUCCACCUCCAAAGACCGGAAGAGUGCAGCCACUACACCAACAAAAUCAGCAAAGAAAAGCUCGACGAAUUCAAUGAUGUGGUUCGAAUUUUGCCUGAAGGAAUCACGUUUGCCAGAGCUUGCAAGGACUUCAUGAUAGGCCACUACUUCUGUGAGAGCAAAGAAUCAAUCCCUGAGAUAGAAGACUUGUUAAAUCAUGUCAGAAGAGGUAAACCUGUUCGAACACUUCACAAAAUCGAAGUUGUAGGUCAGUUUCUUAUCUAUUGUUUUAUUAGAGGAGAAAUGCUUAAAAACGUGCUAUGUGAUUCUGGAGCUUGUCUUAACAUGAUGUCCAAGGCAAUUGCUUUGAGAUUUGGUAUUAAACACCUGUGCAGGCCUAGAGCAAAUAUUAGCCUAGCUGAUGAUUCUAAUGCAACACCUCAAGGAAUAGCUCAUGAAAUUCCUUUGAGAAUAGGAGAUUGCAUAGUGCCUGUCGACUUCUACAUUGUCGAAACGAGAGAUGCAACAUAUCCAGUGAUUCUGGGAUGGUCUUUCCUAGCAACUUCCGGAGCUAUAAUGGACUGGCCAAACCGGAGGAUUUCAUUUGCUAAUAUCGACAAAGAUGUCUUCACACAAGCUGUCCCAUACAACAGCAAAGCAGGAAAACGUUCUGCAGCAGAAGAGUUUGAAGAAGAACUUUGGAGUGACGAAGAACCUGCUAAGCAAAGCAAGGAGAUGUCAAAAAAGACUUGUCUCAGGAGAAGGUCUUCUUCAUUGGAAUAAGUCACGUCCAAUACCAAAAGUCGAGCUAAACGACUUAAAAUAGAAGCGCUUAAUGGGAGGCAACCCAUUUAGGUAUUGUUUUCUUUAGGAUUUUUCUUUCUUUUUCUUUUGAUCUUUUUCUUUUUCUUAGUUUCAGGUGUUUCUUAUAAAACAAAAAAAGCCAAAAAAAAAUCAAAAAACCUGAAAAAACCAAAAAGAAGGAUGGUACCUGACUGCUCGGCCCAGCAGGAACCAAGGAGAAGCAGGAAGACGCCGCAAUAUAAGCCCCCGCGGUCGCAGACGUUCUGACCGCGGGAAACCUACCAUCGACCGCGGUCGCGUAGUCCUGACCACGGCCAAGUGCUUGAUCGCCGCGGUCGUGCAGCCCCUGACCGCGACACUUGGUCGUUGAGAUCCAAACCCGACCCAAACCACCCCUUUCACCUCAUUUCACCUCACCAAUCCCCAAUCCACCUCAUUCAUCACCCUCCACCACCUUCAUCACCACCUAAUCACCUUCCCAAACCCCUUCGAAUGAAUCCAGUUCAUCUCCACCAGCAUCCCGGAUCUAGGUAAGUUCUCUUUGUCCUUACCAGUUCGAUUAUCUAUGCAUUUUUCUCAUCCAAUCUCGACUUUUUUCACACUGAGGACAGUGUGAUUUAAGUCUGGGGGAGGAUUUCAUCCCUUUCUAACCACCUUUCUUUCAUGAGUCUUGCAUUAUCUACACUUUUUGCAUUUUCCUUAAAGUUUUUCAAAAUCGGUUUUCAAAACAAAAUACGUUUUAAAGGGAAUGGUGAACAUGAAUCAAUGAUAGUUGACUGUGUGCUUUAGACUGUUCCUAGUGACUUGCUCAUUCACGAUUUUGGACUAGACUAGGCGGUAGCUAAGCACAUUUGAAACGAAGUACCCCAGAGGAAUUUGAAUGAUUUCGAUUUAGAUGAAGGGAUACACUAGCUCUGUUUUAUUUGGACUUAAUUUGGACUUAAUUUUCUCAUUGAAGCAUUAGACCAGGGAAACAAAUCAUACAUUCAGGACUCCUUUAUCCUUUUACCACUCUCUGUUGAUCCUGAAUGGCUAGUUCAUCUUUAGCUAGUUCCCCACCUUAACCAAUCCUCUUUCAAACCACAUGCACUCUUGUUUUCUAUUGUCUUAUAUGCAGAUAAGUGCAAAAACGUUGGAGAGAAAGAGGAACGACGCAGUUUGCAGUCACCAAGGACAGAGACCUGCGAUUUGCCGGAAAAAUUCCCGGAAGGAUUCAACACAAGAGGAAGCUCAGUUUGCCUUAGAAAAAUCUCAAAUUUUGGUACAAUCUCGUCCUCUAGUCUCUCUCUCUUUAAAAGGCAUUUCCUUUCGUUCAAAAAAAAAAAAAAAAAAAAACAAAAACAAAAUCCGAAAAUAAGAAAAGAAAGGAAAUAAAAGCCUUAGAGAGUCUAGAGAGGUCGAAUUUUAAGUCCCAAGGCAACUGGAGUUUGAUUUUAUGGAGUUUUUGAGAUUGUUUUCUGAUUCCCGGAAAGAAUCUAAGUCUGGGGGAACAGCUGUUUACAACAAAGGAGGAAGGAUUAUGCAACAACAUUUGGCAAGAAGAAGUGAUUGAAAACUGUGGUCAUCAACAGGUCCUUAUCUCUCUUGCGAUUUUGCAUAUUAUCUUACAUCCUCCAGAUCUUCAGGUAACCCGAAACACUUUAACUCCACCACUUAAAUAGCCCUUUAAUGCCAAACGCCGUCUACCCUGGAUGAUGUCUUUAAUGAGAACUCACUAUUGAACUUAAUGAAUGUAGAGAGCUAGUUGACUGAAAUCAAGAUUUAAAUUAUUUAAGUUUUGCAUGAGGGAAAAAGUGGACUAGAAUCUCUUGUGCUUUGGUGAGAAUUUUCUAGACUAAGUUGUGGAUUGAUGCACUAUCUUUGGUCCUAGUUUAGGAGUUCAUGUCUAUGAGAUUUGUGCAUUCCCUAUUUUUUGUUUUCACUUAACCAGUUUAGGCUUUUACUUUGUUUGAGGACAAACAAAGGUUUAAGUCUGAGGGAGUUGAUAACACCGUAUUUUGACCACUUUUAUGGAUCGUUUUGAAAUACUUUUUCAAUGUUUUUAUUUGCUUUUAAGUACUUUUAUUACGUUUUUCUAGUAUUUGUAGUUCCAAGACUCUUUUCAGGUAACUUAGGGAAAAGCUUAACAAAAUGGAUAGAAAACCAGAUUUCAGCUCAGAGUCAAACCGUCAGAAGUUCACCCAUGAUUGAAGGCCUUCUCACCAUUUGAUCCAGCUCAAAUUUGGAGACCUUAAAGAUGGAAGUAUCAGCUUUCCAGUGCACUUUACAGCUUGGCAAUCCAACGGUUCAAUCAAAAGAUACGCGCAGAGCAAGAUGUCCCGUAAACCAGCCGGCAAGCACUUCCACCCGCGGCCAACAAGCAUUUUCCCACGGUCAGGAGCAUCCCGACCGCGGCAAACCAUACAUUCCCCAUGGUCAGAGCACUCCCGACCGCGGCUAGCCAACUCCGAGACCAAAAGCCCAUUUCUGAAGCCCACAUUUGGAGAAACCCUAAGUGACGUCCAGAGAGGUCUUCAGCACUAUAAAUACAUGUCUUAGGAGCCCUAGAAAUCGUGCAACCUUAGAGAACCGAAUACCAUCUAUCAUUACUUCAUACUUUUAUUGUUUUUGCUUUAGCUUUUAGGGAGAGGGAGAUUUGUUCUCUUGAACCCUUGUUCUUUCUUUCAAUUUCGGUUUCCAUUCUACUUCUUAAUAUUAUGUCUUUAAUUUCGUUCAUUAUGUCUGAGUAGUUUUAUUGUUGGGAUUAAGAGAUUUUCGAUGGGGAUACAUAUGUUCGAUGAGGAUUCUAUUGGCUAUUGAGCCGAAUCUUAGAACUUUUUCUUCUGAAUUUGUUUUUACUGCAUGAGAGUAGCGUCAUGAACUACAAUCUGAUUCAGAUGCUUGGUGACACGAAAGUGUUCAUCAGGUAUCAGAUCUAGUUUGGGAGAGCAAAACAAACAUAGGAAUGGAAACCUACCUAUGGGCGAUUUGUGAAUUAGGACGAGUCUUAAACAUAAUGCAUCUCUUCUCUUCCAGAGCCAGAGUGGAAACCUACUGGUCAGGGUUGAGAGAGAUAGUUGUCUAUGAUCACGACAGUGGCGUAUUCAUACGUCCGUGACUCCAGUUCGAAAAGUUUAAGCUAAGAUCUUACCAAAUUUCCUCUCUAGCAAUGUUUUGAAUCGUUCGUACCCCUGAGAAAACUUCCCUGAACCCCAACGCUUUCUUCCUUAUUGUUUUACACCGAUUUUCUUUAAAGUUUUAGUUCAAUAUUGUCUUUCCUUUUUAGUUCAUUUUCAUUUAAGCAUUCGAAUAUCCGUUUUUAUUAUUUUUAGUCAUUUUCGUUAAGUUUAGUUAUUACGCCAUUUAAUUCUCGUAUUCUCUUUUAAUAUUUCGUUUUUACAUUUUAAACACACUACCAAACCCCCACUAAACCGUUUUUGUUCUAGACUUCCUUACUUUAACUUAUUUCAAAGGCUUUUUGCAGGAAAAUAUCCUCCUUCCCUGUGGAUUCGAUCCCUAAGUACUACAAUUGAUCAGCUGUGCACUUGCGGCUAUUGAUUUCAAUUAAGGUAAAACUUGACAACCCUCGACACACCACACAUCAAGUCACCACCAACCAUCAACAAACUCUUAGCACACAAUAUUUUCUAUAGAGCCAACAUGGGAUGUGUUUUGAAGACCUAGCUCAUUACACUUCAGAUGCCAUUUAUGGACGACCCACGACUUGCCUGCUUUGCCUGGAUCAUAGCACAGAACAUGGUAAAGGUGAAGCAUGAUUUACAUGGUUGCGAGGACGCUACUCCAGCUUACGGGAGUGCUAUUACAGCGAUACUACAGGCUGUAGGAUUCGAUUUUUCAUCUGAUGAUCCACUUCCCGAUGUCUGGUAUGACCUACUUGAUCUCUCUCGCGAUCACACUAUCUCUCGUGCCGCUUUCGAUCCAGACAGGUUUGGUUACAAGUAUUGCACUGGCACUGAGGAGCACCGAGUCUGCUUGCCUUCAGCAUCAGUCCCGAGAUUGUGUAACAGAGGACGUCCGCGAUGGACUCCGGAACCCGAUGAGUUCUUGCCAUCUGUACCUCGUCUACCAUUCACCAUUGGCCAAUACAUAGUGGCCAAGGCAAAGCGUGAUGCAGCUGCGGCCCGUGCUCAUUUUCAUCCAUCUGUUUCGACCGGCCACAUCUCAUCAUCGACAUCAUCGCACACACAUUCUGAUCUGGAGCGCAGAGUUGAGAGACAGGGACGACGCUUUGAGCGCGUUGUCACUUUCCUACAGGAGCAGCACGAGUUCGAAGCAGACACAUUGGAGGAUGAGUGAUUGAUCAGCACUUCAUUGCCAUCACGGUUCUAUCAUCAUUUUCUUUUCUUUUAUCUUAUUUUAUUUCGCUUUUAUUCACCAUUUUCUCACCAACUUUUCACACUGGGAACAGUGUAAUUUAAGACAAGGGGAAGAUGUCUAUCCGUACUAAUCAUUUUCUUGCUUUUGCUUUCAAAUUUCAAGCAUUUUUAAAUUUUAAUAUGUAACAUAUUCGACAUUAAGUAUUUUUCAGGAAUGUUUGACACAAAACUAUGAUGAUUUAGACCUGCACACUUCUACACUAUGCAUGAUAGCUCAUUUGUGGUUAGCACUAGACUAGGUAGUAGCUAGAGUACUUGCACUACGAACUCCCACUAGAGGACUUCUAUUCAUGGAGAUUCUUUCUGACAGGAUAUACUAGCUCAUUUUACAACCAAAUCAAUGUUAAUUUUUGAUUGAAAGUUCAAAUGAAAGAUAGGAUUUUACCAGCUUUGAUCAUAUACAAUAAAUUUUAGAUCUAGACUUCUCAAUAAGCAGAUCCGGUAAUAGUGAUUUGAUAUUGUUGGGGAAAUAUUAUUUUCGAAGAGUAAAUUUCGAAGAUGAAAGUGAAAAAAAAAUACAAUAUAGACAUACAAAAUAGAGACGAAGAGAAGAAAUGAUAAAUGAGAAAGGAGAAUGGGGAAAAGAGAAAAGAGAAAGAGAAAGAGAAAGAGAAAGAGAGAUGAUAUGCUAGCCAUAUAGAUUAAUAGGAGUGAAAGUGUAUUAAAAAAAUUGUACAGUGUCAUUUUUUAAGCUUGGUCAUCUCUGCGAAUUGUGUUGAUGGGGUGGUCAUUUCUUAUAAUAAUUAUUAAAAAAUCAUUCAAUUUUUAAUUUUACCUGUCAUUAAUCUGCUGAUUAUUAUGUUCACAGUAAUUAUUUAGCUAAAGAAAUAAGAUAUAAGUGGAAUUUUUUUCAAAUAUUUGCACUCGAAUGUAAAAAUGACUUAUAUUUUAAAAACAAAAAAUUGAUCUUAAAACGAUUUAUAUUUUGAAACGAAGGAAGUAAUAUUCAUUAUAUCUCAGUAAAUGGACUUUUUUUUUUCUCUAAAUUAAAAUAUCAUCAUAAUUUCAUUUAACUAAUAAUAAACAAACUGCAAAGAUAUGUUUUCACAAAAAUUAUUUAAUUCUAUCUAAUAUAAAAGGAGAAGGGGGGCUCUCCAGCGUCGACAUGUCAACUCCAUAAUUGGUCCAUUUAAGUUUGUUUUUUCACAUCAGUAUUUAAUAUAAAAAUAAUCAAAUCUAAAAAUAAUCAAGUAUUGCACUGGCACUGAGGAGCACCGAGUCAGCUUGCCUUCACCAUCAGUCCCGAAAUUGUGUAACGGAGGACGUCCGCGAUGGACUCCGGAACCCGAUGAUUUUCUGCCAAAUGUACCUCGUCUACCAUUCACCAUUGGCCAAUACAUAGUGGCCAAGGCAAAGCGUGAUGCAGCUGCGGCCCGUGCUCAUUUUCAGCCAUCUGUUUCGAGCGGCCACACCUCAUCAUCGACAUCAUCGCACACACAUUCUGAUCUGGAGCGCAGAGUUGAGAGACAGGGAAGACGCUUUGAGCGCGUUGUCACUUUCCUACAGGAGCAGCACUAGUUCGCAGCAGACACAUUGGAGGAUGAGUGAUUGAUCAGCACUUCACUGUCAUCACGGUUCUAUCAUCAUUUUCUUUUCUUUUAUCUUAUUUUAUUUCGCUUUUAUUCACCAUUUUCUCACCAACUUUUUCACACUGGGGACAGUGUGAUUUAAGUCUGGGGGAGGAUGUCUCUCCGUACUAAUCAUUUUCUUGCUUUCGCUUUCAAAUUUCAAGCACUUUUUAAAUUUUAAUAUGUAACCUAUUCGAAAUUAAGUAUUUUUCAGGAAUGUUUGACACAAAACUAUGAUGAUUUAGAUCUGCACGCUUCUACACUAUGCAUGAUAGCUCAUUUGUGGUUAGCACUAGACUAGGCGGUAGCUAGAGUACUUGCACUACGAACUCCCACCAGAGGACUUCUAUUCAUGGAUAUUCUUUCUGACAGGAUAUACUAGCUCAUUUUAUUUGACCUUAAUAUUGAUAUCUAAUUUUCUUAUCAUUGAUUUUAGGCAGGCAUCGACAUACACAUCUAGGACGUCUUUUACCCUCACUUUUACCACUCUUUGUCGUCCUAGAUGACCAGUUUAUCUUUAUCUGGUACCAUAACCAAACACUUGCUUUCAAUCCUCAUGCAUUCUCUCUUUAGUUUAUAUCAGCAGAUAUGUGCAAAAACGUCGGAGAGAAGAGGAGCGACGCAGUUUUCAGUCACUCACAAAGGAGACUGAAUGGAAUUGGGAAGGAAGAGUAUCAGAAACCUUAUGAAGCUUUACAAGACAGAUAUAAACUGGUAAUUUCGUGCUCUCUAAGACUCUAUAUCUAAAGGUGUUCCCUCUCUUCUAAAAAAAAAAAAAAAAAAACCAAUGAAAAGAGAGAGAGGGAAACAAAACGCCUAAUGAGUCCUAGAUUGUCGAAAUUUGUGAAGCAAGAAGCAAUUACUAAACAUUUAUAGAGCUAUGUUUUUGAAAGAUUUACAAAAAUCUAAGUCUGGGGAAGUUAGGAGAGAACCUGAGGAAGAAGACCAGUAAUCUAUGGCAAGAAGAAAGUGACUGAAAACUGUGGAUACCAACAGCUUCACUCUCUCUUGUGGUUUUGCAUAAUAUCUUGCAUUCUCCAGAUCUUCAGGUAACCCGUAAACACUUUAAGCCUUACCCCUAGAAUAACCCUUUUGACACCUAGCCUAGAUUGCCUUGCCUAGACUUUCUUUGAUGAGAACCACCGAGAUUUUUAAUGAAUGUUAAGAGCUAGUUGACUGGAAGUUAGAUCUUAGUGAAUAGAUUUCUGCAUGACGGAUCAACGGACUAGUUAUGCAUGUAUUGCUAGUGAGAAUUUUCUAGGCUAUUCCCGAUUGAUGCAUACUGAUUGAUAGAGAUGUCAAACGGGUCAAUCCGCGUCCAAAUAACCCAAACCGAUGCGGGUUUAAUUUUUUUUUGGGUCUGGCGGGCUGACCCAUCAUAAGCUGUGGUCCCAAAUUGAUGUGUCCAAGUCCGACCCGCCUAUAUUCUGCGGUUUUGCGGGCUGGCCUGCGGAUUCAUACUUUCUUCUUCAUCUUAAAGUUUUUAUGAAAUUUAGAUUUAUAAUACCAGAAAAUCUGCAAGAGGAGAAUAAAUCACAAUAUGCAUAAGAAACAAAACUAAAGAAAAUUCUUGUCUAAGUAAAUUCGAUGAACAAACAAAUGAAUUCGAUAAACUUCUUAUACAAAACUCCUAACCCAAGGAUACCAUAAGAUUUGAAAAAUCAAUUUAACUGUAAAAAUAGACACUUAGUUUUGAAAAGCAAAUAAAUGAAUUACAAAUAAUGAUACACAUAAAAACUGGUAAUUUAAGCUAAAUAACCAUCAAGAUACAAGCAACAAGACAUUCACAUAUAUAAAAAAAAAAGAUGAACAAAGCUUAUUUGUUAGUCCAGCAUACAAACAAAUGUGAUUUUCAAGCAAAACUAUUUAUUGUCAAUUCAAGAUUUAAGAGAUUCUAAAUUACCUUUGUAUCGCUGCGGACAAAAUAAAAAACCACGUCCGUGAUAUAGUCGAUGAGCAAAACCAACAAAAAAAACAAACUUAUGACAUUAAACUGAAAUUAAUUAAAACUCUAAAAAAAAUACUAGUUUUUAUCUGGGAAGACAAUGAUCAGAUUUUCUCCCAAAUUCAAAAAUCUAAUCACAGAAUCUGAAUCAAAUCGAAUAUAAAACACAUACCAGUUUGAUGAUUCCUUGAUCUCAUUGAAAUGAAGCUAUCACAAAGCCCAAUAGCUGAAUUGUAUGACUCCACUAGGCUUCGAUUCACUCCAUGAAACUACUACUUCGAAAUCCACCAAUAAAAAAUGACAAAAUACUUCUCUUUUCGAAGUUUACAAGAAAACAUCAAAUUUUGCGGGUUGGCCCGCAAACCCGCGGAUCCGCUUUGACCCGACCCGCAAAAGCCCAACUUCCACGCGGGUUUAGACCGCAAAACCUGCUUUUUAUUUGGAAAAAUUUUAUGGAGCCCAAGCCCGCACCGCUGCGGUUUUACUUGGGCCGAACCCGCGGAUCAGAGCCCAAUUUGACACCUCUACUGAUUGAUAUUGGUCUAGAAGUUUGGUCUCUGAGAUUUUGUUUAGUUCCUGCGUUUUCAAACCUCUCGCCGAGAUUUAGCCUUUGUUUUGUUUGAGGAUAAACAAAAGACUAAGUCUGGGGGAGUUGAUAACACCGGAUUUUGACCAUUUUUAUGGAUCACUUUAAUGUCUUUUACAGGUGUUUUUAUUCCAUUUUCAAAGGUUUUCAAAGGAUUUCUAUGUUUUCGGAUUUUAAAAGACUUUUCAGGUAAUUUGGGAUAAAGAGGCACAAAUUGGAACAAAAAGACUCUUUUGGAUAAAUGCAGACCGUCAGAACUCUCAUGGAGAGACGAAGACCUUCUCACCGUCUGAUCACCCUCAAAAUUGGACAACUUAUAGAAGAAUCAACCAGCUUUCAAAUGCACUUGGUUUGGAGACAUUCCAACGGUUGGAUCUCAAGAUAUUCUAUUAGCCCUGGAGCCACUCGAAGACGGCCAGCAAAUCACGUGACCGCGGCCAACAGCCCAUUUCCCAUGGUCACAAGCCUCCCGACCGCGGCCAGCCACCUAUUUCCCGCGGUCAUGUCACUCCCGACCACGGUCGGCCAACUCCGAACUAAAGCCCAUAUUUCUGAAGCCCAAAGUCAUUCUCAGCCUCAAUUCCGGAACCCUAGAGACCAUGGAGUAUUGAAGACUAUAAAUACUUGUCAUUUAGGUCGUUUUUAGACACCACCCUUCAUACUUUACAGAAACCCUUUUUUCUUUAGCCGUUUUAUGCGAUUUUUGUAAAAGAUUGUUCAAGUCCGAGUUUUUCAAUAGAGAAGCUUUCUUCAUCUCUUUUCUUUACUGUUUUUGAUUACUUUUAUUAAAACCAAUGAUGAUGUCGACCUCAGCCAUGUCUGAGUAGAUCCCGAGUUGGGCUUAGGGUUCCCGAAAGGGGCUCUCAUAAUCGAUUAAGACAUCUAGGUUUAUAGAUCUGGGAUUUCAACUUUGUUCUCUGUUUAUUCUUGUUCUUAUUGCAUGUAUGCUUGAUUGAUCACCUAGUAUCUGAUCUAGAUAGUUAGUGUUGCGAAAGUUUUCAUUAAGUAUCAGCCCAAGAAUGAUACAGGCGAUUUUUCCGUUGGAGUGGAAACCUACCUGCGGCGAGAUCGUGAGUAUUUACGAGUCUUGUGCAGCUCUUGCGUUCUCUCCCUUCCAAGGCCAGAGUGGAAACCUACUGGUCAGGGUUGCGAGAAACAGUUGGUUAUGAUCACGACAGUGACGUAGUCAUACCGCCGUACUCAAGCUCUAGAACCCUAUAUAUCGAUAUCCGUCAAUCCCAAUCUAUCUACCUUAGUGUUAAAACCGAUUAUGAUCCCUUAGAGUUCCCAAAAGCUCAGUGUUUUUAGCCAUAGUUUACAAACUAAUCGAUUUUUACUUGCUUAUUUAGAUCUACAUUUCAAUUGCCUUAGUUCGAUAUUUUACUUGCUUUACUUGCUUUCCAUUCGAUUUUUCUACUUGCUUUCUAGGAUAGAUUUAUUUGCUUUCUUUAAGUUUUAGUUUAAUUCGUGAUAAACAACCAACCUUUAAAACAAAUCUAGUCUAGACAUAAAGUUAGAAACCGUUGAAGAAUACCAGGCACACAAAUCUUUGUGGAUUCGAUCCCUAAAUACUACAACUGAUUAGCUGUGCAUUUGCGGCUUUCAUUUGUUUUUGUUAAGGGUAAAACUUGUUCCCUCACGCAGUUGACACGCAUCAAGGUUCUCUGACUCGAGUAGGAAACUUUUGCUCAGAGAGUGUUGUCCAUCUAGUGCAUAACUGUUUAGGGGAUUUUUAGUCAUCUGCGCAGGCAAGUCUCCUGCAAAAUUAGCAAACGCGUGAAGGCCUAGAAAACACGAUGGAAGAGUUUUUUUUUAUGGCUCUCCUACGCUCAAGUCAGAAAACAGGGAAAGAAAGACCAUGAAAUGGAAAAUUGGAGAGAGGAAAGAGAUCAGAAAAUGGAGGAAGGAAGUUUUGCCGAGAGCUCCUGAGAAAAAUGGAAUCUGCUCGGACCUUCGUGUGGUAAUGGGCUUUUUGAGGUGAAAAAGAGGAAGUGUAAGAGUUUUGGGGUGACAGUGCUCCACUAGGAACCGCCGUGGAGAGGAAGUAAUGAGAUGGUCGUAAUAAUGACCAGAAAUGUAAAGUGAUAUGGCUUAAGGAUCACGAGUAUCUAGAGAGUUAGCAUGAGCCUUUAGUUAGCGAAAAGAGUGAACCCCCUUCUCGUUGAAAGAGACAAGGUAUUUAUAGAGUUUUACCUAAUCCGGAUUUAUAUACCGAAACGGUCCUUGGGUCACAGGUUUGGCGGAUCGGUUCGUGAUCCAACUUGGUUGGAUCUGAAUCUUAUGCUUGCAUCAUGCCUCUGAUGGUCUCACCAACUUUCAUUGAUACGUUAAAAAAAGUUGGUGAGAGCGUCAGAGGCAUGACGUGAGCAUAAGACUCGGAUCCAACCAAGACAGAUUACGAACUGACCCACCCGACUCACGGCCUAAGGACUAACCCACUAUAUGAACCCGGGUCAGGUAAAAUUUUAUAAAUACUCUAUUCUUUCUAACGAGGAAGGAGUUGACUUUUUUUGCUACCUUAAGGCUCAUACUAUCUCUCUAGAUAUUUGUGAUCCUUAAGCUGCAGCACUUUAUAUUUUAUGGUCAUUAAUCUGACCAUCUCUUCACUUUCUCUUUACGGUGGUUCCUAAUUCUCUUUUCAUCUCACAAAGCCCAUCACCACUUAAAGGCCCGAGUCGAUUCCACCUUUCUCAGAAAUCUCCAUCUCCUAUUCUCGUUUUCCGAUCUCUUUUCUCUCUCUGAUUAGCCACUUAGUAGUUUUUUUUAAUGUUUUCUUACUUGAGCAUCAGAGAGCCAUUGGAAAACACACCCAUCGUGUUUUUGGGCCCAUGCGUUUUCUAGUUUUGCAGGAGACUUUCCCCUGCAGAGGAAAAAAAAUCCCAUAUAUAGUGUCAAGACAAUCAAACAUUCAAAACUGUGUAGCACAGCAAUGACCAAGUUGAAUUACGUACUUUUUAUAAAUUUAAAACAAUGAUGGAUAGAAAAAAAAAUUCUAUGAAAUUUAGUGAUUAAGAAUAAUAAAAAUAAACAAGAAGUUUUACUAUAGAGACGUGAAUAACCCAACAAUGAUCUAGAAUUUAUACAUUUUUAGUGUUUUAUAUACUUGCGGAACUAUUCAUUUGCAGCAAAUAAAUAAAAUAAUUAUACGCAAAAUGAGUUGUUUAUAAUUGUAGCUAAAAACUGAAAUAGUUGGGGGGUGUGAAUGGUAAAAACUUAUUAUAAGGAUUAUUUAAGCUAUAACUAUAAAUAACUCAUUUUGCGUAUAAUCUUUUUUUUUAUUUUCUGCAACUACAAAAAUAGUAUUUAUGAAGAAAUAUAAGGAAAAUAUAAGAGGGAAUGGAAAAGUUAUUAUAAAAGGAAAUAAACUCAAAUUAUUACUUUGUAUUUCAUUUGUAUGUUCUUUAUUUUUAUCAGAUUUCAAAUUAAUGUAUAGUUGUGAUUUUGUUUCUUAAAAGGUUUUUUUUCAAUUAAUGUUUAAAGGGAGAGAAACUUAUUUAUAUAUUUUUUUAGACUUUCUGAAAAAAAUAUGUCUCUCAAAAAAUAUGAACGGAAAAAUAAAUAUGGGACUAAAUAUCUCUCAUUAUAAUAGAAAAACUUACCGAUAAAUUUUGGGUUUAGAUUCUUUAUAGGUUUUAAUAUUUGCAUAAAAAUGAUUAAGUAAAAAGAGAUAUACAAGCUUUUAGGAUUAACAUAAAUCCAAAUGUUGGAAUAGAAUUUUGUUUUUGUUAAAGGUGAAUAGAAUUUUCAAAAAGAAGAAUUUCUUUAUUGUAGGAAACCCAACUAUUUCAAAACCUGAUUAGAUGAAACCAAUUCUCCCAUGAUUUAAUGAUUUUAUGAUCAACAACAACUAACCAGUACUUUUCAAAAAUCUACACCAGUUUAAGAACUUAGGGAUAUUACGGUUGAUUAGACGCAAGAUUAAGAGCAAAUCACAUCAAUCUUAUAAUAGAUUGCUCGAAUUUAAAUAUUGUAUACCAUUGUACAUUAAGAGAAAAGCAUUAUUACAUAAAAAGCAAAUCAAGUAAGAGAUAGAUUUUUUUUAUUUAAAGAGCAAAUUAUGAAAAAGAUAGAUCAACUUUAGAACUUGCGACCAAGAGUGAGCUCAAGGAACAAAGUCUCAUCAUUGUUACCAUCAUCAUUGUCCACUUCAUUAUUUUCAGUUUUAUUCGUUCCAAUCUGCCAUAUCCAGUUAUAUACAUUAUUAUAUGUGAAUGAAAUGAUGCGUAUCAAAUCUUCAAUAAAAUUUGUGCAUAUUUGGUCAUUGAUAAUCAUGUUUGAUGAUUAUAGCGUAAGAAUUUUAAAAUGAGAAAAACUUAAAAAUUUUAAACAGAGAGAAAAAUUACUCUUGAAGAUUGAAACAGAGACUUACAAGAUAUUUCAAUAGCUCUCUUACUUGAUUCUCCCAUUUCCAUUUUUUUUUCCUGCUUUCUUUCUUCUUCUCUACAAUAUUGAUUAAAAAAGUUACACUCAAAUUUAAAACAGAAUAUAUAUAUAUAUAGAUAUUAAGUUUUUAAUUUAAUAUUAAUUAAGUAUUAUACGAACAUUUUUCGCACAGAGUUGAUAAUUUCUACAAGACGUUCAUAUUGAUAAAGGUGUUGUUGAGUUUGCCUCAAAAUCAUUUUUCUUGUGAGUCUUUCCCUUCGAAUUGCUUGUACCUCUUCUUCAAUAAGACGUGUGAGUGUAUAGAUUUUUAUUUUCUAUAUAAUAUUUACAUAUAAAUGCUUUUUAAAAAAAACUUUAACAUAUUUGUCUGAACAUCUAUUUUUAUUUUUUUAUAUUUCCUAAAAUAUUUUUUUAUACAGAUACUUAUAGAAAAUAAAUUUUAUUUAUAAAUAUAAUAAUAAAGUAAAUAUAAAUAUAUAUAAUACUUAUUCACCUUUUUUUUACUCAUCAAGCUUGGUGGUCCUAUACAUCUGAUGAAGGCAGAAGCAUAAAAGAUAGUUCAUAUUAAGCCCAACAUAAUAUGAAAAACUUGACAAAAUAUAUAUACGCAUAUAUUGUGAAGAAAUGAAGAAAUUAAAUCAUGUAUAUAUAUGUAACGUACUAGAGAUGGCUCUUUACAUGUGAUAUAGUGACUCCUCCAAUAUUCAUUAUCCCCAAAAAUAAACAAGAAAUUUUACUAUAGAUACGUGAAUAACCCAACAAUGAUCUGGAAUUUAUACAUUUUUAGUGUUUUAUAUACUUGCAGAACUAUUUAUUUGCAGCAAAUAAAAAAAAACAAUUAUCCGCAAAAUAAAUUGUUUCUAGUUGUAGCUAAAAACUGAAAUAGUUAGGGGGUGUGAAUGGUAAAAACUUAUUAUAAGGAUUAUUUAAGGUACAACUAUAAACAACUUAUUUUGCGUAUAAUUUCUUUUUUAUUUGCUGCAACUAUAAAAAUAGUAUUUAAGAAGAAAUAUAAGGAAAAUAUAGGAGGGAAAGAAAAAAUUAUUAGAAAAGGAAAUAAAUCCAAAUUAUUACUAUUUCAUUUGUAUGUCCUUAUUUUUAUCAUAUUUCAAAUUAAUGUAUAAUUCCGAUUUUUUUUCUUAACAGGUUUUUUUUCUAUUUGUUUUUAAAAGGAGAGAAAUUUCUUUAUAUAUAUUUUUUAGACUUUCUGAAAAAAGAUGUCUCUCAAAAAAUAUGAACGGUAAAAUAAAUAUGGGUUCAAAAAUCUCUCAUUAUCAUAGAAAAACUUACCGAUAAAUUUUGGGUUUAGAUUCUUUUAUAGGUUUUGAUAUUUGCAUAAAAAUGAUUAAGUAAACAAGAGAUUUUAAAGCUUUUAGGAUUAACAUAAAUCCAAAUGUUUGAAUAGAAUUUUGUUUUUGUUAAAGGUGUAAAGAAUUUACAAAAAGAAUAAUUUCUUUAUUAUAGGAAACCUAAAUAUUUCAAAACUUGAUUAGAUGAAACCAAUUCUCCUACGAUUUAAUGACUUAAUGAUAAACAACAACCAAACAUUUUUAAAAAAUCUACACCACUUUAAAAACUUACAGAUAUUACGGUUGAUUAGACGCAAGAUUAAGAGCAAAUCACAUCAAUCUUAUAAUAGAUUGCUCAAAUUUAAAUAUUGUAUACCAUUGUACAUUAAGGGAAAAGCAUUAUUACAUAAAAAGAAAAUUAAGUAAGAGAUAGAUUUUUAUUUAUUUAAAGAGCAAAUUAUGAAAAAGAUAGAUCAACUUUAGAACUUGCGACCAAGAGUGAGCUCAAGGGACAAAGUCUCAUCAUUGUUACCAUCAUCAUUGUCCACUUCAUUGUUUUCAGUUUCAUUCGUUACAAUCUGUCAUAUCCAGUUAUAUACAUUAUUAUAUGUGAAUGAAAUGAUACGUAUCAAAUCUUCAAUAAAAUUUGUGCAUAUUUGGUCAUUGAUAAUCAUGUUUGAUGAUUAUAGCGUAAGAAGUUUAAAAAGAGAAAAAACUUAAAAAUUUUAAACAUAGAGAAAACUUACUCUUGAAGAAAACAGAGACUUGCAAGAUAUUUCAAUAGCUCUCUUACUUGAUUCUCCCAUUUCCAUUAUUUUUUCCUGCUUUAUUUCUUCUUCCCUACAAUAUUGAUUAAAAAGGUACAUUCAACUUUAAAACAAAAUAUAUAUAUAUGUAUCUAUAUAUAUAUAUAUGUAUUAAGUUUUUAAUUUAAUAUUAAUUAAGUAUUAUACGAUAUUUUUUCGCAUAGAGUUGACAAUUUCUUCAAGACGUUCAUAUUGACAAAGGUGUUGUUGAGUUUGCCUCAAAACAAUUUCUAUUGUCAGUCUUUCCCUUCGAAUUCUUGUACCUCUUCUACCAUAGGACAUGUGAGUGUAUAGAUUUUUAUUUUCUAUAUAAUAUUUACAUAUAAAUGCUUUUUUAAGAAAACUUUAACAUAUUUGGUCUGAGCAUAUAUUUUUAUUUUUUUAUAUUUCUGAAAAUAUUUGUUUUUAUACAGACACUUAUAGAAAAUUAAAAUUCUUUAUAAGAGAUAAUUACAGUCUAUGGCUCUUUUUUCAGAAUAUUUACACUCUAUAGCUCUUUUGUUUGAAGUAGCUCUUUCUCAUGUUUUUUUAGGGUAAAAUUAUGUUGCUACCCCCGUAUUCAACUUCUCCUUCUAAACCGUUUUCAUCAUUUUAAACCGAAAGCUAGAAACCGGUAACUAGCUGUUUCUAAAUUCUUCCAAUUUCUGUAAUUCUAUCCUCACCAUCGUCGACCUGCACGAAAGCGAUGUUGCAGGUCGUGCUCGAAAGUGAAACCAAGAUCUGAGCUUUCACCAUCAUCGACAUUAAUCUGGAGGGAUGGAUUACCUGUGACGCUCCCCUUCGAUUGUGUUAGGUCUGUCAUUCGGUUCCUUAUCAAAAAAGAGCCAACCCCGAAGUCGCAGCUCCAUCUCAGAUGUCGAAUCGUUAGCUUUACUGCCAUCCACCCAAAUGCGGACACAACGAUUUAUGGUGUCAAGGUUAUUAUUAUAUAUUGAUGGUUCCAGAUUGGUAAGAAUGUAGUUUGCAUGGAUACGAACAUGUAACACCUGCUUUACAUGUUUCACCAUUGUAUGUGUCCACAUUAUGAGAUAAUUACACUAUGACUCUUUUUUCAGGAUAUUUUACAUUAUGAAAUAAUUUUCACCAUUGUACGUGUCCAACGUUCUCGUUUUUUCCCGUAUAUAUUAAAGGAUUAUCCACAAGUUUGAAUCUUAUCGGUCCAUUCAAAACAUGGCAUGUGAAACCUGUUACCAAAUUUCAUAUCCAGUAAUGUGAAUUCCCGUAUAAUUUACAACAUAUUAUAAAUGCAUUUUUGCAUGGACCCGAACAUGUUAUAGCUGUUAUUUUAACACGGUCGCUCUGACCCGGAGGUUACAACCGUAUUUUAUGACCAUACCCCGUAUUUCUGUAUAUAUUAUAGACUUAUCCACAUGUUUAAUGCUUAUUCAGCUCAAUGCCAAAAAAUGCUUUUUAAACUUGUAACCAUACAAUACAUACAGUACUCAGUAUUUUCGUAUAUACUAUAGGCCUAUCCACAUGUUUUUUUCAUGGACCCGAGCAUGUCCUAGCUGUUAUUUAAAGAAGAUUUCGCUUACACGAAGGUUCCAUGCUCAUAUUAUGACCAUAUCCAUGUUUAACGCGUAUGCGGGUCAAUGCCAAAUAGGCUUUUUAAACUUUUAACCAUACAAUAUAUACAGUACUCGAUAUCUAUAGGAAUUAGGUUUAGAUUAUAGGGUUUUUCAAAUGGAUGUAACUUACAUUAUUGGCUGCGGCCAUAGAGACUAUCAUUUUCAUGUUACAACAAAAGAGAGAAAAUACAACACCACCAUUUAUUUCAUCCAACUAAUCUGAUUAUCCCUAACAUGAGCAGACAUCCAACUACGACUAGCAUUAUCAUUUUCCUCAUACCACACUUGGCUUCAGCCAACACAUCUUCAACCCUGUCAAAUAUUUCCUUCUCAAGCUUCCUUUGAACUUUUUCAAAAAUCAUCUUCUCCAAACCCAAUUUCUCAGUUGCCGAUUCCUUUAUCUCUUGCUCAAGGCUUGAAUUCUUGAUUUGCAGUCUCUCAAUCUCAUCUAACAGAGCCUCAUCAACCCAUUUGAAGUUGUGAUUAUCAUUCACAAUCUACAAAAAAUGUUGAUUCAAGAAGACAGCGAUAAGAACCAUUUCCGUGUAAGCGACAUCACACAAAGCAUAUAUCCUUCACAUUACCUUCUUUGAUGCAGCAUACGCACACCUGAAGUAUCGCCGAUACGGAUUGUUGUCGGAUUUUGAAAUCAAAGCCACAAUCUGUUCACCACACCAAAAUUUCUUAGGAACACCCACAAUUCUUUUUGGACGGCUACUAGUCGAUCCACUCGAACCAGACACGCUGCCUGAUGCACCAGACAUCUCUAAUCUUAACCUACAAAAUAGAAGAAGUAUAGUACAAAAUAGUAGAGUACGAAGAAGUAGAGUUCGAAAUAGUUAGACUGCAAAAUCGGACUCCUUAAUAACGAAAUAGAAGAAGUAGAGUACGAAAUAUGGAUCUUACUUUGAUUUUUUUAUGGUCUAAUCGAAAUCGGCGCAAUCUAUCCAAUAUAUGGUCAUUUACAAAUAUAUGUUCUAAUCCAAUAUUACUUGAUUUCCGUAUACAUUUACGGGUUAUCCACAUAUAAUUGAUAAAGUAAUAUUAUUGCCGCGUUUUAUGGGUUAUCCACAUAUAAAGCAAUGGUCAUAUCCAUAGUUGCCGUGUUAAUAUGUGAGUCUCUAAUACGUUGCAUCCACAAGGAUUCGACCAUCACGUACUCGCACCUCAUUUGUAUGUUUUUCAAUAAACUAUAUCGCUCACCAUCACGUACUCGCACCCCAUUUGUAGUAUGUUAUCCACAUAUAAAGCAAUGCUCGUAUCCAUAGUUGCCGCGUUAAUAUGUGAGUCUCUAAUACAUCGCAUCCACAAUGAUUAGACCAUCACGUACUCACACCCCAUCUGUAUGUUUUUCAAUAAACUAUAUGGCUCACCAUCACGUACUCGCACCCCAUUUGUAGUAUGUCCAUACAGAACGCCUAAAAAAAGUGUUAUUCAUAUCAAACACUUUUAGUUUUUCCCUGUAAUCAAUUUCAUUUGGAUACUAUCCGUUAACCUCGUAUACAUAGUGGAAGUAUGGUCACUUCCAUAUUCUCCCAUAUCCACAUGGAUCACAUGUUUGAGCAUGGUGUAUUCCAUAACCCAUCGGCUACACAUCGAUGCGAUUUUAAGGGUCUUAUAUGGAUAAGCAAAUAAUAAUUCUAGGUGAUUAUAUGGAUAAGCAAACAAUAAGUCUAGGUGAUUAUAUGGAUAAGCAAUAUGGAUAAGACCCGUACAUUUUAACUGUCUGUUCGAUGUCAACAUUAAAAACAUGAGAAAGUCGUGGACACGACCAUAAUCUCACAUAUCCACACAAUACAUACAGGUUAAUGAUGCAUCCUUCGAGACCCCGAUUAUGUAACUACAAUGAUUUCACAUUGAUUUGAUUUUGGCAUUGAUAGUCUCCGAAUCCACUUUAUGGUUUUCAAUAAACUAUAUUGCUAACCAUCACAUACUCGAACCCCAAUGAUGGUCUAAUUCAUGUGGAUGCGAUGUAUAUGACCCCAUGUGAACCCCAACAUUAAAAACAUGAGAAAGCCGUGGAUAAUACCAUAAGUAGCGGGAGCAUGGGCACGACCAUAAUUGAUGCAAUUUUUAAGGGUCUUAUAUGGAUACGCAAACAAUAAGUCUAGGUGAUUAUAUGGAUAAGCAAUAUGGAUAAGACACAUACAUUUUAACUGUCUGUUUGAUGUUAACAUUAAAAACAUGAGAAAGCCGUGGACAUGGCCAUAAGUUGUGCGAGUAUGGGAACGACCAUAAUCUCACAUAUCCACACAAUACAUACAGGUUAAUGAUGCAUGCUUCGAGACCCCGAUUAUGUGAUUACAAUAAUUUCAUGUCAAACAUUUUUUACCAUGGUCGUAUCCAUAACUUAUUGUCUACACAUUGAUUCGAUUUUGGCAUUGAUAGUCUCGAAUCCACUUUAUGGUUUUCAAUAAACUAUAUUGCUAACCAUCAUAUACUCAAACCCCAUUUAUAGUAUGUCCGUAUCCAUAGUCGAGCGCAGCUCAAAAUAUGGGAGUCUCUAAUACAUCGCAUCCACAUGGAUUAGACCAUCAUGUACUCGCACCCCAUUUGUAGUAUGUCCAUACAGGGCACCUAAAAUAAAGUGUUAUUCAUAUCAAACACUUUUAGUUUCUCCCUGUAAUCAAUUACAUUUAGAUACUUACAAUUAACCUCGUUUACAUAGUGGAAGCAUAGUCACUACCAUAUUAUCCCAUAUCCACAUGGAUCACAUGUUUGAUAUGGUCAAAUCCAUAACCCAUCGGCUACACAUCGAUGUGAUUUUAAGGGUCUUAUAUGGAUAAGCAAACAAUAAGUCUAGGUGAUUAUAUGGAUAAGCAAUAUGGAUAAGACCCGUACAUUGUAAGUGUCUGUUCGAUGUGAAUAUUAAACUGAGUAUACCAUGGAUAUGAUAAUAUGUAGUGGGAGCAUUGGCACGACCAUAUCUCACAUAUCCACACAAUACAUACAGGUUAAUGGUUGCAUCCAUCGAAACCCCGAUUAUGUAACUACAAUAAGUGUAUGUGAAACAUUUUUGAGAAUGGUCGCGUCCAUAACUUAUUGUCUACACAAUGAUUCGAUUGUGGCAUUGAUAGUCUCGAACUCACUUUAUGGUUAUCAAUUUUAUAUCAGGACGCCUAAAAUAAAGUGUUAUUUAUAUCUCACACUUUUCUUUUCUCUCGGUUAUCAAUUUCAUUUGGAUACUAUCCGUUAACCUCGUUCACAUAGUGGAAGCAUGGUCACUUCCAUAAUCUCUGAUAUCUACAUGGAUCACAUUCUUGAGCAUAGUCAAGUCCACAUCUUAUCGAAUACACAUUGACGCGAUUUAAAGUGCUGAUUUGAAUGAUGAUAUUUCUAAGACGCGAACGGCCCCGAUAUGACUCGCCGACGUUAAGUGGAUGGCAAUCUGUAAUUUCAUCCUUAUGGAUAACCUUACAUUGUUUAUUCCGUUUCUUAAUAUGGUUGCGUCCACUGUCAUUCGUGUAAGCUUUUGUGUCCAUGUCCACGUAGAUACACUCAUAUCUAUAUAAAACUUAAAACGCAUUGGAUUUAGCUUUGUGGUCCAUAAAAUUUACCUCCAUCGUUGGAGGAAGCGGAAUUGGUUAACGGGGUCAUCACUUAUUAUACGACGACCAUAUAAUAUUAUAUAUUUACUAUCGACAUGUGACUCUAUCCACACUCAUGACAAUUCAUUAUAAUAUCCACGCCUUUCUGAGUAAUUUAGACAACCUUUUUCGCGUCUUCUAAUAUCCACGCGUCCGUAUAUGGUCACAUCCCCCAUCUAUUAUUACUGUUGACCUAAUUUGCGAGCCCGCCAGUCCUCAUCCGAAACGAUUUGUAUUCGACAACCUGCCAGACAAACAGGAAACGACUACACGAUCCCACCAUUUGAUUUGAGAUUCGACCGGCUAGUGCCUCUCGGAACUCGAUAUGAUAUUCGACCGGCUUGUUAAGAAGAACAGAGAAUCUACUCAGAACUCGAUCUUGAAAACACCCACCUGGGAAGUCCAAUUUCUUCUAUAAGGUAGAGGCUUGUUACAUGCCCCACCUGGGAACUCGAUCUUGAAAACACUGUGCCCCACGAAUUGAUAUAACACUCAACGGAAUUUUGUAACUCGGAAUUAUGAGUCAACUUGGAACUCGAGACUGAAAACAACCAUUCACCAAAGUUAUCUUCCCGAAACAAUGAGAAAACUCUUGAAACAGUCGGUUUAAUCUUUCUCUUGGUUUAAUCUGCUUAACCGAAACUCUUUAGUUUAGAAUGGGUAAGGACAAGACAAUAAUUUUUAACCUCAAUCUCAAAAAAAGAGCUACUACAAACUAAAGUGCUAAAACUUGUAAAUGUAAAGUCAAAAAGUGCCAUACAGUGUAAACGACUCUUCUUUAUAAAUAUAAUAAUAAAGUAAACAGAAAUGUAUAUAACACUUAUUCACCUUUUUCUAUUCAUCAAGCUUGGUAGUCCUAUACCUCUGAUGAAGGCAAAAUCAUAAAAAUAGUUCAUAUUAAACUCAACAUAAUAUGAAAAAAUUGACAAAAUAUAUAUACGCAUAUAUUGUGAAGAAAUGAAGAAAUUAAAUCAUGUAUAUAUAUGUUACGAACUGGAGAUGGCUCUUUUCAUGUGAUAUAGUGACUCCUCCAAUAUUCAUUAUCCCCAAAAAUAAACAAGAAGUUUUACUAUAGAGACGAGAAUAACCCAACAAUGAUCUGGAAUUUAUACAUUUUUAGUGUUUUAUAUACUUGCAGAACUAUUUAUUUGCAGCAAAUAAAAAAAACAAUUAUACGCAAAAUGAAUUGUUUAUAGUUGUAGCUAAAAACUGAAAUAGUUAGGAACUGUGAAUGGUAAAAACUUAAUAUAAGGAUUAUUUAAGCUACAACUAUAAACAACUCAUUUUGCGUAGAAUUGCUUUUUUAUUUGCUGAAACUAUAAAAAUAGUAUUUAAGAAGAAAUAUAAGGAAAAUAUAGGAGGGAAAGAAAAAAAUAUUUGAAAAGGAAAUAAAUCCAAAUUAUUACUCUUUCAUUUGUAUGUUCCUUAUUUUUAUCAGAUUUCAAAUUAAUAUAUAAUUCUGAUUUUUUUCUUAAAAGGUUUUUUUUUCUAUUUUUUUUUUAAAGGGGAGAAAUUUCUUUAUAUAUUUUUUUUAGACUAUCUGAAAAAAGAUGUCUCUCAAAAAAUAUGAACGGUAAAAUAAAUAUGGGUCCAAAAAUCUCUCAUUAUCAUAGAAAAACUUACCGAUAAAUUUUGGAUUUACAUUCUUUUAUAGGUUUUGAUAUUUGCAUAAAAAUGAUUAAGUAAAAAAGAGAUUUUUAAGCUUUUAGGAUUAACAUAAAUCCAAAUGUUUGAAUAGAAUUUUGUUUUUGUUAAAGGUGAAUAGAAUUUUCAAAAAGAAUAAAUUCUUUAUUAUAGGAAACCCAAAUAUUUCAAAACUUGAUUAGAUGAAACCAAUUCUGCUACGAUUUAAGGACUUUAUGAUAAACAACAACCAAACAUUUUUAAAAAAUCUACACCACUUUAAGAACUUACAGAUAUUACAGUUGAUUAGACGCAAGAUUGAGAGCAAAUCACAUCAAUCUUAUAAUAGAUUGCUCGAAUUUAAAUAUUGUAUACUAUUGUACAUUAAGGGAAAAGCAUUAUUACAUAAAAAUCAAAUUAAGUAAGAGAUAGGUUUUUUUAUUUUAAGAGCGAAUUAUGAAAAAGAUAGAUCAACUUUAGAACUUGCGACCAAUAGUGAGCUCAAUGGACAAAGUCUCAUCAUUGUUUCCAUCAUCAUUGUCCACUUCAUUGUUUUCAGUUUCAUUCGUUCCAAUCUGCCAUAUCCAGUUAUAUACAUUAAUAUAUGUGAAUGAAAUGAUACGUAUCAAAUCUUCAAUAAAAUUUGUGCAUACUUUGUCAUUGAUAAUCAUGUUUGAUGAUUAUAGCGUAAGAAUUUUAAAAAGAGAAAAAACUUAGGAGAAAACUUACUUUUGAAGAUUGAAACAGAGACUUGCAAGAUAUUUCAAUAGCUCUCUUACUUGAUUCUCCCAUUUCUAUUAUUUUUUCCUGCUUUCUUUCUUCUUCCCUACAAUAUUGAUUUCAAAAGGUACAUUCAAAUUUAAAACAAAAAACUAUAUAUAUAUAUAUUAAGUUUUUAGUUUAAUAUUAAUUAAGUAUUAUACGAAUAUUUUUUGCAUAGAAUUGACAAUGUCUUCAAGACGUUCAUAUUGACGAAAGUGUUGUUGAGUUUGCCUCAAAAUCAUUUCUCUUGUCAGUCUUUCCCUUUCAAAUUGCGUGUACCUCUUCUACCAUAGGACAUGUAAGUGUAUAGAUUUUUAUUUUCUAUAUAAUAUUUACAUAUAAAUUCAUUUUUAAGAAAAAUUCAACAUAUUUAGUCUGAGCAUAUAUUUUUAUGGGGUUUUUGCUAAAAAUGACCUAAAAUUUGAUUUUGAAUACAAAAUAGACUCCUGAUGCAACAUUUGGCAAAAAUAAUCUAAAAGGGUUGUGAAAAGACAAUAAAAUCUUGUUAACCAAACAAAAAACCGAUGUCUUAAUUACGAUUUAAACCCUGACGAAGUCUACUAAAGAUUGUUAGAAGUCUAAUAGUAGACUUCAGACAAAGCUUAUGAAGUCUACUAUGUAAUUAAAUCAUAAAAUUUUAUUUUAAAAUUAAUAAAAAAUAAUUUUGAUUUCAAAUUUGCAAUCAUAAAUUAGAUAUUGGUAAUCCUAAUGUUUAUAAAUGAUUGUUUCAUAUUCAUAAGUUUAAAUUUAUGAUUUCAAAUUAAGAACAACAUAAUAUUUGAUUUAGGGUUUAUAUUUGGUAGACUUCAAAUAGAAGUCUACUAAACCGAAUAAAUUACCUUAACCAAGAUUUUAACCGAAAUUGAACCAAAAUUUUAGAUUCAUAUAUAAAGUAAAUAACCCUAAUUUUUUUCAAUAACAAAGUUUGGGAGUUCGCCCUAACAUAAUUUCUCCCAGACACAGUUUAUGAGGCAGCCGCGAUCUAACUGAGCCCGCCGGUGACUUCCGACCAACCACCGAAAUUCUUCCUUAUUUCAACCACCAGCGAACUCCUGCUCUGGUCUAACUACGGCAACUGUUAGCUCCACCAGAUCUAAUGUGUUUCAUCUCUCACCGUCUGAUGCCGCUCUCUCUGUUGUUCCUCUCUGGUCUCUCUCCUCUCAUCUUCGUCUCCUCUUUUCCUUAAAGUCAUUGAUAAAGAGAAAGUUAUGAGAAAGUUUUCUUCCUUUUACUCGUUGCUUGCAUGUUUAGAAUCUGAAACUUAAUAUUUGUAUAUAUAUAAUAUAUUAUUCUAUGUAUUCUUUUGGAAUCUUUGUAUGUAGUAACUGAAUCUUUCUUCCUUCAGGUGUUGGCCAGCAAAACUAAGAUCUAUUUCGUUUUGGAAUUCUUUACUGGUGGAGAGCUUUUUGAUAAAAUUGUAAGCAUUCAAUCCAUUGAAGAUGUUUUUUUUUUCAUAUGUUGAAAAUGAGAUCUCGAGUGAAGAAGUACUAAUGACUUGAUUCUCUAAAAUUGUCAUGUAUUUAGUCAAGCAAUGGGAGGUUGGAGGAAGAUGAGGCAAGGAAGAUGAUGCAAGGACUAUUGCUAUUGCAGAGGAGUUUAUCAUCGAGACCUUAAGGUUAGGAAUCUUAUUUCUGAUUUUGCUGAUUUGUUAAUCAACAACAAAGGUUACAAUGGAGGCAAACCUGAUUUGUGGUCUUGUGGUGUGAUUCUCUUUGUCUUAAUAUUUGGAUAUUUGCCUUUCAAAGAUUUUAAUCUAACGUCAUUGUAUAAAAAAGUGUUAUUCUUUGCUCUUUUUUCUCUCCAUCCUUUGAUGCAUAUUCUUAGCUCUUGGUGUUUUGGUUUUUCUUUUGCUGGGAUUUUUGAAUUGGCGACAUCUCACUAUCUUUCAAGGUUUCAUCAAUUCUCACAUUUAAUUUUUUACAUGCAUUAAUUCUUUUUAAAAUUAUGAUUUAUGGUCUCUGUUUUGGGUAUGAACAAUUGAUGGAAGAACAAUGGAAGAUAGAGAGAAAUGGUGGGAAAUGGGAUUAAAGACUACCGAUGAAGAAAAAGUUAGGAGUUGUGCUUUUUUCUGGUGUUCAGGUAAAACUUCAAUUUUUAUUUUACUUAAUCCAAUCUGUCUUACUUCGUUGAUGCUAAUUUAUUAACUAAGUAGCUACUUGAGAUUAACUAAGUUCCAAUUUCUUCUCCAUAUGUGUUUCAUUUUAAAAAAUUUGUUCUUGAUCGUGAUCUGUUUGCAAAUUUUUUGAAUUUAAAAGAGAUUAUGAAGACAGCGAUUCACCUGAGUCUGCCAAAGAAAGUGCCUUUGCUCUUGCUGCUCUGAUGGAAAUUCCUUUUCUGAACCGAGCAAAUGAAGCAGAAGCUUUAUCUAGCAAAACUGGAUCUCGGGUUGUUGGUCACACACGACUCUUCUCUAUAACUGGUUACAAGUCCGUUAGCUAAUUUUUUUGUAAAAUUGUGUUUAUAGAUUAUUAGAACUGUAUAAUCUUUAGUUCAUGUAUUUUAUCAAUAUAUUUGUACAGUUCAAAGUUCAGAACAAAAAAAGAACAAAAUAACUUCAAAAUCAGAGUAUUUUAUGCACAAUGUCUCGUUAUUUUUUUUUAAUUGCAUAACAAUUCAAAGCAGAAGCAAACCAUAGGAUGCAACUUGUUUCAAAACCAUAAAGUAUGCUAUAAACGCAAGUUUUUUUCUUCACAUUCAAAUACAAGUCUAGAUAAGCUAUGAUUCUCCACAUCAUUAUCUCAAUAGUAGAAGCACCAGUUUUAAAACCAUCAAGUAUGGCAAAUCCAAAGAAGAAGAAUGGGUUGGUGUUACUAACAACAAAAUUAACAAAUGUUUAACUCUACAAUGUUACAAUCUAUGAAGCAAAGUUUCUAUCAACAUUAUACAUGUAACAAGAAAACCUAAAAACAAUCAUUAGAAAUAUGCUAUAACUAUAUUUUAAAGAAAAUUAACCACUCAGAAUUCACUUCAAAGCAUCGUUUGGAGAAUUCGUGUGCAGACUUCAUCCGUACACUGCUGGAGAAGUCUACUUUUACAAGCUGACUAGUUUAUAUAUCAAAAAAUUUGAUUCCACAAUAAUUAUCGACUUAAAUCAAAUGAAAAUCAUUGAGUAGUUCAACCACUUGCUAACACGCAUGUCAAAACCUAAAAAUUAAAAAAAAAACAUUAUAAAUAUUUUUGAAAAGCGUUUUUAAAAUAAAUACAAAAACAGACUUCCCAAUUAGACUUCAUCUGUAGACUACACGACGAAGUCUACUUUGAUAAGCUAAGUAGCUUAAAAAUCAAAACUUCUGAUUCAACAAUAAAUAUCGAAUGAAAUGAAAUGAAAUUCAUUGGGUAGUUGAAUCACUUACUAAAAAGUAUUUCUAAUCUAAAAAAUUAAGAAAAUACUUUAUAAAUUUUCCUAAAAUGCGUUUUAAAAAAACUACAAUAAGUAGACUUAUACAGAAGACUUCAAACGUAGACUGGAGGAGAAGUCUACUUUUUCAUAGUGAAGUCUACUAAAGAAGUCUACUUAAAAACAGGUUAUUUUUGCAAUUGACCAAUUCGUUGACUUUUCCUUAACUAGACUUCAGAAGUAGACUUCCGGCCAAAAAUGUUACUUUAGCAUUUGACCGAGCCAUUGACUAACAAAGUAGAUUUCUAUUGUAGACUUCAUGCAAGAGUAGACUUCUCUGACAGUCUACUUUUUCAAUAGAGGUCUACGGAAAAAUAGGUUACUUUUGCAAUUGAAUUUUUUGAGUAGACUUCACUGUGAAGUCUACUCAAAAAAAAAUUCCUUCUAAGUUUGACCGAAAAAUAUAAGUAGACUUCCCAAAGAAGUCUACAGUUUUUAGACUUAUUUGGGAAGUCUACUAAAGUUUUUCGGAAUUUUUUGAAUUUUUUAUUUUUUUAAAAACUGUAGUCAAAUACUAAAAUGACCUAUACAUUUUUUGUCAAACUACAAAAGUAACUUUAACGUAGACUUCUUAUGCACACGUAAACAGUAGACUUCAUACGGAAGUCUAUAUUAAAAAGUCAAAAUAUGGUCAACUACAAAAAUAACCUCUUUUCUUUCGUAGACUUCUUAAGCCUUCAAACGAAGUCUACUAGGUGUUUUUUUGUUUUCAAAGGAUAUCGAGUAGACUUCUCGUGAAGUUUAAUGAAGUCUACUUUUAAAAAGUCAAUUGCAAAAAUAACCUUAUGUUGACUAGUAGACUUCAAAAUGAAGUCUACUUUCGCGAUACAGAUAUAGAUAUUACCAAAAUUGAAGUGUAUCAUUACCUAUAUCGGUUUUGAGUUUGUUUUUAGGUCUCUCAUGCACCCAAAACUCUGAAUUUGACCCAAAAAAAAGAACCCAGAUCUUGAUUAAGCUGAAAUCACCAAAAAUGCAUAACAUUUGACAUUGUAACUCAGCCCAGAAGUUUUAGAGAAGAAAUUAGGAAAGAAUAUAGAAGGUUAUGAGAGUAUGAGCUCUUAUAUUAACUUAUUACAGCUUUAAAUUUAGUUGAGAAGCAUUUAUUCUAUUUUUGGGGUUGUUCAUGGUGGUUGAAGGUAUUGAAGAAGAUGGCAUUAUUGUAAUAAAAAAAUGUUUUAGGAGGUCCAAGGAGACUUUAGCCAAUAUUUAAAAAAAUCGAAAUAAUGGGUUUAUAAUGGCAUUUUCGUUAAUAUCUUGAGUGAGAAGGAUAGAAUUGUGACAAAAUAGCAAAAGUUGGAGAGAGAAAAAAAGAGGUUAGUUUGGUGUUUGACUUUAAAAUUCUAACUAAUAGUUGUAAUAAACCGCGUUAUGAUUCUAAAAUAAUUGAGUCAUCAAAAAAAAGUUGGCAGACAUUCAAAAGAAAAAAUACCCGAUUAAUUCGUAAAUCUAUUUUUUUUAUAAAAUUUUGCAUUGAACAACUCUCUAUAACUCUUUUUCUAGGUAUCAUUAAUAUUCCAAGAAUUACUACACAACUUUUUUUUAAAUUAACAACAACAAUUCUUAAUAAAUAUAUUUACAAGACUGAAGAAAAUAGAGAAAAAAUUAAUAAAAAAAAUACCAUUUAUUUUAUUUCGGCUAUAAAAAAUUUAAUAUCCAAUAAAAAUAAAAAUAAAAUUAAUUAUGACCUAUGCUCUUUAUCACAAGCAUAUGUAUUUUAUAAAUUAUCACAAAUUCAAGUUAGUACCGUUUCUAAAUUAACGGCUAUUUUUAAAUAUAAUAUAUGCAUAACAUCCUUUUUUGUUAAGAAUCAACUAAAGGAUUUGUUUCAAGAACAAGGACUUUUUCAUUGUGAAUUGAAAGAUAAAACCUUUUUAAAGUCCGAAGUAAAUCCAUGGAAAAACUGAUUACGAAGUCAUUCUCAAUACAAUUUACCUCAGAUUACAUGGGCUAGAUUAGUAACCAAAAAAUGGAAAAAUUAAAAUAAAGCAAAACUCUCUAGUUCUAAAUCCAAGUUUAACUAAAACAGAUUCAUAUGAAAAAAAAAAUUUGAUAAUUACAAAAAAAAAAAAAUUUUGAGGCCAACUCGUUAUUAAAUCCAAAACAUAAUUUCAAAAAAGAUUCUAUAUAUAAUAUUUUUUGCUACCAAUCUAUUCAUUCUACAGAAAAAAUUUUUGACAUGUCUAUAGGCAUUGCUCUAGAUAAUUGUUUAGUCUCGUGUUUUCUAGAAAAAUAUAAUAUUCGGGGUAUAGGGCAAAUUCGGCAUCGAAAAUAUUUGGAUUGGAGAAUUCUCAACUUUGGGUUUAGAGAAAAAGUAAAUAUUGAGCCCUGGGUUGAUACCAAGAGUAAAAAAAAAUAUAUUAAGACUAAAGUUCAAAAUUAUCAAAGAAUUGAUAAAAUAACUAAGACGGGUCUUGCUAAUCAAAAAAGUUUAUUUUUUGAUUGGAUGGGAAUGAAUGAAGAAAUACUAAAUCAUCAUCUAACAAAUUUUGAAUUUUUUUUCUUUCCAGAAUUUUGCUUAUUUUCUAGUACAUAUAAAAUGAAACCAUGGGUCAUACCAAUUAAAUUACUUCUUUUCAAUUUUAAUGAAAAAAAAAUAUUAAUAAAAAGAUCACUCUAAAGACAAACGGUUUUAUACCAUCAAACGAAAAAAACUCCCUUCUCUUUUAUGAAGAAUCGGCGGAUCGCGGAGAGCUUGAAUCAGAUAAAGAAAAAAAAAAGAAAUCCUGAAACAGAAAACAUAAAGAGAAUCGUAUAGUCAAAAAAAUUGAAAAGGAUAUGUAUCCGUUGAUAAAUUGAAAACAAUAGUUGAUGUUUCCGGUAGCAAUCUAUUUUAUGAUUUUCCUAAUUUUAUUUUAGAAAAUCAUACAAAAUAAGAAAAACUAUUAACUUAAGAUGUAUUCCGCCAAGUUGUACAACCGCAUAAAUAAAGUGAUCGUGAUGAUAGGCUCUCCAUUGCAUCCGAUCCAUUUUUUCACCUAAUAUAAGGUUUAACAAUCGUGACUUUUAUCAGAAAAAUUCUUGAACUUUACGAUUUUUGUUUUUAGUUAUAAAAAACUCUGAUCAUGAGUGGUCAAUUUAUAGUAGUUGUAGACAAAAUUUAUGAUGUUAAAAAAUUAAUUAAUAAUUUUCAUAAAUGUAAAGGGUAGAAAAACAUUAAAUGUGCUACUAAACUUGUCAUAGUGCAUAUCUUUUUACUUUCUUUUUUUUGGUUUUCUAAAUUAGUUUGUUUAUUAUUUCCAUUAUUUAGAAAAAAAUCUUUUACAACUAUGAAUGAAUUAUUUAAAAAUUUAUACAUAUAUAUAUAUAUAUAAGCAUUAUUCAAAUCUUCAAUUAUAUAUGCUAAGUUAAGUAUUUCCAUUAUUUAGAAAAAGUGCCUUACAACUAUGAGUUGGAUCAUCAGGAAAAUAAAAUAUAUGUAAGUAUUAUUCAAAUCAUCUUAGCUAUAUUUUGAAAAGGAUCACCAACAUUAUUUUUAAAAAAAAUUAAUAAAAAAAAAUCUUAAUGUAAAAACUAAAAACUAAACCCAUAAAAGCUAAGAAAUCAUGUUUCCAACCCCAAAAAUGAUUUUUUUUUUGGUCGGCCUUUCCUUCUUUUUGUCUUCUUGUUUUUCCUCACUUGAGGGGUUCCCAGCCUUUAUGCGUGUGGUGAUCCUUGGGCGGGUAGGACGCUGUGUUCUUCCCUCGUAACUAUGCUGUCUUUCUCCGGUUCCCUUUUUCACCUCCGGGAUCCGAUUUAGUUGAUGUCGCGAUUUAUCUUGCUGGUCGUACCAUCCUUCCUUGGUAUAUCUCGUGCGUAUUUCUCGGUUUGCCUCCAGAGUCUUUCCAUCCUCCACCCGGUUGGGAACUCGAUCAAUCGUAGAUGUUUGCACACUGUGGCCUCCAUCUCGUCCACCCAAGAUUGACCUAACAGCGCUAUGUACCGUGCUGGCGUGCUGACUACUGUUAUGGCCAUUACCCAGGUGGUAUUAAGCGCAGUGACUAUGAGUGCUGCCUCUCCUAUCGCUCGAGUCACCCUCCCAAUAUAUCUAUGAACAUUAUCUUCGUUGUUUUAAGGUACCUUCGAAAUCCCACGAACUCUUCGAAGAUGGCUGCAAGAUGAGAUUAACAGGGCAGGUCUAGUCCACCAGAAUCUGCCUCAUCUGUUUGCCUCCUAUCUCCAACAUCACAUUCAGAGCGGGGUAUUGAGUGAUAAUUCUCGACACUUUUUCUGCUGCGUUGAAGAACUCUGGCGGGCGAGCCAGUCGCCUUCGAAUUCCAAGCAUUCUACCAUGACUUUCUUCCUCAGCUUCAUUCGUGUGUCUUUCGACCUGUCCGACCUUGUUGAAGCUCCCUAUUACACGGUCUUGUGUGUUCAACAUUCGCUUCACUUUCCUAGACAGCAGAAGUCGUAUGGAAAGGUGGCGAACCAGAGCCAGCAUCUCCUCGUAAAGGCCAAACAGCUCUCAGUCUGAUACCCUCUGGAUCAGUGGUACUUGCACCAUAGUUUUCUGUAUUUCCGUUCCUCUGAGGCGGGCUCAUCUUCUAUCUGGAUCCCGUAUGGCGUGAGAAUUUUUUACCCACACUUCUUCCUCCAAUUACCUCCGAUCGCACCAUCCGGGAAUGGUAGUGGAACAUGCUACAAGGGGGUUUACCUCCGGCUCCUCUCCUUGGUCUCCGGUUAUCUCCCAGUUGUUGUCACUUGCCCCUCCCUUGGCGUUCUCCCUUUGGUCAGGAUCCUUUGAGCCGCUGGGUAUGUAAGGUUCAUUCUCUCUGAAAUUGAUCAUGCCCACCUAGCACUUGCAGUUUUUCGCUCUGGCUUUGACGGUAUUUGGUUUGCUGCCAAUCACUGUCUGGGUCUCUCCUAUUUGCAUUCAUAGGUUGUUGCCCCCAGAUCUGUGUUCUUGGUGGUUUUCUGACUCGAGUAGGAAAAUUUUGCUCAGAGAUUGUUGUCUAUCUAGCGCAGAACUAUUUAGGGGAUUUUUAGUCAUCUGCGCAGGCAAGUCUCCUGCAAAACUAGCAAAUGCGUGAAGGCCUGGAAAACACGAUGGAGGGUUUUUUUUUGAUGGCUCUCCUACGCUCAAGUCAGAAAAGAGGGAAAGAAAGACCACCAGGUGGCAAAUUGGAGGAGGAAAGAGAUCAGAAAAUGGAGGAAGGAAGUUUUGUUGAGAGCUCGUGAGAAAAAUGGAAUCUGCUCGGACCUUUGUGUGGUAGUGGGCUUUUUGAGGUGAAAAAAGAGGAAGUGUAAGAGUUUUGGGGUGACAGUGCUCCACGGUUUACGAACCGCCAAUGAGAGGAAGUAAAGAGAUGGUCGUAAUAAUGACCGGAAAUGUAAAGUGCUAUGGCUUAAGGAUCACGCGUAUUUAGAGAGUUAGCAUGAGCCUUAGGUUAGCGAAAAGAGUGAACCCCCUUCUCAUUGAAAGAGACAAGGUAUUUAUAUAGUUUUACCUAAUUCGGAUUAAUAUACCGGAACGGUCCUUGGGUCACAGGUUUGGCGGAUCGGUUUGUGAUCCGACUUGGUUGGAUCCGAAUCUUAUGCUUGCAUCAUGCCUCUGAUGGUCUCACAACCUUUCAUUGACACGUUAAAAAAAGUUGGUGAGAGCGUCAGAGGCAUGACGUGAGCAUAAGACUCAGAUCCAACCAAGACAGAUUACGAACUGAACCGCCCGACUCACGGCCUAAGGACUAACCCAGUAUAUGAACCUGGGUCAGGUAAAAUUUAUAAAUACUCUAUUCUUUCUAACGAGGGAGGAGUUCACUUUUUUUGCUACCUUAAGGCUCAUACUAUCUCUCUAGAUAUUUGUGAUCCUUAAGCUGCAGCACUUUAUAUUUUAUGGUCAUUACUCCGACCAUCUCUUCACUUUCUCUUUACGGUGGUUCGUAAUUCCUAAAACGUGGAGCAAUCCCACCCAGCAACUCUUAUACUUCUUCUCUUUUCAUCUCACAAAGCCUAUCACCACUUAAAGGCCCGAGUCGAUUCCACCUUUCUCAGAAAGGCCAAUCUCCUACUCUCGUUUUCCGAUCUCUUUUCUCUCUCUGAUUAGCGACUUAGUAGUAAAUUUUUAAUGUUUUCUUACUUGAGCGUCAGAGAGCCAUUGGAAAACACUCCCCAUUGUGUUUUUGGGCCCAUGCGUUUUCUAGUUUUGCAGGAGACUUUCCCCUGCAGAGGACAAAAAAAUCCCAUAUAUAGUGUCAAGAAAAUCAAAAAUUCAAAUUUGUGUAGCACAGCAAUGACCAAGUUGAAUUAUGUACUUUUUAUAAAUUUAAAACAAUGAUGGGUAGAAAUAAAAUUCUAUGAAAUUUAGUGAUUAAGAAUAAUAAAAUAAACAAGAAGUUUUAUUAUAGAGACGUGAAUAACCCAACAAUGAUCUGGAAUUUAUACAUUUUCAUGUUUUAUAUACUUGCAGAACUAUUUAUUUGCACCAAAUAAAAAAAAACAAUUAUCCGCAAAAUGAGUUGUUUAUAGUUGUAGCAAAAAACUGAAAUAGUUAGGGGGUGUUAAUGGUAAAAACUUAUUAUAAGGAUUAUUUAAGCUACAACUAUAAACAACUCAUUUUACCUAUAAUUGUUUUUUUUAUUUGCUGCAACUAUUAAAAUAGUAUUAAGAAGAAAUAUAAGGAAAAUAUAAGAGGGAAAGGAAAAGUUAUUAUGAAAGGAAAUAAACCCAAAUUAUUACUUUGUAUUUCAUUUGUAUGUUUUUUAUUUUUAUCAGAUUUCAAAUUAAUGUAUAGUUGUGAUUUUUUCUCUUAACAGGUUUUUUUUAUUAAUUUUUAAAGGGGGAGAAAUUUUUUUAUAUAUUUUUAGACUUUCUGAAAAAAUAUGUCUCUCAAAAAAUAUGAACGGUAAAAUAAAUAUGGGACUAAAAUCUCUCAUUAUAAUAGAAAAACUUACCGAUAAAUUUUGGGUUUAGAUUCUUUUAUAGGUUUUGAUAUUUGCAUAAAAAUGAUUAAGUACAAAUAGAUAUACAAGCUUUUAGGAUUAACAUAAAUCCAAAUGUUUGAAUAGGAUUUUGUUUUUGUUAAAGGUGAAUAGAAUUUUCAAAAAGAAGAAUUUAUUUAUUGUAGGAAACCCAAAUAUUUCAAAACUUGAUUAGAUGAAACCAAUUCUCCCAUGAUUUAAUGACUUUAUGAUAAACAAUAACCAAACAUUUUUCAAAAAUCUACACCACUGAUAACACCGUAUUUUGACCACUUUUAUGGAUCAUUUUGAAAUACUUUUUCUAUGUUUUUAAUUGCUUUUAAGUACUUUUAUCACGUUUUUCUAGUAUUUGUAGUUCCAAAACUCUUUUCAGGUAAUUUAGGGAAAAGGUAAACAAAAUGGAUAGAAUACCAGAUUUCAGCUCAGAGUCAAACCGUCAGAAGUUCACCCCCGAUUGAAGGCCUUCUCACCGUCUGAUCCUACUCAAAUUUGGAGAUCUUAAAGAUAGAAGUAUCAGCUUUCCAGCACACUUUACAGCUUGGCAAUCCAACGGUUCAAUCAAAAGAUACGCGAAGAGCAAGAUGUACCGUAAACCAGCCGGCAAACGUUUCCACCCGCGGCCAACAGGCCAUUCCCCGCGGUCACAACCAUCCCGACCGUGGCCAGCCACCCAUUCCCCGCGGUCGCGCACAUCCCGACCGCAGCCAGCUAACUCCGACCACUAUAAGAAAAAGUGUUUAUUGCAACAGAUAUUUUUGUGGCAAACAACUAAAAUUCGUGGCAAUAUAGGUAUUUACCACAAAUUAUCAUAAAAUUAUUGUGUGGCUAUAGGGUCGUUACAAAUAAAAAUAUGUGGAAAUUUGUGGCAUAUUUACCACAAAAUACCAUAACAAUAUUUUGUGAUAAAUUAGCCACAAGUUUUUCAGAAAACAAUCCUGGCAAAUUUACCACAAAUUAGUACAAAAUAAUUGUGGCAUAUUGUAACAAAUGAUCACAAUGCCAUUUCUUGCAAAUUCGACACAAUCACCACAAAAAAAAAUUUGUGGCUAAACUGUGGGUUUUUUAAAAAAAAUAUAUUCAAAAAACAUAUUAAUGACAAUAAAUUGCACUGUACUCGCAUCUUAUAUAUACUAAUAAAAGUUGAAGUUAUAUGCUUUUAAGGGUAUCCACAUAAGAUUUAAGAAAUCAAUUUAAUUGGUCCACAUAAACAUUCAAAAAUAAGGAAAAUUUACAAAUAGUAAUACUUUUGCUGAAAAAAGGAAAUUAAAAACGUGUCCACAUAGGAUUUAAAAAAUCAAUUUUAUUGGUCCACAUCAACAUUCAAAAUUAAAAAGAAAAAUUACAAAUUGUAAUAUUAUUGCUGAAAAAGGAAAUUAAGAAAGUUUAUUGGUCCAAUAAAAUUUUUUAUUGGUCCACCUCAACACAGAAAAUUGAAAAAUAUUUGAAUAAAUUUUUUAUUGUCCACCUCAACAUUGAAAAAUGAAAAUUUCCCAAAUUCUAUUAUUGUUUUUAAAAUUAUUAAAAGUAAAGAAAUUAUAUAUAAAAUUGGUUUUAAUAAUAAAAAACUAAAAUAAAUAAUAUUGAAACAGGAAAAUUUUAAUUAAAUUAGAUAUAGACACACAUAUUUAGAGACUCUUACAUUAUCAUCUAAUUUUUUGUCAUAUAAUUAUAAUAAUUUUAAAGUUUUUUUUCCUAUGUGUGUAACCAUGUAAAAUAAACAAAAACAAAAGAUAGAGUAAGGUUUCACUACAAAAUAAGUCAUUACAACGUAAAAGAACUAACUUGACUAAACUAUAAGUUUAACUAUUAGCUAAAUUAUAAAGAAUAUAAUGAAAGAAGAUAUAAACAAAGCCACUACAAUAACAAACUUGACUAAAGUAUAUGUUUAAUUAUUAGCUAAAUUAUAAAGAAUAUAAUAAAAGGAGAUAUAAACAAAGGCACUACAAGCCGCUUUAAUAUUGAAAAAGAAACCGUAAAAUCUCCAAAACUUGGCCACCAAAUUUGAGAAGAAUGAGAAAUUUCAAACAAUCCGAGAAACAUGUCAAGUGAUUGAUACUCGACACUUUUGAAAAACUAAGCACUAAAAAUAGAGAAAAUAACAUAUUGGAGGAGACUGAGGUAUCUGAAGAAAUUUUUUGAAAUAACAUAGCAUCUGAAUGAGUUUUAACAACCCAACAUGAACCACAAAAGUAACAAUUAGCUGACCAAACAGCAUCCGAAUACAUUCGGUAAGCCUCAAAACAAUGAGAAUAGGCUAAAAUCACUUGCCGCAAUAGGCCUCAUGUGAAAUUUUUCAAUUUUGAUUUCUAAAUCUAUUACUAAUAAAAGUUAAAGCUAUAUGCCUCUAAGAAUGUCCAUAUAUGAUUUAAAAGUUCAAUUCUAUUUGUCCACAUCAGUAUUUAAAAUUAAGAAAAUUUCUACAUUUCAAAAUUAUAUUGUUAACAAACAAAUAUAUUUAAAAACAAAAAAAAGUUGAAGCUAUAUGCCUCUAAGGACAUCCACAUAAGAUUUAAAAGGUCAAUUUUAUUAUUCCACAUCAAUAACUAAAAUUAAUUUUUUUUCUAAAUUAUAAAAUUACAUUGUUAAUACAAAAUAAUAUAGGAAAUAUUGUUAAUUAAAAUUAUUCUAUUAUUAAUGAAAGUUAAAGCUAUAUUAUUUUCAAGACAUCCACAUCAGCAUUUAAAAUUCAUAUAUAUUAGUAUAUAUCAAAAUUAAAAUUAAAAAAAAAAUUAUAUUUCUAAUAUUAUGGUUAAAAAUAUAUUAAAAAAAUAAAGAAAUCUCGAUUAACAAAAAAAAAACUAACAUGAUAUUAAAAUCUCCAUUAUCACUGUUUAAAUCACAAAUUUAAUUUAUUAUCUAUAAAAAAUAUAUGCUACUUAUACAAAUUUAAUUUACUUGAUUUUAAAGCUUUUCAUGUAGAAUUUUAAAUAACUAAUAUUUAUGAUUUAUUUUCAUCAAAAGUUUUUCACAUAUGCAAAACAAAUCAUCUAAAUAUGUAAUAUAUUAUGCAAAAAUAUGUAAUAUUUUUUUCUCGUGUAAUAUAUUAUGCAAAAAUGAUCAAAAUUUUUACAUUUUAUAUAUUUAAUUUGGAAUUCAAUAGAUUAACGUAGAAGUUCUUAGUUUUGAGUUGUUCAAUUUGUUAUUUCACUUUUAUAAAUUUGUAUAUAUUAAUUUGUACUGGUUUUAUCUAUUUAAUUACAAUUAGAAGUGAGAAUAAAUAUGAUUAAACUGAAUAUAAUCAUACAAAAAUAAUUAAAAUAAAUAUGAUAGAUUCAUUGAAAAAACAGAUAUAACAAGAAUAAAAACGAAGAAGAUGAAAAAAAAAUUUCAUUCUUAUUAGAAGAUAUGAUGUAUAAUCAUUGAAAAAUUAUUUAAAAGUUUACACUACCAAUUGACAAAAAUAUAUUUAUUCACAAAUUUUGUGUGAUUUUAUUCAUUUCAUAUUCAACUAUUGUUUUAGUUUCAAAUUUAAAGUUGUUAUUAUAUUAGUAUGUUUUUAAAUUAAUAUAUCAAAAUAAAAAAAUUUUUGUUAAACAAGAGAAGAAAACAGAUUAAAUUUUAAUUUUUUUAUUAUUUUUAGGAACAUAUAUAUAUAUAAUUAAAAUAAAAGUGAAAAUGAUGGAAAAAAAUUAUCUUCUUGAUUUAAAGAAGUGAAUGUAUAAUAUUUUACUAUCAUGUUAAUAUUAUGUUUAAAAAGUAACAUUUGAUUAAUUUGUAAAAAUUUUAGUUGGUUUUGGUAUCUUAACUUAUAAGUGUUUGACCAAAUAAUACAUUUUUGAAAUAUGAUAUACUUUAUAUAGAUUCAAAACAAAACCGUUAUAAAAUCACAAUUUACAUAAAAAUUAUUAGAUCAACACUAUUAUAUUUUAAUAUAUUAUUAAAACACUAAAACACUAAUAUAUAAAAUUUAUAUCUUAAUAAUUAUAAUUAAUUGCAUAUAAUUUUUAUCAACAAAACAUGGACGCAAAAUCUAGUUGUAUAAAAACGAUUAAUUGAUUUAAUCAACAAUAGCACAUCUAGCGAUUAUUCGGCCCAGUUAACAAUUAACUAGACAUAGAAUUAUACUAAUCGAUGGGCCUUCUACAGCCCAAAUGUAAAUAUCUUUUCGCUUUAUAGAAAGGAGAGUAUAUCAUUAUUUAUAGAACAUGAUGGUUUGGACUCUCACUCAAUUUUGUCAAUGUGGGACAUUCUCUCUUCCUUUCACAACAAAGACUUAAUUAAUACACAUAUAUUAAAUCCAUACAUAUAGGACACUCGAUCAUAGAGAUGGUAUUAAAUGACAAAAUUUAAAACUAAUUUAUCAAUUAUAGAAUUUUAUAAAUUAUUCAAUAAUUGUAAAAUUCUUCUUACACUUUAAUUUAUAAUAACUUUUAAUUAAUAUAUAUGUUCACAUAUAAAUAUAAAAUUAACAAUAUAUUGAAUUACUUAACAUAAAUUAAAGAAAAUUAUAUUAAAAUUAAAGAAAAUUAUAUUUGAAACAAAAUUUUGAAUAAUAAUAUGUGGUAAGUUUACCAUAAAUUUAAUAAUUAAAAAUAAUAAUAUGUGACAAGAUUAUCAUAAAUUACUAUGGUUUUGUGUUUUGGCAAAUUUGCUAGGAAAAAUCUCUAAUAAUGUGGCAAAUAUUGAUACAAAUUUUUUGUACCAAUUUGUGGUAAAUGUUGCCACAAAAUGCCACAGAUUCUGUCAACGUGGCAAAAUUGACACGAAUUUACAACAAAAUAUAAGAAAGUUUUUAAAAAUCGUUAUUUGUAGUAAAUUUGUGGUUAUAUUGUCACAAAAUGCCACAGAUUUUGUCAGCGUGGCAAAACUGACACGAAUUUACAGUAAAAUGCAAGAAAGUUUUUAAAAAUCGUUAUUCGUGGUAAAUUUGUGGUUAAAAACACUUGCCAUAAAAAAAUAUGGCAAAGUUGUGGCAAUUGACAUUUUUUCUUGUAGUGGAUUUUGAAGGCUCAUUUCUGAAGCCUGUAUCAUUUUCUCAGCCUCAAUUCUGGAACCCUAGACACCAGAGAGUAUUGGAGACUAUAAAUACAUGUCAUUUAGGUCAUUUUUGAAAAGAGAAGAAGGGAGACGAAAUACUUUACAGAAAUUUUACUUUAAGCUUUGUUUUUAGGUUUUAGGAAAAGAGAGAUCUGUCUCUUGAACCCUUGUUCUUUUUUUUUCAAUUUUGGUUUCUAUUCUACUUUUUAAUACUAUGUUUUUGAUUUCGUUUAUCAUGUCUGAGUAGUUUUAUUGUUGGGACUAAGGGAUUUUCGAUGGGGAUAUAUAUGUUCGGUGAGGAUUCCAUGAGCUUUUGAGCCGAAUCUUAGAACUUUUUCUUCUGAAUUCGUUUUUACUGCAUGAGAAUAGCGUCAUGAACUACAAUCUGAUCCAGAUGCUUGGUGACACGAAAGUGUUCAUCCGGUGUCAUAUCUAGUUUGGGAGAGCAAAACAAACAUACGAGUGGAAACCUACCUAUGGGCGAUUUGUGAAUGCUGACGAGUCUUAAACAUAAUGCAUCUCUUCUUUUCCAGGGCCAGAGUGGAAACCUACUGGUCAAGGUUGAGAGAGAUAGUUGUCUAUGAUCACGACAGUGGCGUAUUCAUACGUCCGUGACUCCAGUUCGAAAAUUUUAAGCUAAGAUCUUAUCAAAUUUACUCUCGAGCAAUGUUUUGAAUCGUCUAUACCCCUGAGAAAACUUCUCUGAACCCCAGCGCCUCUUUUCUUAUAGAUUUAUACUGAUUUUCAUUCAAGCUUUAGUAUAGUAUCUUUACUCUUUCAAUCGAUUUUCAUUUAAGCAAUUAGGUUAGCCGUUUUUCUCGUUUUUACCCGUUUUUGUUAAGUUUAGUUAUUAGGUCAUUUUAAUUCCCGUAUUUUCUCUUUAAGAUUCUUUUUUACGUUUUAAACACACCACCAAAACCCUCACAAAACUCGCCUGGUUCUAGACUUCCUUACUUUAUAUUUCUUUCGAAGGCUUUUGCAGUAAAGAUCCUCCUUCCCUGUGGAUUCGAUCCCUUAGUAGUACAAUCGAUCAGCUGUGCACUUACGGCUAUUGAUUUCAUUUACGGUAAAACUUGACACCCUCACCACGACAGCACAUCAACCACUUUAAGAACUUACGGAUAUUACGGUUGAUUAGACGCAAGAUUAAGAGCAAAUCACAUCAAUCUUAUAAUAGAUUGCUCGAAUUUAAAUAUUGUAUACCAUUAUACAUUAAGGGAAAAGCACAAAGUCUCAUCAUUGUUACUAUCAUCAUUGUCUACUUCAUUGUUUUCAGUUUCAUUCGUUCCAAUCUGCCAUAUCCAGUUAUAUACAUUAAUUAUUAUAUGUGAAUGAAAUGAUAUGGAUCAAAUCUUCAAUAAAUUUUGUGCAUACUUGGUCAUUGAUAAUCAUGUUUGAUGAUUUAUAGAAAAUGCAAAGUAAAUAGAAAUGUAUAUAAUACUUAUUCCCCUUUUUUAUACUCAUCAAGCUUGGUGGUCCUAUACAUUUGAUGAAGGCAAUAACAUAAAAUUGGUUCAUAUUAAGUCCAACAUAAUAUGCAAAAAAUUGAUAAGAUAUAUAUAUAUAUAUGCAUAUAUUGGGAAAAAAUGAAGAAACUAAAUCAUGUAUAUAUAUAUAUAUAUAUAUGUUACGACCUGGAGAUGGCUCUUUACAUGUGAUAUAGUGAGUCAUUCAAUAUUUAUUAUCUCCGAAAUUCUAUUAGGAGUUGCUUCUGCAUUUACGAUGAUUAAUACAAGUUAAAUUUAUAUUAAAAGAAAAUAAUGUUUAGCCCAUAACUCUAGAUCUAGGAUUGUUAUGUAGUUUUUAUAUAUGUUAGCAUCCUAAUUUAUAAUUCCGAUCCCCGAAUUUGACAAAUAUGAAUAUAUCAGACAAAACAAAAAACAGAAAAGAUAAGAGAAUCGUAUAAUCAAAAAAUUGAAAAGGAUAUGUAUCUGAUGAUAAAUUGAAAACAAUAGUUGAUGAUUCCAGUAGCAAUCUAUUUUAUGAUUUUCCUGAUUUUAUUUUAGAAAAUCAUACAAAACAAGAAAAAUAACUAACUUACGAUGUAUUCCGCCAAGUUGUACAGCCGCAUAAAUAAAGCGAUCGUGAUGAUAGGCACUCCUUUGCAUCCGAUCCAUUUUUUCACCUAUUAUAAGGUCUAACAAUCCUGACUUUUAUCAGAAAUAUUCUCGAACUUUACAGUUUUUAGUUUUUAGUUAUUAAAAACUCCGAUUAUGAGUGGUCAAUUUAUAGUAGUUGUAGACAAAAUUUAUGAUGUUAAAAAAAUUAAUUAAUAAUUUUCAUAAAUAUAAAGGGUAGAAAAACAUUAAAUGUGCUAUUAAACUUGUCAUAUUACAUAUCUUUUUACUUUCUUUUUUUUUGGUUUUCUAAAUUAGUUUGUUUAUUAUUUCCAUUAUUUAGAAAAAAAUCUUUUACAACUAUGAAUGAAUUAUUUAAAAAGUUAUAUAUAUAUAUAUAUAUAUCUGUAAGCAUAAUUCAAAUCUUCAAUUAUAUAUGCUAAGUUAAGUAUUUCCAUUAUUUGGAAAAAGUGCCUUACAACUAUGAGUUGGAUCAUCAAGAAAAUAAAAUAUAUGUAAGUUUUAUUCAAAUCAUCUUAGAUAUAUUUUGAAAAGAAUCACCGGCAUUAUUUUAAAAAUCUUAAUGUAAACCUUAAAAAUUAAACCCAUAAAAGCUAAGAAUUCAUGUUUCCAACUCCAAAAAUGAUUUUUUUUUUCUUUUUGGUCGGCCUAUCCUUAUUUUUGUCUUCUUGUUUUUCCUCACUUGAGGGGUUUCCAGCUUUUUAUGCGUGUUGUGAUCCUUGAGCGGGUAGGACGCUGUGUUCUUCCCUCGUAACUAUGUUGUCUUUCUCCGGUUCCCUUUUUCACCUCCGGGUUAUAGAUCUGAUUUGUUACCCACACUUCUUCCUCCAAUUACCUCUGGUCGCACCAUCCGGGGAUGGCAGUGGAACAUGCUACAAGGGGGUUUUCCUCCGGCUCCUCUCCUUGGUCUCCGGUAAUCUCCCAUUCGUCAUCACUUGCCCCUCCCUCGGCGUUCUCCCUUUGGCCGGGAUCCUUUGAGCCGCUGGGUAUGUAAGGUUUAUUCUCUCUAAACUCGAUCAUGCCCACUUGGCACUGGCAGUUUUUCGCUCUGGCUCUAACGGUGUUUAGUUUUUUGCCAAUCACUCUCUGGGUCUCUCCCAUUUGCAUUCAUAGGUUGUUGCCUCCAAAUAUGUGUUCUUGGUGGUUUUCUGACCCGAAUAGAAAAAUUUUGCUUGGAGAGUGUUGUUCAUCUAGUGCAGAACUGUUUAGGGAAUUUUUAGUCAUCUGCGCAGGCAAGUCUCCUGCAAAACUAGCAAACGCGUGAAGGCCUUGAAAACAUGAUGGAGGGGUGUUUUUUGAUGGCUCUCCUAUGCUCAAGUCAGAAAACAGUGAAAGAAAGACCACGAAGUGGCAAAUUGGAGAGAGGGAAGAGAUCAGAAAAUGGAGGAAGGAAGUUUGGCUGAGAGCUCAUGAGAAAAAUGGAAUCUGCUUGGACCUUUGUGUGGUAAUGGGCUUUUUGAGGUGAAAAAAAGAAGAAGUGUAAGAAGUUUGGGGUGAGAGUGCUCUAUGGUUUAGGAACCGCCGUGGAGAAGAAGUCAAGAGAUGGUCGUAACAAUGACCGGAAAUGUAAAGUGUUAUGGCUUAAGGAUCACGAGUAUCUAGAGAGUUAGCAUGAGCCUUAAGUUAGCAAAAAGAGUGAACCCCCUUCUCGUUAAAGGGAAAAGGUAUUUAUAGAGUUUUAUCUAAUCCAGCUUAAUAUACCUGAACGGUCCUUGGGUCACAAGUUUGGCGGGUCGGUUCGUGAUCCGACUUGGUCGGUUCAUGAUCCGACAUGGUCGGAUCCGAAUCUUAUGCUUGCAUCAUGCCUCUGAUGAUCUCACCAACUUUCAUUGACAUGUUCUGCCUGCUGCGGAACCGCUCCUUGUUGGUACCGUUUUCAACCUCAACGAGCUUACCCUUCUUAGAAAUGACUAAGUGUUUGAAACCCGAGCCGUAGCUGCAGGUGGGCCGAGCUGGCAAAAGAGAACAACGGCUCGUCGAGUAUGGACCGAGUCCAGCCAAGAACAACAAAUGGGCCGAGCUGCUCCGUGGAGCAUCUGGACUGAGCCGUGAGGGAACAAGCGGCUCCGUGCUGCGUCUGGUUCGAGCCGCAUCAUAAACAAUGGGUCGAGCUGCAUCGUGAAUAAGUGGGCCGAGCCGGAUGAUCUCCAGGGGUUAACAUGCCUAACCGCGAGAUUGAAGCCCACACAAAACCCUAGGUUAUAAGAAGACGACUGUGCAAGGCGAUAAGGAAAAUCUUCGAGAAUCUCUCCCAAGAUUCUCGGCUAGGCGGUUUAUUGAUUCUGCAUAAAUAGUCAAUAUAUGCAUCUCAUUAUGUAACUUUGGCAACCCUAAGCAAUAAGACUAAACACUUUCGCAGCAAUAAAAAUCUUAUUUUGAUCUUUAUGUUCUUGCGCUAAACCCUAGAAAUUUUUGAUCCCUUUAAGUUUCUUUACAAGUUUUGAUUGUACGAAUUUUGGCUCACAAAAUUUGGCGCCAUCUGUGGGGAAUCGAAAUCUUCUUACUUGAAAAUUGACAAGACUCUAAGAUCCAAAGAGUAUGGCGAAAAACACCUCGAUGACGAGAACAACAACAACAAUAGCAACAACAGCAUGGAGAAGAAUGCACCCCCAGAAAAACCGGCAACAACAACCGAAGCUCAGGACGAGAUAAAGAGCAUGCUAACCACGUUAAUGAAGAAGAUCUCGGCUCGUUGCCUAGGCAUCAUCUUACCUCGUCACCUAGGCAUUAUCUCGGCUUGUUGCCUAGGCAUUAUCUCGGCUCGUCGCCUACGCACCAUCUUGCCUCGUCGCCUAAGAAUCAUCUUGCCUCGUCGUCUAGGCAUCAUCUUGCAUUACCGCUUAGGCAUCAUCUUGCCUUGUCAUCUAGGCAUCAUCUUACCUUGUCACCUAAGCAUUAUCUUGCCUUUUCUCCUAGGCAUCACCUCGCCUCAUCGUCUAAGCACUAACUCGCCACGUCGUCUAGAUAUCAUCUGACCUUGUCGGCUCGACAUUAUCUUGAAUAAAAACGCCUCGUCAUUAAUGUAGAACGGCUCGGAAAAUCUCGUAAAAAAUUGCCUCGCCGUUAUUAUUCUAAACAAAAAAACACUCAAACAACCACACACGAAGUACAAGACCAGUGAGCCUCAGGAACUUUGCCAUUUCUUCACGGCUCGGUAUUAUCUGAAGUCAUAGACACGCCUCAUUGUUGUAAACACGGCUCGGCGCUGUUCCCAACAACGGAAACGCCUCGUCAUUGCUGACGCGAUUGGGUGAUCUUCUUGAAACAUUAAAAACACUUCGCCUCGCUCAAGAGCUAGCUUUUGUUACUUGAUUAACAUUUUUGUGAUGAAGCUAUAUUAAUCUGAAACAGACGAGCUUUUGUUCAUUUUUCUUUUCUUUUUUCCCGUAUUCGGAGUACCUGUAUAACAAAGUGACUUUAUAACCUGAUAACCAUAUACAGUAUAAUCAAAGUGGUUCGAUAGUACCACCACAGUAUAACCGGUCCAUACCGAUACCGGACUUGGGCCGUUUCAACUAUUCUUCAUGUCAUCGAUAACAAAAUGUCUAAGAUCUUCCAGCAAAAUCUUGGUGGUUUUGAUGACGAUCGCACGCAUGAUCCAAGAAACCGGUGGUAAAUUAAGAAGAGGAGAAGGCUCAAAGAUCUCCUCCAUUGUCACCUUCGAUGCAAUCCUUCCUUGUCCUCCGCUACAUUUUUUGUACUCUUGUUGAUUCUUGGGGUCAAUGUGCUUGCACAAGCGGUCUGCAUCUAUGUAUAGUGGCUCAACUUUCCAGCUACCCUCCAACACUUUCAUGUACAUCAUCUUCUCUUUUUUAUAUUUUGCCUAAUCAAGAGAUGAUCAAAAUCAAAAUUUAGUUCACUCAAAAUCGAACCCAACAAAAAAAAAAAAUUGAUUCUUGUGAGGGAUAUAGAUAAGGUAUGUCACCGUAAGAUUUUGAUGGUUUUCAUCGAUGAUUAGAUGUAUCGGGAUAGUUCCAGACCACCAAAGGAGCUUCCAUCUCAAAGCUUUCCCCACCUUUGUGAUCUGCCUUGGUCCAUCCUUCUUCAAAACCUUUGUUGAUUUGUUUUCCUUUAUAAGAAAAAAGACCACACACUCUCAAGUUUUUUGGAAUAAUUCAUACUCAAUUUCAAUCAUACAUAUGAGAAAGAAAAAAAACAAACCAGACGCUGGCUAGAGUGAUCGUUGUCGAAUGGACUGAAGAAUGAUAUGUUUCUUGGAUUAGUGAGCAUCUCAUAGGCUCCUUGAGGAAAUAAUCCUAAUGUGAAUUCUAUGUUCAAAUGGCAAAGACCAUUUUUUGUUUUCACCUUUAAAAAAAUGUUAGAAAGUUUUAACAACUUCUUUUCAUAAUUCUAGCAACUCAUAUAAUUAAAUAAAAAAAUAUUGGUAUUUUGUUUGAUGAUUUGCUAUAUUUACCUUCACCUUAGCCGGAGCAUCAUACCAUGGCUGCUUGUUGUUUGCAUUUGUCCAAACUCUUGCUUGUCUCUUCAGCUCAGCUAAAUCAAAAUAUUUAGGAUCUACCGAAUAUAAUGUCCUAGAUUUAACAUCCCCAUGUUUCUUGGCCGCGGCCUAAUACAACAAACAUAAUCUAAUUUUAAUAUCAUAAAAAAAAACAAAAACAAAAAUCUAAUUUAACAAUUAACCGAUAUAGUAAAAAAAUUAUAUUUUUUCUUGAUUUGUUAUUACCUUCGACUCAGGGUCCUCAUCAGGAUCCUCAUACCAUGGUUCCGGAUUAUUAGUAUCUGAAUUAGAUUUAACAUUCUCAUGUCUCUUGGACUCGGCCUACGUACAAAAACAAACAGAAUCAUGGUAUAAUUUGUAUAAUGUAUAAUUAAUCGGUUUUAUUGAUCGAUGGAAAUGAAAACUGACCUUAAGAGGCUGUUGCAUGUUCUGAUUGAUCCACCCACCAAAUCCAGGAAAUACACUCAUUAUGCUAAGUACAUAAUCAGAACAAGAGAUAAAUUAUGACGAUCCAAUCUUGAAUAUAUUAUGGUUGGAAGAACCUUAGAUAAAAGCUAAAUUUAGACAAGAUACAAUAUGAUAAUCAAAAGAAUAGUGUACGUUAUCUGAAACAAAGAAGUGGGAAGCUCCAUUCUCGUGAGUUCUUGACGUACAAGCGAGAGCUUGCUACCUGAAGAAAGAAGAUAUUGAAAGUCGAUAGAUUAAUGAAGCUUCCUUUUCACGGAAACAAAAUUCAUCUAUAUAUGUCUGAUUUGUAUCUGAGAAAAUUUAGGAAUGUAUGAUCAUUAUAUAGCUUUUGUCCUAUCUCCGUUUGUCCUAAAAUUUUGUUACAUUUUUUUCACAGGUUUAAUCUGUGUUAAUUACUUUCCUUAGCAGAUUUAAGUAGUUCGCCGUGGCCCGUGGGUAUAGUAGGUGAACUCUAGGCGCAUUAGUGUAUGUUAAUUGGAUUAUAAAAAUUAUUUCUGAACCCUAUAAACUAAAUCCUACACCUAACAUGAUGUUUUUUAUUUGUUUUUUGUUUGAAUGUGAUAUUUAUUAAAUAGGACUAAAUAUCUACAAGUGUAACCAAGAACAAAAAGUCAAAGAAAUAAAAAAUGAAGUAAAACAGAGCUUAAAAAAAUAUUUCCUAAACAAUAACAGUUGGAUUUUGCACUUGAGAAGCAAACCUCCAUUAUCAACUUGUAAAGUUUCGAGUUGUCACGAUAACGAAUAUAGGAUGUCCAUACGUGAAUCAUUCAUUUAAUCUCACGGGCAAGGGGAUGAGGAAGUUUCUAACCAUAACAAUGAAAUCGCGUGUUCUUCACUCGUCAAAUUUGAUACAUCGACACUUAGUAAGCGAGGCAGUGGAAGAUUAUGCUUGCACAUUUCAUUGGCAAAACUAGUGUAGAGGAAGAUGAGAGUUUCCAACCAGUUAGGAUCAACUUCAUGUCCAAGUAUAAUUCCCACAACCUUAGAUCGUACCAUAAAAAUGUAGGAAAAUUAAACAAAAAAAAAGGUGAACCUUCGUUUUGCUGAUUCUCCACACAAUAGACAACUACGGUGUUGUCUCCAAGCUUGCAUUCCAUAACCAUUAGAGGUGGUUGUGCACUGCCGACCAUGCAAUGAAGGCACAACGUGAAAUAUCUUGUUUGAACCAUAGUUCCACCUAGGGGUGUAUUCGAAUCCUCGGGUUCAGGCUGGGUAUUUCAGAUUUCAGUUAGUUCAGGUUCAGGCACUUAGGUAUCGAUUAGGUAUUUUAAAAAUUUGGAUCACGUUCGGUUUGGUAUUUUUUGGGUUUGGAUCGGUAUAGUUUGAUGACCAGACCAACUAGCGAAGUCAUCCAGAGUUUAACUAAUACCAUGUAAAGAUGAGCUGCUACCAAUGAAAAAAAUCAUCACAUCAUCCGCAAACAUCAAAUGAGAAAUCUUCAAAAACUCGGUGUUUGGGUGAUAGUUGAUGUAACAUGAUUCAAAGCGGGAGUGAAGCAGCCUCGAGAAAAUUUCCAUAGCUAGCACGAAAAGGUAUAGAGAAAACGGAGCCAGGGAGCUUCUAAAGAAACCACUGGAUUGCCCAUUAAUUGACACUGAGAACCAGGGAGUGGAGAUACACUCUGAGAUCCAGUUCACAAACUUUUCUAGAAUGUUAAGGCCUCUAAGCAUUGUAAGAACGAAAUCCCAUCUCACCGAAUAAAACGCUUUACAGAGGUCAACUUUAAGCAUUGCACGAGGCUCAAUAUAUUUCCAACUAUAACCAUUUACAAUCUCCGUAGCGAGCAAAACAUUUUCAGCUAGGAGCCUCCCAGACAUAAAAGCAGACUGAUUAUGCGAUAUUACCACAUCAAGCAAAUGCUGCAAUCUCGAAGCAAUAAGUUUAGACAGGAGAUUGGCCUGAAGUCAGAAAGCUUGGCCACAUUUAACACCUUUGGGAUGAGAACUAGAGAAUUCCAUUGUCUUAACAUUCUACCCGACUUGAAGAAUUCACCGACGGCUUCAGUCACUUCUGGGCCAACAAUGCUCUAGCACCCAGUGAAAAACUCCACAGAGAAGCCAUCUGGCCCACAGGUCUUGUUCGCAGGCAGAGAGAAGAAGACGUUUUUAAUUUCCAACUCUGAGAACUCCUUCUCCAGAUUGGCUCUUUGGAUCUGAUAACAUUCAAAAUCCAAGAGAUUAGAUAUGUCCUCCUGAGUGAAAAUAGAGGGACUCACCUCGCCCCCCCCCCCCCCCCACAAAAGGUCCUCAUAGUAAUUAAUACAGUGGCUUUAAAUGUCCUGCUGGGAUUCAUAGAUGAAUCCAUCUGAGUCUUCAAGAGAGUGAAUGUGGUUAGAAGAUGACCUCGCCGACAUCAUUCUCUGAAAAUAAGCAGAACCGCAAUCUCCUUCUUUAAUCCAAGUGAUUCUGGAUUUUUGGAAAAGAAACGCCUCUUCUGCUCUACUAAGUAUCUGCCAUUUUCGGGUUGCUUCAAGUUCCAAAGCAGCAUUAGAAGAUGUGGGAUCACGAAGCAUGUUCUCCUGACUAGCAAUAACAAACUCAUGGGCCUCCUCUGUUCUUUUCUCCAGAUUAGAGAAGUUUGCUUUGCUAUAGGACCUGAUCGGAUUCUUCAGAGCUUUCAACUUCUGGGAAACAAGAAACAUGGCAGAUCCCACCACCUUAUGAGAAACCCAAUGGUUCUCCACCACAUCCAAAAAGUCACCACUUUGCAGAAGAAAAUUUAGAAACUUAAAUGGCUUCUUCUAACGUUGGUGAGUGAUAACAAAUGAUUUUGACCAUAUUCAUGGAUCGCUUUCAGUAUCUUAUGCAUGUGUUUUCAAUCAGUUUUAAAGGUUUUAUAAGUGUUUUUCAUGUUCUGGAAAUUUAAAAGAUUUUUCAGGUUUCUGAGACAAAAACAAUGCAAAUUAGACAAAAAUCCACUUUUGCCCAAUUUCGUACUGUCAGAAGUUUCACAUCCGAUGAAGACUUUCUCACUGUCUGAUCAAGCUCAUAUUUGGACACAAGAUAGAGGAGACAACCGGCUUUCUAAUGAAAUUGAAUUGGACGCAAUCCAACGGUUGGGUCAUAGGUUAUUUUCAAUUUACUGAAGACAUGUUCUGCAGUCUCGCAAAAGAAGCAAGAGAAGGAAUGAAGUUUGGACAUCAUAGGCCAACCACCGCGGUUCAGGAGCUCGUGACCGCGGUGAACACCAUCCUGGCCACGCCUCAGAGCCUCCACCCACGGUGAACUCAUAUUUACCAGCCAUGGAAAGCCCAAUUCUGCGACAAAUCCAUUUUUGGUCUAAUGACCCGUUUUCAAGCCCAACUCAUUCUCUCUUCAAAGAAAGCCCUAAAAACGACCAGAAAUACUUAGAGACCCAGGGCCAGCCCGUAGCUAAAUCAGGUAAAGCCCUUGCUUUAGGGCGUCAACAAAUAUAUAACAAUUUAGGGCAUCAAAAUCUGAAAUUGUGUUGAAGUGCAGUGUCAAAACAUCGAUUAGUAAACCACUAGUACAUGGGUUCGAGACUAGAUGAUGGUAUAUUUUGUAAUUUUUUAAUAAUGGGCUCAAAUACUUUUUUUUUUUUGCUUUAGGCAGCAACACCCAUUGGGCCAGCCCUGUGGAGACCUAUAAAUAUGUAUUUUAGAAGACCUAAUUUUGUGUGUGCUCCUUUUCCCUUGAUAGGGAGGCACCCAACUUUUGUUUCUUAGGUUUAGUCAGGGAGAUAUAUAUUUUUCUCUUAGAACUUUUGUUCUUUUUUUUUUUAUCAAACUAUUCAGUUUAUGCAAUCUAAUUUACUUUACUGCUUUUCUGUUUCAAAACCAAUGAUGAUGUUGUCAAGCUCAGCCAUGUCUGAGUAGUUACCUUGUUGGGUAAGAGGGCCAUCGAAAGGGACCCCAUGACCGAUGACAUCUAGGUUUUUUAGAUUAAAGGAUUUUGAUUUUAAAUAAUUCUCCCAUUCAUCCUGUUCUUAAUGCUGUAUGCUGGAGUAGCUAACCAGUAUCCGAUCUAAGGUUAAAUCCGAGCCAUGAGAGUGUUGUAUAUGGGUAAUCUGAACUGGAUCUUAUGGACGUCACCGUCGAGACGAAAGCUACCUAUGGAGGAUACGUAAGCCGAGAUAGAUUCCGAUCUGAAAUGCAUGAUCUUAUUCCGGCAUGAGCGAGAGUUAAUUUCCGAGAUUAAGUUAUUAGAUGAUUAGGGUGACGAGAGUUGGCUAAUCUUAUAAGUGUAUAUCCUAGUUUCAGAAUCAUAGAAAAUCCUUACCUAGAUUCUUUGUGUCAUAGAUCAUGAACCCUAAAGAUGAACUCUAAUACCCUGCACGUUUUUCAUCUUUGUUUUGAUCUAUUUUUAUUUCUUGUUUAGCUUAGUAGAAAUCGUGACCCCAAAACCCUACAAAAAAACUCCAUUGGUCUUUGACUUCGAUUACUAAUCCAGUUUGAAGUUUUUGCAGAAAAGACAACUCUCCAUGUAUCCUAAGUACUACAACACACGACUGUACACUUGCAGACACUAGGGUUUACAAAUUUAAAACUUCUUUUGCGACAUCAACCCUAGCUCGCAUCAGUGAGCAGGGUAUAAGACGACACCACAAGAGGUGUGAUCUGAGAAAUCAGGCGUACCAAAAACCCCAAAAGAAGAGGAGAACUGUAUAUGCCACAAGACAUUUACCAGGAUCCUAUCAAGCUUUUUAGCCACAGGGUUCAGAGCCCUCUUAUUCCACCAGGUGAACAGACAACCUCUGUAAGUUAAAUCCUCAAGCGAGGCAUCUAGGAGAGCUUCACAGAAGUCUCUAGUCGGCGUAUCCACAUUUCCACCAGGAGAAGGGGAAUGUUCAGAGGGGUACAAGGUCUGAUUGAAAUCACCAAUUACAGCCCAGGAUUUACCAGAGACACUUGGAUUUGCAGAAAGCUGAACAAUCUCCUAUCAAAGCUGCUUUCUCAUCUCCUCAUUAUUAGAAGCAUACACAGAGCAUACUAUGAACUUGCUUGUGUACUCAGGAAGCUUGACCCCACAGGCCACCAUUUGAAGAGACUUUGAUAGAAUAGUGAUUUUAACACUAGGGUGCCAUAAAACCCAAAUUUUACCUAAAUCUGAAAAGCCGUAGUUAUCGUUGAAUUGCCAGCCAGGAAGAAUAGAAUUGAUGAACUUCCUCUGCUUAGCCUGCUUGACGUGAGUCUCCAUAAGACUACCAAAAAGUGGAUUUUUCUGCUUGAACCAUUUCUUAAACCCAGUGCGGUGGCUAUUCUUAUUAAAACCACCCACGUUCCAGCCAAAAAAGUCUUAUACACACAAAAAAAAAUCAGUGUUUUUUGGGACCCUUAUCCCGAUUAUUCCUUUGCUUCCUUCUAGACAGCACUUCAAAUAAAAUCAUCUUCUUUAUCUCUCAAUUCUCCUUCCUCUGAAUCAGUUGAUUCCACAUCAGAAGAUUCUGGUUCAGCCUCCAAGAAAGAGAGCAUAAUCCCCUUUCCAUUAGCUUUCUCCACUCUCGAAGCUUCCUCAACAACAACAGUGCUCAUUGCACUCGAUUCACCAACAAGAGACUGGUUGAAAUAUGACUCUUUUCCACUCUUAGCAUUGCCGCUGUCCUUUUGUAGAGGAGCAGAGGCUGGCUUAUCAAGCUUCUUUGAAACGGCAAUGUACUGACCUUGCAAAGCUUCUACCGAUGCUUUUCCCUUAAAACUCUUCUGCUUUGAUUUCGAUCUCGUGCACUUCUCAUCAGAAUGAGCAGAGGAUUUACAGAUAGAGUAUGUGGGAGGCGCUUUCUUACAUCUCUUAAUGCUAUGCCCUAUUUCUUUGCAGUGAGAACAAACUUGAGGCAUCCAAGGGCUAGCAACGUUUACUCUCCAAACCUCACCCGACUGGAACCGCACGUUCACUACCUCCGGCAGCGGUUUUCUCGGAUCGAUGAUGGUGAAGACCUUAGCCACCUCCAAGUUUGUUUUAUUCGCAGUUGAAAGGUGCAGAAAUUUGAGGUCACCAGCUUGAGUGGAACAUUGAAAAACUGAAGGGGAACAUUUCUGGAUUCAUCGGGACAAAUCCUAGUUCCCAGUCAACUACAAGCAUGGUCUGCCUUUCAAUAUUCCAGAGGCGUUGAGCAAGAACCCGAGCUCGAGUGGCAGGCUGGCAGCGUUUGGGAUUCUGAACAAAAAAGCAUUUCCAUCCAUUUUAGUUAUUGAAACAUUCAGAAACUGCUUACUCCAAAUCCCAUUAACAAUUGCGUGAACAAUUUUUUUUUAAAUUAUCGAAAACUUAAUUUAAAAUAUUUUUUUUUCUAGGCCCCUAUAAUUUAUGCAUUGUUUAAGCGGCUUACAUCGUUGAAUUCUACCAUAGUUAAAGUCUAAUCGCCAUGGUGGAAGUAGAGGUGUCAAAUUGGGCUCUAAUCCGCGGGUUCGGCCCAAGUAAAACCACAGCGGUGCGGGCUUGGGCUCCAUAAAAUUUGUCCAAAUAAAAAGCGGGUUUUGCGGUCUAAACCCACGUGGAAGUUGGGCUUUUGCGGAUCGGGUCAAAGCGGAUUCGCGGGUUUGCGGGCCAACCCGUAAAAUUUGAUGUUUUCUUGUAAACUUCGAAAAGUGAAGUAUUUUGUCAUUUUUGAUUGGCGGAUUUCGAAGCAGUAGUUUCAUGGAGUGAAUCGAAGCCUAGUGGAGUCAUACAAUUCAGCUAUUGGGCUUUGUGAUAGCUUCAUUUCAAUGAGAUCAAGGAAUCAUCAAACUGGUAUGUGUUUUAUAUUCGAUUUGAUUCAGAUUCUGUGAUUGGAUUUUUGAAUUUGGGAGAAAAUCUGAUCAUUGUCUUCCCAGCUAAAAACUAGUAUUUUUUUUAGAGUUUUAAUUAAUUUCAGUUUAAUGUCAUAAGUUUGUUUUUUUUGUUGGUUUUGCUCAUCGACUAUAUCACGGACGUGGUUUUUAUUUUGUCCGCAGCGAUACAAAGGUAAUUUAGAAUCUCUUAAAUCUUGAAUUGACAAUAAAUAGUUUUGCUUGAAAAUCACAUUUGUUUGUAUGCUGGACUAACAAAUAAGCUUUGUUCAUCUUUUUUAUAUAUAAUAUAUAUAUAUAUAUAUAUAUAUAUAUCUAUAUGUGAAUGUCUUGUUGCUUGUAUCUUGAUGGUUAUUUAGCUUAAAUUACCAGUUUUUAUGUGUAUCAUUAUUUGUAAUUCAUUUAUUUGCUUUUCAAAACUAAGUGUCUAUUUUUACAGUUAAAUUGAUUUUUCAAAUCUUAUGGUAUCCUUGGGUUAGGAGUUUUGUAUAAUAAGUUUAUCGAAUUCAUUUGUUUGUUCAUCGAAUUUACUUAGACAAGAAUUUUCUUUAGUUUUGUUUCUUAUGCAUAUUGUGAUUUAUUCUCCUCUUGCAAAUUUUCUGGUAUUAUAAAUCUAAAUGUCAUAAAAACUUUAAGAUGAAGAAGAAAGUAUGAAUCCGUAAGCCAGCCUACAAAACCGCAGAAUAUAGGCGGGUCGGACUUGGACACAUCAAUUUGGGACCGCAGCUUAUGAUGGAUCAGCCCACCAGACCCAAAAAAAAAUUAAACCGCAUGAGUUUGGAUUAUUUGGACGCGGAUUGACCCGUUUGACAUCUCUAGGUGGAAGUCCACCUAAUUUACUUUCUUUAACACUAACUAUAUAGAAAACAUGUGACAGUUUUAUUUAUAUAUACAAAGUAUGCACAACGUUUUUCUGUAUGAAAACAGCGCAACGCUCUUUAAUUUAGUACCACAACAUCGUGCUGUGUUUUCCGGUGACUGCUUUCUGAAAGAGACGUCUAUGUUCUCUGGAAUCCACAAUUCCCAAUCCUAAAGAGGGUUAAACCCAAACCCCUCAUUUGUGAAAUCAGGUAAAUUUCUUUGUUCCAGUUUCUUUAAUGUUGGGUAUAGAAGUCUCUUCGUAUUGUUUAGCGCAAAGUUUUCAUUUUUUUGUCUUCUUCUGAUGCUUAUGGUUUACAAUCGAAACUGUAAAUUGAAAAGUGCAAUGUAAUGCUGACUCGAAAUGUUUUAGCUUGUAAAGGUCAUUCAACUGAGUAUAAAGUUAACAAAUUUGAAGUAAGUUUGGAUGAAUGAGGUUAUGGUGUUUUCGAUAAGCAAGAAGUUGAUGCUGUGAUAAAUGAAGUUCCUUUGAAUGUUUUCCUUUAGAAAUGGAAGGAAAAGAGACACAAAUAGGCUGCUGAUUUUAUGUAAAAUUGAGUAAAGUUAACAUUUUUGUAACUAUCUAGGAAGAAUCAUUGGUGGGUACAAUGUUUAUACAAAUAUUAAGCAUGAAUCAGGAUAUGGUCUUCUUGAUAAGCUAGAAGUUGAUGUUGUGAUAAUGAAGUUCCUUUAGAAAUGGAAGCAAAUGAACAGAAAUAUGCUGCUGAUAUAUCUUCCAUAAAGGAAGCACAUGAGCGUAUCAAGCCGUUUAUUCACAAAACCCCGGUGUUAACAUCUGAAUCGUUGAAUUCAAUCUCCGGAAGAAGCUUGUUCUUUAAGUGCGAGUGCUUUCAGAAAGGGUAGGUGAGGGUACUUAUUAGCUAUCAAUGUUGCUUUUCUCUCUGAAGUUUCUCUCAUUGUCCUCACUAUUGAUCACUUUUCCUUUUCUGUUUAUUGUGAAAAAACAAGUGGAGCUUUCAAAUUCCGGGGGGCGUGCAAUGCUGUUUUGUCGCUUGAUGCUGAACAAGCAGCCAAAGGGGUUGUAACACACAGCAGGUUCUGUACUAGUGAUUUGGGUACUUGAUGAUGUUUUUCUAUUGUAUUCACUUGGUAGUCCCUUACUGAUUUACUGUUUGGUUUUGUUAUAACAGUGGCAACCAUGCUGCUGCGUUGUCUUUAGCUGCAAAGAUUCAUGGAAUCCCUGCGUAUAUCGUUGUACCUAAAGGUGCUCCAAAGUGCAAAGUUGAUAAUGUGAUCCGUUAUGGUGGUAAGGUUAUAUGGAGUGAAUCAACAAUGUCUUCUAGAGAGAAAGUAGCUUCAAAAGUUUUGCAGGAAACAGGUUCAGUUCUCAUCCACCCAUAUAAUGAUGGACGUGUUAUAAGGUAUUGUGGCUUUCUCGAUAAUGGUUUUUCAAAUUACUGUUACUCUAGAGCUUUCUUUUGGCUAGAAAAACAGAAAUUUCAAUCUUAUGCAUAACUCUUAAUACAGCAGAGUAGUAAAUCCUCUGAAAGAUUAUGUUAUAUCUUUUUGGGGCAAAAAUUCAUAUUAGUAUGAUUUGGGAUGGGUUAUCUGUUCUUUUCUGCUAUAAAAGUGUGAUGGCUGCAACUGCCAAGUCAUUUUCAACUAAAAGUUUGGGUUAUGAUUCUUUGAACAGUGGUCAAGGCACAGUUGCAUUGGAACUGCUAGAGAAAAUCCAAGAGAUUGACACUAUAAUUGUGCCAAUAAGUGGGGGUGGGUUGAUCUCUGGUGUGGCUCUUGCUGCCAAAUCGAUUAAGCCUAGCAUCCGGAUCAUAGCCGCUGAACCCAAAGGAGCUGAUGAUGCGGCUCAGUCUAAGGUUGCUGGUAGAAUCAUCACUUUACCUGUCACCAAUACCAUAGCUGAUGGCCUUAGAGCUUCUCUAGGAGAUUUAACAUGGUAAAUCUAAUUCUUACUUAGUAGAGGAAUCAUGUUAUAGAACAUAAAAUGUUGCAAUCUGUAUCAUUCCAUCUAAAAAUAUUUUGUUUUUGUUCAAUCAGGCCGGUAGUGAGAGAUCUGGUAGAUGAUGUGGUGAUUUUGGAAGAUGGGGAGAUAAUAGAAGCCAUGAGAAUGUGCUACGAGAUACUGAAAGUCUCUGUGGAACCAAGUGGUGCCAUUGGACUAGCAGCAGUUUUAUCAAAGAGUUUCCGUAGCAAUCCUUCUUGGAAAGAUUGCAAAAACAUAGGGAUUGUACUCUCUGGAGGUAAUGUUGAUUUGGGAGCUCUAUGGGAUUCAUUUAGGAGUUCUUAAAUAUCUUAGAUAAGAAUUGUCCGUAAAGGGAAUCACGUUCUUGCAAGAAACCUGUGUUGCAUUCAUAUGAUUGUUGUUGACAUCUGAAGCAAGUAAGACCCAAAUCAUCAAACAUUUGCAGAGUACAUGUUAAAAAUCCAUUAUCGCUUGUUGUUCCCAAGUGUAAUAGGCGUGGCAAAGGACAGGUUGAGAGUAGUUGCAGGCUUGCAGCUAGAUGGUUAUACUCUAUGAACAGAAUCGAAAUUUCACCUGAUUUUGCUGUAAUACUCAUUGAUUCCAUGACUAUCUUUAUCUUUUUGGCUAGCUACCAAAUUUAGUAGAAAGAUACGAUCAACCAUCUAUAAGUUGAUCAAAGAUAUUUCCUUUUUUGUUCUCAUUAAAUUGAUAAAAGACAAGAUUUCUGGAUUUGAAACUACAAAUGCAAAACAUAAAACAGAUUUUUACCAUUAAUCUACACCGAAGAUGAACCGUUUGAGUUGGAUCAAUUUCCAUAAAAUAUGGAAUAAUUGAUCAAGGUCAAACAGAACCCUUUCAUUACAUCAAUAAGAAAGACAUACAUAUCUCUAACCAAAAUGAACAGAACACAUAAUAGUUGUGGGUAGGGUUAUACAUGAUCAGAACUCUGUAGUGUUCUCCUGAGUACCCUCGAAAAGGCAAUCAUCGAAGGCUGAAGCAUCAAAAGCCAUGUCGAAAUCUAUUAACUGAUCAAUAUCCACUUCUUGAUCGUACCCAACGUCCAAGCUUCCAGUUAAAUCCUUGUCGUCGUUGUUGUUGUUAAUGUUAUUCUUCACCUCCGUAACACGAAAGCUUUCACAAAUCGCAACUAUCUUACUCUGCUCUUCAGUGUUCUCGUUGAAAUUUGCAGGCAAAUCAUCAUCAGGGAUUAGGGUUUGAGGAAUUAGGGUUUGAUCCGUCUCGCUCUUCUCGUUGUCAGAUUGAGGAAUUAGGGUUUGAUCCGAGUUAGGGUUUGAUCUUAAAGCUUCUCCCGAACGCAACUCCUUGAAUUUUCUCAACAGAGUCGACAUGGAUUUCAUAGCGUCGUUCAAUUCUUGAGGAUUCUCCGAUUUGGCAAGAACUUCGUCCUCCCACCACAACCCUAAACCCAAAUCUUUACGAGCCAAGAUGACACCAAUGUCUUCCUCCCUCGUCUCUUCUCGAGCCACAGGAAGAGGACGCUUUCCCUUGAGAAAAUCCGAGACGAGAGAAUCUACGGAAGAGUGGCCAAAGGAGAAGAAGGAGACAUGUGAAUGCGAAGAAGGAGGAGUCGCUAAAACGGCUAUUUGUGCGUCGGAGAGAAGACAGAGUUGCGAGGCUUUACUGAAAAGACCGUAACUCCUUUUGGUGAAAGCAGUCGCGAGUGAUUCUUUCUUCGUGAUCUUCUCCAUAGGAAUCUUCCUCUUGUUACCGCCUCUUUUCACCAUAUCUUCGAAUUUCUUAAAUAAUUUCACAACAACAGAGACACAGUUACGAGAGAAGAGAGGUUUUUUCCUUUGUGGAGGCAAUAUUUUGUUUUCCGUGUGGAACAGACAAGUGAUGGCUUCUCUGUGUGUAUAUAUAGAAGGUUUAUAGGGUAUGAUGCUCUACCAAAAAAGGAAACCUAGCUUCAACGUUAUACCACAUCAAACCAAUAUCGGUUUAAUUAAACCAAUUAUAAAAGUAAAACCCCGCGUUAAAUUACAACGUUACGAAACCAUAGUCAAAACCAAACCAAUUUAAGUUCAAUUUCUUCGGUUUACCUAAUUGCUAAUUGCUAAACCAAUUAAAGCAAAACUAAUUUUUAGAGAGAAUUAAACAUAAAUACGUUUGUAUUACCUGGCUCUAUUCACGAACUGUGAAAAUCGAUUACGUACACACACAAAAAUGGAAAUCCUUUUUUUCAGUUAAAAAAGGAAAGAUCAAAGAUUAGAUAGCCUUACGAUUUUCUAAUAAUCUGAAAAUCUUACGAAACCCUAAAUCUACACACAGAAGUUGAGAUUGGGAUGAAGAAACUAGUUGCGUGCGAUCCAGAAUUAGGGAAGAUAUUAAUUAGGGAUUCUUGAGUUGGAUUAUCCCUCGAAGAAAAUAAAGUUGAUGAAAUUAUCAAUUGGCUUCUCUCGAGAAACUUUGCUCUGUAUGAAUAAGAAUCACGUAUCAAAGUCAAGUUUUGGUUACAAAAUUUUCUUGCUCUGCACUCUAUUCACCACACAUGAAAAGUGAAAACUAUUCCGUCCAAUGAAAACAACAUGUUAUAUUUAAAUUUGAUGUUAUCCACGACUCCACGAUUAAUGGUUCUGAUGUGUGUGUGUGCGUGUAUAUAUACAGUACACAAUAUUCUUCGGAGCAUUGAGCUCCAACAUUUCGACCCGUAAAAUGUUUAAAUGCAUUACGCUGCACAGAUAUGAUGAUUCUUUCACCUGUGAAUCAAUAAAAAAAAAAAAGUGUUCUUGGUUCCAUAUAAAUCAUUAAAGAUAUCGAUUCUUUUGAUUCAGUGAAAGCUAAAUGCGUCUCUCAUUAGAUUAAUCUCUUAUACUACAGAAACUGGUAACCAAAAGAAAGGAAUUAAAACAAACUAUGGAAUGGUAAAAUUAUGAGAAAGCCAUGGCAGAAGCAAGGAAACAAAUAAAGUUACCAUAAAUCAAGUGAAACUAACAAAAAUCAACUUGAACUGUUACAAAGACAUGAGAUUCUCGAUGUGAUCCGCACAUAAAUGGAGGCUAUACACACCGUUUCCAAGUCCAUUACUGAGCCUAAAUUCUUCGUCGGCAAAUUCAAUUUCUCUGUAGCUGUUUCUCUUGGGAUCAUAAUAUAAAAUAUAAAACGGGUUGAGAGGUACUUGCCACGGUACAUAAAUAAACUCACCAGCUGGAGUGAUACCAUCUAGGUGGAAAUAGGUUUCCAAACUCGGAUAGUAAAGGUUGAUACGUGCAAAGAAGGGUUUAUACGUCCACUCGUGUUUCUCUGCAUCCUCCAAAAUACACAAUGUAAUGCCACAUGCAUUAUUGUAAACAUAAGCUAAUCUUCCCUCAUAAGGUAUUAGCAUACCAUAAGCGGUAUAAUUCAUUGGUAAUGGUAUCACACCGAACUUCUCAGAUCUGACAUCAAAACUCAUUAUAACAUCAACGUUCGAAUGAUCAAGACAGGCUUUAUAAUACACAACCCCAUUGAUGCAUCGCCAACAGGAGCUCUUGUAAGAAACAUGUGUAAGAGUCAAGGAGUUGACGUUCAAUAGGGAGACAUGUGUAGCACAGAGUACGAAGGACGCAGGAAACUCAAGUUGAAGACAAGAGAAUAACUCAAGUGGUGCUGACGUGGCAGCGAAGAAUUGAAGCUAGCAGGAAGCUGUUUUGAGAUAUCAAAUAUCCAAGAUAUGGAGAUUAGAGGAUCUCAACAAUAAGGAAAGAAGAUAUUCACGAGGGUGGAAAAUGUGAAUAAAGAGUAGUGAAAAGGGUUUCUGAACAUUUUGCCCUUUAGAGAGAACAAGUCACAAAAAGCUAGCCGCACGAGAGGUUGGGAUUUUUGGUGAGCGUGUUCAUUGUGAUAGUUGCAUAGCUGUUGCUGUGUUUAGGAUUGGGUAGAUUAAGAAUUGUUCAGUAUCGAGUUGCAGAUGCAAGGUCGUGUAAUUCUGAUUAGACAGAUCUAAAGGAUUGUCUAAGUGAUUCUUAAUAAAAGGAAAAGAGUGUUUUUGCAAUUUUGUGUGUUCAACUCUUAGUCUCUGUGAUAUAGAUCUUACAAUUGGUAUCAGAGCAUGACACCUUCUAGAAACUAUUUUCUACAUCAGGUGAAGAUCUUGUGGAGAUCAUGGAGACGAUGAAAGAACUGGUAGCUGUUCAGAAGCCUUUGUUACUUCAGUCGGGAAACUUUGGUCAUUGGAAGGCUCGAAUGCGACACAUCAUCCGAGGCAUUGAUGAAGAUGCAUGGACGGCAGUGGAACAGGAUUGGACUGCUCCAACUGUAGUGUCUGAGGAUAAGGAAGGAAAUAAGAUCACCAUCGAUAAACCUAAGAACCAAUGGACUGAGACUGAGAAGAGUUUGUCGAAAUUCAACUCAAAGGCCAUGUCUGCGAUCUUUGCCGCAGUGGACCUUGAUGAAUUCGGGAUUAUUCAAGGUUGUGAAUCAGCAAAAGAGGCGUGGGAUACCUGGUGAAUCACUUUGAAGGAGACACGAGCGUCAGAAGAACUCGUAUUGAUCACCUUGCAUCUGAAUUUGAAAAUCUCAAGAUGUUUGCUGAUGAAUCUGUCGCAAGCUUUACCACAAAACUGAACACCAUAGCAAAUGAGUCAGCAGUGUUAGGGAAGAAAUUCAAGGACAAGAAACUCGUGAAGAAGUUACUUAGAUGUCUGCCUCCCAAGUUUGCUGCUCACAAGGCUGUAGUGAAGUAUUCGAUGGACACUGACACCAUGAAGUUUGAGAAACUUGUUGGUCUUCUCAAGGCUGAGGAAAUGGAAGCCAAUGCUGAUCAGAAAACCUCUCAGAAAAGUAUUGCGUUCACGGCUGCAGAUGAAAAAGAUAGAAUGAGCCAAUGUGAGGAAAAUCUCAGUCUGCUAGCCAGAAACUUCAACAAAAUGCUGAAAAAGGUUGAGAAAGGUCACAACAAGUUUACAAAGUUUCCAAGAAAUGAAGGGGAAAAAGGUAGCUAUCGGAACACAAGAACCGAAGGUGAUAGGGGAGGAAGAAAACGAGAUCUUCAAUGUCACGAAUGUGAAGGAUUUGGCCACUUCAGGAGUGACUGUCCUCUGACGAAACGAAAAAAGUUGAAAUGUCCUGAGUGUAAAGGGUUUGGUCACACAAAAAGUGAGUGUCCAAAUGCUCUGAAGUCUAAAGACAAGUCUAUGAUUGUCUUUGAAGAUUCCGAAUCUGAGGACGAAGAGGAAGAUAACGAGAAUCUGAUGCUGAAUUUUGUUGCCUUUACUGCUGAAGGGAAGGAACAGGCUCAAACACCAACAACUGAAACAGAUUCGGAGUCAGAUGAAGAGGAAAUUGACCCAAAGGUUGAGUAUCGAAAACUGUAUGAUAACUGGGUAAAAAUCAGCACUGAAAAUCUGCAACUGAUCAAGGAGAAAGCUCUUAUGAAAGCUCAGAUUAACAUCCUUGAAAUGGAACAAGGGACUACCAAUACAGAGAAAGAACAGUGUGUAACACAAGUGUUGGAAGAUGCAGAUGCUGGAGUUGACAAGAUCAAAGAAGAACUCAUGGCAGAGCAAAAGAAAAGACGUGAAUUGGAAGAAAAACUGGACAACCUGAGGGAAGUGUGUUAUCAGGAGAAAGAAAGGGCAAGAACGUUGCAAGGUGAACUGAUUGAGAAUCAUAAACGGAUCAGGAUGCUCAACACUGGUGCAGAGAAGCUAGAUCAGAUACUCUCCUCAGGCCAACCGCCAAAGAAGAACUGGGGUCUCGGGUACACUGGAGGUUUUCAUGUCGGAGAAACCUCAUCUGUCUCUGGAACCCUACAGGGUUUUGUCCACGGUGGUAUUUCAGUCGGCGAGCUUUCUACACGACCUGCACCACUGAAAGAAGCAGUUGAACAAUGCAAUCCUAAGAAAAAUCUUCAGACUGUGUCGACAGACCAACCAAAACCUGAUAAACGGAGAAAAGGAGUCUGUUUCUUAUGUGACAAACGAGGCCACAAGAAGAGGAACUGUUACAAAUUUUGGAGUAAAAUAAAACAGGCCUGGAAACGCCAUCUAUGCUAUCCUGAACCCAGAUUCUAUGGCAAGGUGUGGGUUGCAAAGAAUCUCCUCUAUGACUUGCCCUCACAAGGUGAAGUAGCUGAACCGGACUUAGCUGAAGUGAAUCUUGUCUGCAAUCUUGCUCACAUAGGUCCUGAAGUACCCGAAGUUGUGAGCAAUGUAGCCUAUACCUCAUCCCAAGUGGAAGUUGCUAAGGCAUGGUACUUUGACAGUGGAUGCUCACGGCACAUGACUGGGAAUCAUGACUACUUUAACAAGAUAAAACGUAUCAACGGUGGUCAAGUAACCUUUGGUGACGGAGGUCAAGGGAAGAUUCUUGGAGUUGGGAGCCUACUGGAGGAAAGCCAACCAAAUUUGAUUAACGUUUACUAUGUUGAAGGCUUGAAAGCUAAUUUGAUUAGUGUAAGUCAGCUAUGUGACGAGGGGCUGAAAGUGAUCUUCACCAGGUUUGAUCGCAAGGCGGUAGAUGAGAAUGGGAACACUGUGCUAUUCGGAGUGAGAUCAGGCAACAACUGUUAUAUGUGGUGUGUGUCGGACCAAUGCUUUUCAGCAAAAGAAUCACAACUUGACUUAUGGCAUAAGCGUAUCGGUCACAUGAACACCCGAGGAUUAAGCAAGCUAGCGAAGGCGGAAGUAGUUCGUGGGAUUCCAUCCUUGGAGGCUUCAACAGACACCGUGUGUGAAACAGAAGGGAAAGCAAGUGAAAGUUCAGCAUAAAGCUCUGAGAGAAACAAGGUUUCAAAAAAUCCUGGAACUGGUGCACAUGGAUUUGAUGGGACCAGCUCAGACUGAAAGUGUUAAUGGGAAGAAGUAUAUUUUUGUAUUGGUUGACGACUUCUCUAGAUACACUUGGGUGAGAUUCUUGCGCGAAAAAAUCCGAUGCAGCAGAGAGCUUCAAGAUACUUGCUUUGCAGCUUAAAACUGAGAAAGGACCGAUCAUUCAGAUUAGAAGUGAUCAUGGUGGGGAAUUCCGAAACGAUGUGUUUGAAAAGUUAUGCCAAAGCCAAGGGAUCAGACAUCAGUACUCUGCUCCAAGGACACCUCAGCAAAAUGGUGUUGUGGAGAGGAAAAAUCGAACCUUGCAAGAAAUGGCUAGAGCGAUGCUACAUGGAAACAAGGUAUCUCCACGGUUCUGGGCAGAAGCUAUCAAUACCGCAUGCUAUAUCAUCAACCGCGUCUAUGUCAAACAUGGUACCAAGACCACACCCUAUGAGAUCUGGAAUGGGAAAACUCCAAACCGCAGUUACUUUCACAUCUUUGGUUGUGUGUGUUAUAUCCUGAACGACAAAGACAACCUUGGGAAAUUUGAUUCAAGAAGUAACACUGGCAUUUUUCUUGGAUACGCUACCAACAGCAGAGCGUUUCGGGUGUACAACUAUCGGACGAAGACCAUUGGUGAAAAUAUCAAUGUGGUCUUUGAUGAUAAUAGCCAAUGCACUCUUGAAGAGAUCAUUUCGGACGAUGUGUGUCACACAGACAUAAGGAACACAACUCCUGCCUCUGAGUCAAAUGAAAGUAUAACUGAGCAUGAAGAUCAAAUCCACGACAAAGACGAUCAAGGCUGUGACCGCCAAGUUGAGGUUCAUAGAAAUCACUCAGCCUCAGAUCUGAUUGGAGACCUUCACGGUGAGAGAAUCACGAGGAAAAAACAGAUAGACUUCAAAGCCAUGGUCAAAUUGGCAUGCUUCAUCUCGUUCACAGAGCCUAUGACCAUUGCUCAAGCACUGCAGGAUGAGUUCUGGGUAGCUUCCUGCCAUGAAGAACUUGAGCAAUUUGUUCGGUUGGAUGUAUGGGAUCUUGUUCCUCCUCCAGACAAUGUCAAUGUCGUAGGGACAAAGUGGAUUUUCAAAAACAAAACCGAUGAAGAAGGAAAUGUGAUUCGUAACAAAGCAAGGUUGGUAGCCCAAGGAUAGUGUCAAAUCGAAGGUGUAGAUUUCGACGAGACAUUUGCUCCGGUUGCAAGACUUGAAUCUAUUCGAUUGCUCUUGGGUAUAGCAUGUAAAAUGAACAUCAUGUUUUACCAAAUGGACGUCAAGAGUGCCUUUCUGAAUGGGAUCCUUCAAGAAGAAGUUUAUGUUGCACAGCCUAAGGGAUUCGAAGAUCCAGCCUUUCCUAAUCAUGUAUACAAGCUCAAAUGAGCUCUGUACGGGUUGAAACAGGCUCCCCGAGCUUGGUAUGAGAGGCUUGCUACCUUCCUGCUUUAGGCUGGGUUCACGCGAGGUGGUGUUGAUAAAACCCUGUUUGUUCAGAGUGCAAAGCAGGACAUCUUGAUUGUCCAAAUAUAUGUUGAUGACAUAAUCUUUGGAGCUACUCAUCAGAACUUGGUUAAUCAGUUUGUGACAACGAUGACUACUGAGUUUCAAAUGAGCAUGGUGGGGGAACUAAAUUACUUUCUGGGACUACAGAUCAAACAGACCUCAGAAGGAAUUUUUGUUUCUCAAAGCACCUACGCCAAGAAUUUGGUAAAACGGUUCGACAUGCAAACCAGCCGGGUUGCCAACACUCCCAUGAGCACCACCAGAAAACUGUCCAGAGAUGAUGACGGACCCAAGGUAGAUGAGAAACUUUACAGAGGAAUAAUAGGCAGUCUGCUAUAACUCACUGCGAGUCGACCUGACAUCUGUUUGAGCGUGGGGUUAUGUGCAAGAUAUCAAGCAGCUCCUCGUGGGUCACAUCUCACUGCUGUCAAAUGAGUGAUAAAAUACGUGAAAGGGACACUUGACUAUGGAAUUUAUUACUCGAAAGACACUAACCUUAAUCUUGCUGGAUAUUGUGAUGCAGAUUGGACAGGGUGUUUGGAUGAUCAAAAGAGCACCUCAGGCGGCUGUUUCUUCCUUGGCAAUAAUGUGUCCUGGCACAGCAAAAAGCAGAAAUGUGUUUCGCUGUCAACAGCAGAGGCAGAAUACGUAGCACUUGGGAGCUGUUGCUCACAACUGUUAUGGAUGAGACAAAUGCUCAAUGAUUACGGUAUCCACUCAGACUCUUUUCUUGUACGAUGUGACAAUAAAAAUGCAAUUGAUUUGAGCAAAAAUCCUGUCCAACAUUCUAGAACUAAGCACAUUGAUACCAGACAUCACUUUGUUCGUGAAUUGGUUGAGGAUAAACUUGUUAUCAUAGAACAUGUUGCAUCUGAGCAUCAGCUUGCUGAUAUUUUUCUUAAACCGCUUGAUCUCAAUAGCUUUUUGUAUUUAGGGGUCUGUGAGAACUAAAUUGUCGUAAUAUGGGAAGGGGAGGUGAGUCAAGUACAGGCUGAAUAUGUCAUAAAACCUCCUGAGAGCAAGUUGUCCAUAUGAGAGCUGUUUUAUGCUGACGAGGAUGGCGAUACAGAACUGACUUGAUGAGAUGGUCACUCAGAUUGGACUAGGAUGCAACCACAUUUUAUGUCUACUGUUGAUCACUGACCGGAUUGAGCAUAAGACCGCUGACUGGUUCUCAAUGAAAGUGUGUGAUCCUUGGCUCCCAAGUGUCAGUUUUUUUUUUGGCUCCAGGUGGGUGUGAAUGCUCCUCAGUUGGGGAAAGCAGCACUAAUGAGAGACACGAGUGCACACAGACAUUCUGCAUCAGAAUCAGAUCAACAAAAAAAAAAAUGAAUCACUCAUUGACUAUAUAGUUAUUACCCACAGCUGGUACGUGUGUGAAUGCUCCUCAGCUGAGGGUAUGCAGCAUAAUCUAAACAAUUGUCUGAUUCUGGUGUCUGAACGUCUGUGGACCGUUGGGAGAUCGCACAUGUCUGGAGAAGAAGUGGAUCAUUGAGAAUCUCUGUCAAGUCAAGUCCACAGAUGUAUCAGCACAUCAUUGUCGGGUGUAACACAGUGCUCUCUGGUCAAUCAAGGGUGUGAAAGCUCCUUGGCUAAGGGUAUGCUGCAUUCUUGAGCUCUCAGGUUGAUUUUUCUAACUUUUUCACACUGUUGUUCUUCAGAUGUUGGUACAGUGUCCCUUCCCCAGUAACGCUUUCACAGAUUACCUCUAUGUUCUUAGGCGUGUUUCUCUCAGCUCAGAUGUUCAUGUCUUGAUGUGCAUGGGGAAUUUGACCGGUUUUUGUUCUAAGUGGUUGUGAUGGGCUCAUAUGUGUGUUUCUUUUUUAUGUUGGGCAUGUUGUAAUUGCGUGUGCUUGCUGGGCUUCCGGCCAAUGUUUUUGUCACUGAUCCAUGUCUUGAGUGGUUGCCUAGGGUUUGCGUUUCCCGCUUGUUUAAAAGUGUCUGCUGUUUCAUGUGCCACCAACCCUAAUCGUGUGUCACGGUUUUUUCUCCCGCAUCUCGCUUCACCAAAUUCUCUGACUUCUUGCGAUGCCGCGAAGCACACGUUCAGCCACCGCCAAGCUCCUUGCUUCCGCAAUUGAGGCCUCUCGUCGUAGGUGCCCAGCCGAUGAAGAAACCCUUGCAGAGGCCCUACUGCGACUCCUGGAGAAGCGGAAGACUCUUCAGCGAUCUGGAAAGGAGCCCAUUGAAAUUCCAACCGCCAAAGACGACGAGAGUGAUACCUCCAGUGAUGCGAAAGAAUUUCGUCCGCUGUUUGAAGGAUCAUUGGCUCCUCCGGUUUAUUUUGAAAACCCGUUUGGUCGCUCCGACGAUGAGAUGGAGGUCGAAUCAGCUGAUGACCUCGAAGACUUCGUUGAUCCUCGUGAACCUGACCAUCCUCUGUACCUGGAUCUCGAGUCAAGAUAUGCUGCUAAUCGCCGGGAACAGAUCGUCAAGGAUCGCAUGCAUCCGGAACGCACCAGGCCUCGCCACCGUCCUUACAACAACUUCUCGUCUCUCGCUGCGUAGGAGAGGUUUGUCUCGUUCCGGGUUCGGCCAUUUGAUGUGUUCGUGUCAACUACGUGAGGGAACAAGUUUUACCCUUAACAAAACAAAUGAAAGCCGCAAGUGCACAGCUAAUCAGUUGUAGUAUUUAGGGAUCAAAUUCACAGAGAUUUGUGUGCCUGGUAUUCUUCUACGGUUUUUUACUUUAUGUCUAGACUAAAUUGGUUUUAAAGGUUGGUUGUUUUUCUUGCGAAUUAAACUAAAACAAAAGAAAGCAAAUAAAUCUAUCCUAAAAAGCAGGUAAGAAAAUCGAAUGGAAUGCAAUUAGAAUAGGCAAAUAUCGAAUGAAAGACUAAUAAGGCAAGUAAGAUAUCACAUAAAAGGUAAAUAAAGCAAGUAAAUAAUGAACUAAGGAAAUUGAAAUGCAGGUCUAAGAAAGCAAGUAAAAAUCGAUGGAAUUGUAAACUAUGGCUAAAAACGCUGAGCUUUUGGGAACUCUAAGGGAUCAUAAUCGGUUUUAACACUAAGGUAGAUAGACUGGGAAUGACAGAUAACGAUAUAUGGGUUCUUGAUAACACCGUAUUUUGACCACCUUUAUGGAUCGUUUUGAAAUACUUUUUCUAUGUUUUUAAUUGCUUUUAAGUACUUUUAUCACGUUUUUCUAGUAUUUGUAGUUCCAAGACUCUUUUCAGGUAACUUAGGGAAAAGCUUAACAAAAUGGAUAGAAAACCAGAUUUCAGCUCAGAGUCAAACCGUCAGAAGUUCACCCCUGAUUGAAGUUCUUCUCACCGUUUGAUCCAGCUCAAAUUUGGAGACCUUAAAGAUGGAAGUAUCAGCUUUCCAGUUCACUUUACAGCUUGGCAAUCCAACGGUUCAAUCAAAAGAUACGCGAAGAGCAAGAUGUCCCGUAAAUCAGCCGGCAAGCACUUCCACCUGCGGCCAUCAACCUCCGAGCCCAAAAAGCCCAUUUCUGAAGCCCACAUUUGGAGAAACCCUAAGUGACGUCCAGAGAGGUCUUGAGCACUAUAAAUACAUGUCUUAGGAACCCUAAAUAUCGUGUAACCGAAUACCAUCUAUCAUUACUUCAUACUUUUAUUGUUUUUGCUUUAGCUUUUAGGGAGAGAGAGAUUUGUUCUCUUGAACCCUUGUUCUUUCUUUUUCAAUUUCGGUUUCUAUUCUACUUCUUAAUACUAUGUCUUUGAUUUCGUUCAUUAUGUCUGAGUAGUUUUAUUGUUGGGAUUAAGGGAUUUUCGAUGGGGAUUUAUAUGUUCGAUGAGGAUUCCAUGAGCUUUUGAGCCGAAUCUUAGAACUUUUUCUUCUGAAUUCGUUUUUACUGCAUGAGAGUAGCGUCAUGAACUACAAUCUGAUCCAGAUGCUUGGUGACACGAAAGUGUUCAUCAGGUAUCAGAUCUAGUUUGGGAGAGCAAAACAAACAUAGGAGUGGAAACCUACCUAUGGGCGAUUUGUGAAUUAGGACGAGUCUUAAACAUAAUGCAUCUCUUCUCUUCCAGGGCCAGAGUGGAAACCUACUGGUCAGGGUUGAGAGAGAUAGUUGUCUAUGAUCAUGACAGUGGCGUAUUCAUACGUCCGUGACUCUAGUUCGAAAAGUUUAAGCUAAGAUCUUACAAAAUUUCCUCUCUAGCAAUGUUUUGAAUCGUUCGUACCCCUGAGAAAACUUCCCUGAACCCCAACGCUUUUUUCCCAUUGAUUUACACCGAUUUUCUUUGAAGCUUUAGUUCAAUAUUGUCUUUCCUUUUUAGUAGACUUUCAUUUAAGCAUUAGAAUAUCCGUUUUUUACAUUUUUAGUCAUUUUCGUUAAGUUUAGUUAUUACGUCAUUUAAUUCCCGUAUUUUCUUUUAAGAUUUCGUUUUUACAUUUUAAACACCCCACCAAACCCCCACAAAACCGUUUUUGUUCUAGACUUCCUUACUUUAACUUAUUUCAAAGGCUUUUUGCAGGAAAAGAUCCUCCUUCCCUGUGGAUUCGAUCCCUAAGUACUACAAUUGAUCAGCUGUGCACUUGCGGCUAUUGACUUCAAUUAGGGUAAAACUUGACAACCCUCGACACCACACAUCAAGUCACAUCAGUUCUAGAGCUAGAGUACGGCGGUAUGAUUACGUCACUGUCGUGAUCAUAACUAACUGUUUCUCGCAACCCUGACCAGUAGGUUUCCACUCUUGCCCUGGAAGGGAGAGAACGCAAGAGCUGCACAAGACUCGUCAAUACUCACGAUCUCGCUGCAGGUAGGUUUCCACUCCUACGGAAAAAUUGCCUGUUUAAUUCUAGGGCUGAUACUUCAUGAAAACUUUCGCAACACUAACUAUCUAGAUCAGAUACUAGGUGAUCAAUCAAGCAUACAUGCAAUAAGAACAAGAAUAAACAGAGAACAGGUCGAAAUCACAGAUCUAUAAACCUAGAUGUCUUAAUCGAUUAUGAGAGCCCCUUUCGGGAACCCUAAGCCCAACUCGGGAUCUACUCAGACAUGGCUGAGUUCGACAUCAUCAUUGGUUUUAAUAAAAGUAAUGAAAAACAGUAAAGAAAAGAGAUAAAGAAAGCUUCUCCAUUGAAGAACUUGGACUUGAACAAUCUCAAAAAUCUCAUAAAAACGGCUAAAGGAAAAGGGUUUCUGUAAAGUAUGAAAGGUUCUCUCUAAAAACGACCUAAAUGACAUGUAUUUAUAGUCUCCAAUACUCCAUGGUCUCUAGGGUUCCGGAAUUGAGGCUGAGAAUGACUUUGGGCUUCAGAUAAGUGGGCUUUAACUCAAAGAUUGAUUGCCGCGGUCGGGAGUGUUGUGACCGCGGCAAUUGGCUUGUUGGCCGCGGUCGGGAAGCUUCUAACCGCGGCAAAUAGCUUGUUGGCCGCGGUCGGGUGAGUUGCUGACCGACUUCGAAUGGCUCCGGGGCUAAUGAAAUAUCUUGAGAUCCAACCGUUGGAAUGUCUCUAGACCAAGUGAAUUUGAAAGCUGGUUGAUUCUUCUAUAAAUUGUCCAAUUUUGAGGAUGAUCAGACGGUGAGAAGGUCUUUGUCUCUCCAUGAGAGUUCUGACGGUCUGCAUUUAUCCAAAAGAGUCUUUUUGUUCCAUUUUGUGCCUCUUUAUCCCAAAUUACCUGAAAAGUCUUUUAAAAUCCGGAAACAUAAAAAUCCUUUGAAAACCUUUGAAAAUGGAGUAAAAACACCUGUAAAAGAUAUUAAAAUGAUCCAUAAAAAUGGUCAAAAUCCGGUUUUAUCAACUCCCCCAGACUUUGUCCUCAAACAAAACAAAGGCUAAAUCUCGGCGAGAGCUUUGAAAACGCAGGAAAUAAACAAAAUCUCAGAGACCAAACUUCUAGACCAAUAUCAAUCAGUAUGCAUCAAUCGGGAAUAGCCUAGAAAAUUCUCACUAGCAAUACAGGCAUAACUAGUCCGCUAAUCCGUCAUGCAGAAAUCUAUGCACUAAGAUCUAACUUCCAGUCAACUAGCUCUUAACAUUCAUUAAAAAGGAUAAUUUUGGGGGGGGGGGGGUAAGACUUAAAGUGUUUACGGGUUACCUGAAGAUUUGGAGGAUGCAGGAUAUUAUGCAAAACCGCAAGAGAGAGUGAAGCUGUUGGUAUCCACAGUUUUCAGUCACUUUCUUCUUGACAUAGAUUCGUGGUCUUCUUCCUCAGGUUCUCUCCAAACUCCCACAGACUUAGUUUUUUGUAAAUCUUUAAAAACAAUAGCUCCUUAAACGAAUAGUGGUUGCUCAUUGCUCCAAAAAUUUUGACAAUCUCAGACUCAUUAGGCUUUUUGUUUCCCUUUCUCUUUUCAACUUUUUUUUUUUUUUUUUUUUAGAAAGGGAACGUCUUUAGAUAUAGAGAGCACGAAUUUACCAGUUAAUAUCUGUCUUGUAAAGCUUUAUUAUGUUUCUGAUACUCUUCCUUCCCAAUUCCAUUCAGUAUCCUUUGUGAGUGACUGAAAACUGCGUCGCUCCUCUUCUCUCCGACGUUUUUGCACAUAUCUGCUGAUAUAAACUAAAGAGAGAAUUCAUGAGGAUUGAAAACAAGGGUUUUGGGUUUAGGGUAUGGUACCAGAUAAAGAUAAACUGGUCAUCUAGGACGACAAAUAAUGGUAAAAGUAAUGGUAAAAGACGUCCUAGAUGUGUAGGUCGAUGCCUGCCUAAAAUCAAUGAUGAGAAAAUUAGAUAUCAAUAUUAAGUCCAAAUAAAAUGAGCUAGUAUAUCCUGUCAGAAAGAAUCUCCAUGAAUAGAAGUCCUCUGGUGAGAGUUCGUAGUGCAAGUACUCUAGCUACCGCCUAGUCUAGUGCUAACCACAAUGAGCUAUCAUGCAUAGUGUAAAAGUGUGCAGGUCUAAAUCAUCAUAGUUUUGCGUCAAACAUUCCUGAAAAAUACUUAUUGUCGAAUAAGUUACAUAUUAAAAUUUAAAAAGUACUUGAAAUUUAAAAGCAAAGCAGAGAAAAGAUUAGUACGGAUAGACAUCCUCCCCCAGACUUAAAUCACACUGUCCCCAGUGUGAAAAAGUUGGUGAGAAGAUGGUGAAUAAAAGCAAAAUAAAAUAAAAUAAGAUAAAAGAAAAGAAAAUGAUGAUAGAACCGUGAUGGUAGUGAAGUGCUGAUCAAUCACUCAUCCUCCGAGGUGUCGUCUGCGAAAUGGUGCUGCUCCUGUAAGAAGGUGACAACGCGCUCAAAGCGUCGUCCCUGCCUCUCAACUCUGCGCUCGAGAUCGGAAUGAGUGUGUGAUGAUGUAGAUGAUGAGGUGUGGCCAGUCGAAAUAGAUGGCUGAAAAUGAGCACGGGCUGCAGCUGCAUCACGCUUCGCCUUGGCCACUAUGUAUUGGCGAAUGGUGAAUGGUAGACGAGGUACAGAUGGCAGAAUAUCAUCGGAUACCGGAGUCCAUCGUGGGCGUCCUCCGUUGCACAAUCUCGGGAUAGACGCUGAAGGUAAGCAGACUCGGUGCUCCUCGGUGCUCCUCGGUGCUCCUCGGUGCCAGUGCAAUACUUGUAACCAAACCUGUCUGGAUCGAAAGCGGCACGAGAGAUAGUGUGAUCGCGAGAGAGAUAGAGUAGAUCAUACCAGACAUUGGGAAGUGGCUCGUCAGAUGAGAAAUCGAAUCCUACAACCUGUAGUAUCGCUGUAAUAGCACUCCCGAAAGCUGGAGUAGCGUCCUCGCAACCAUGUAAAUCAUGCUUCACCUUUACCAUAUUCUGCGCUAUGAUCCAUGCAAAGCAAGCAAGUCGUGGGUCGUCCAUAAACGGAAUCUGAAGUGUAAUGAGCUCAGUCUUCAAAACACCUCCCAUGUUUACUCUAGAGAAGAUCGUGUGUGCUAAGAGUUUGUGCACAACUCUCACUGCUGGGUGGCUAAGAAGGGCUGACUUCGAUCUCCCACUAUCAUAGGUUCCAUGACCCAUCUCUCUCCACAGGUUAAGAUCAGGUUCAUCUUCAAGGUAAAUGCCAUCAGUGUAUGGAAGCUUAAGAGCUUCACAAACCUCGGAAAUGGUGAGAGAAUAAGGCUGUCCGCGGAUAGAGAAUGACAAGAUGCCAUCUGAUGCUCUGGGGUUCCUCCCCUUCGUGUGGUGGAGUGUAAUAGUCGCUAAAAGCUCACGGACUAGCUCAGGAUAAGUCGGAAGGUUCAGCUCCAUGUAGGGUCUCAGCUUAAGUGCAUCGAUGUACCAGAUAACAUCCUCUCUGAUUCCAAGCAUCUCGAGUGUAUGAUAAUCUAUGCAAGGCGUGGGUUUGAUGUUCAGCUUCUUGAAACGUCCUGCAUAGUCCACUCUCGGGUUUGUCUCCCUCCCAAUGUAUCGAAUCUGUGGUGGCUCGGGAGCUGCUCGUGUUUCUCUUGAAUGCUGGAGAAAUCUCAUCACAUAGUUUCUUCUUCUCGGUCUGGCUUGGUUCAGCAUGUACUCUCCUAGAGUAGCAUCAUCGGGAAUGUCCUCGGAGCUGCCACCAGUUCGACAGCUCCUUCGGGAUCUGGUUUCGUCCAUUUUCUGCAAAAUGAAAUGAUUCUUGGAAAAAGAAUGAAUAUGGAUGCUGAUUUUAACACAUUAAGAUCUGUUAUACUAAUACUAGUAUAAAGAGAUUAAUUAAAACCAUGAGCAAGCAAAAUUUAUAUUGAAUCAGAGAAAUCAAGUAGUUCAUGACUAAAUUCGGAUUUUUGAUGUUCUUAACAUAGAAAUCUUCUAAAAAUCGGUUUUGAUGAGCAAUUUCCAUGUAAAUUCUAAAGAUUACCCAAUACUAAUCACUAAUCACACAAGACUAAAUCAAAUUCAUCAAUUUUGCUGUUCCAAAUUCGAUUUUUAUUAAGCAUGUAGAAUCCAAAUUUCAAAAAUCUCAAUUUCUCUUAAGCUAGGUGCUAAAUCGAUAUUUAGAUAACCUAAAUGGAUAAUCUAUCAUUCUUAAGCUAUUUCCACCAUCAAUAGACCAAGAUUUUGGGUUUUUAAAGAAAACCCUAAGUUCAAAAUCGAGUAAGAAUGGUGAGUUUGAGGUUCAUACCUUGCUGGAAAUAGAGAAUUGAUGGCAGAAUUGAAAUCAGCUUUUAAAAAGAGUGAGGUUUGAGCCAAAAAUCUCUAAAAAAGCUUAAGAAUUUAAAAAUGUGUUCUUUCUCCUAAAUCUCCAAAUCUUUUUGGAAGAGAAGAGAAGAAAGAGUUUUGAUCCAAAAAGUUUGUUUCUUUUCUUUAAAAAGUUACGGGAACUUACCUUUCUUGUUUGCACAUUAGGAAUGUUUAAAACUUACGGAGGAUCUUUUCGGGUUUUACCGGGAACAUUUCGGGAAACACCGGGAAUCACCGGGAAUCACCAGGUAACACCAGGUAAACACCAGGCAACACCGGGAAAACACCAGGCAACACCGGGAAAACACCAGGCAACACCGGGAAAACACCAGGCAACACCGGGAAAACACCAGGCAAACACCAGGCAACACUGGAAAAACACCAGGAAACACCGGGAAUCACCAGGCAACACCGGGAAAACACCAGGCAACACCGGGAAGCGGCAGAAAUCCUCGGAAUCACCUCAACGACCAACGGCCGCGGUCAGGAGACGCGCGACCGCGGUGGUCAAGUGCUCGGCCGCGGUCGAUGCUCCCUUGGCCGCGGGUCGGUCAGUCGCGACCGCGGCUCUUCCUCCUGCGGCCUAUUGUCCAAUCUUCUAGUCUUUGUCGGGCCGAGCGGCUAAAAACCUACCUUUUCUUCUUGGUUUUUCUAAUUUUCUGAUUUUUUUGUGUUUUUGUUUUAUAACAUACCUAAAACUUAAAACAAAUGCGCUUAAUGGGAGGCAACCCAUUUAGGUACUCUUUUUUUUUUAGUUUUCUUUUCAUUUUUAAAAAUUAAGCAUGAGGAAUCAGGCUGAUUUGAAUGGCAUUCCUCUUGAUGUGCCUUUAUCACUUCCGGUUGCUGGAGGUUUUACUUCUUCUCCUUGAGGAGAAGUCUUCUUACCUUUACUCUUCUUUCGGACUUUAAUGUUGUUCAGAACCCUUUUUGUGUUUUCGAUCAGCUCCUGGAUUUGGUCCUCACUAGUUUCUAUUGCAUCUGGUGGAAUGAUGAUCUUGAUCUUUGCAAAAGCUUUCGGCUUCUCCUUUUCUUUCUCUUUUGGCCUGUUUCCUUUACUUGGAAAUUCAUCUAAGAUAGUAGGAUAGUACCUUUUUCGGUCCACAUUGAGGAAAACAGCAUGCCGGUUUGCAUGAUCGAUUAAUGCUCCUACUGUAGCUAGGAAUGGUCUCCCAAAAAUGAGUGGCCUCUCCUUGUCUUUAUCCAUCUCCAGGACUUGGAAAUCUGCUGGAACAAUCUUAUCUCCCACUAGAACUUGUAGAUCAUGAAUCGCCCCUUCAAUAUCUUUUUGAGAUGAAUCUCCAAAGAUAACCUUAACCGUCAAUGUCCUUAAGGUUUUUAUGCCCAAUUUUUCGGCAAAUGUUUUAGACAUGAUGUUGACAUUGGCUCCGGAAUCGCACAAGCAGUCUGUAAACUUGAUUCCUGAAAUGAAACAUUGGAAAACAAAACGUCCCGGAUCAUCGGCUUUGGUAAGCCUUUGAAACGGUGAUCGUUCAGGUACCUUAAACGGUGGCUGCUUGGGAUCGAUAUCCUUGUACAGUGGUACAAAGAUUGGGGUUUCUUCUUUCUUUCCAUCGGUUCCGGCCUCUUCUUCGGGCAAUGUGUUUAUGGCGUUGCAAAACUUCUUAGGGUUAUCUUCAACUCUUCCUGGAAGAACUCCACUUUGCCUCUUCAUAGAGUCGGGUGUUUGGGCGACUUGCACAUCUAACUUUUUUACGUGCGAAGAUAAAGAUUUAAACUUAUCAUUCAGAUCAUUGUACAUGCAGUCCACUUUCACGUUAACGUCUUUAGAUGCUUUUUCAUUCGUCAUAACAAGCUGUUGGAUUGACUGUUCAAGUCUACCGAUUUGUGAAGCUAGCUGGUUCGUCGUGACUCCCUGCUGUUGUACAAAUUGAUUGUUAAAACCCGUACCUUGGUAGUUAUAUGGCUGUCGCGGUUGAUAUGGUACUAUUCCCCCAAAGUUUCCACCUUGAAACUUGUUUUGGAAGGAUUUUUGCUGAGGUGGGUAGUACUGAUCUUGAGGAUUCUCCACAUUUGGGAUUGCGGUAAGAGAGAUUGUUGUAAUUUUCAUUCCGGAAGUUGUUGUUGAAGUUGUUGUUGGAGCGAUUUUGGUAUGGCACCAGUGCUCCUACGUAGUUCACAUCUUCUUCUUGAAAUGCUUGAUUAAUGUGAUCGAUAUCACUAGGUCCUUCAUCUUCUGCGCCAUUGUUGGUUUCACAGGCAUGGAUCGGGCGAUUGUUGCUCUUCAGAAGCUGGCUCACCAUGUUCUUCAACUCGGUUAUCUCCUUGUUGUCUGUUCCGGCUUGCUUCAUCAAUCGAUCGUAUUCAGGACAGUCAUUGCUAUUGGCUUGAGCUAAAUUUUCGAUGAGAGCUCUUCCUUGGGUUAUCGUCUUUUGCCCAAAAUCUCCAUUUCUAGCUGUAUCAAGUGAAAGUUUGUAUUUUGGUUGCAAACCUCGGUAAAAUGUGCUCAGAAGGCUUGAUCCAUGGAAUCCAUGGUGAGGGCAGUCACGUUCAUAUUCCUUAAAACGUUCCCAAGCUUCAUAGAAAGAUUCAGUUGGCCCUUGUUGAAAGGUUGAGAUUUUCGUUCUCAAAUUGUUCGACCUUGACUUAGUGUAGAAGUGGUUUAGGAAAGCAGUUCUACAUUCUUCCCAAUUGGUAAUCGAUCCUGCAGGCAAAGACUUCAACCAACGGUGAGCUUUAUCUGCUAAUGAAAAAGGGAACAACUUACACUUUAAAUAGUCAGGUGGAACUUGGUUUGUUCUCAUCAUGCUGCAAAUUUCUUCAAAAAGCUCGAUAUGGUCCAUUGGGUGCUCAAAAGGAACUCCAUGGAACUGGUUUUGCUUCACCAAUGAGAUGAUUUGAGGCUUGACUUCAAACUCAUUCCGGUUUGGAAAUGGUACUUGAAUCGCAGAUCGAUUCUGAAAAUUUUGAGUAGGUGCAUCAAAAUCAGCUAUGCGAUGGUUCUUGGCUUGUCUUCGGUGUUGAUUUGCUGGCGGAAUGGGGUGUUGAAUGCGUUCAUUCGACUGCAUUGCUGGGUGGUCACCAUCGGCUGCAUUGAUGGGUGGAUCAAGGUCUUCACGUCCUUCUCUCUCUCAGUUCUGGUGGUUUCUUGGAAGAACCUCAUCCUCCUCCAUCUUGUCGAGCAUGAUCACCUUCUAUGUGAUCAUUCUCUUCGUUUUCUCCAUGUUCGGACCCGUCUUGGUCCAUAUGUAAAUUUUGAUUAAUAGGAUCUCCAGGCUGGUCGUCGUUGGCCAUUCCUUGCGUUCGUCUAAGUCUUCAAAGUUCUCUUUCGUGUAUGUCUAUCUUGUCUAGAAUUGGAAUGUCUCCUGCAGGUCUACGCCUGGUAUUCAUGCAAUUCAGAGAAAAAAAAAAGAAGGGAAAGAUAGUUCAGAAAAACUUUAAGAAAGAACUAGAGAUCAGGUGUCUAGAACAGAAGUUAAAACAAGAAAAAUAGCAAAAGGCAGCGAAACAAAUCCCCGGCAACGGCGCCAAAAACUUGAUGUGUUCGUGUCAACUACGUGAGGGAACAAGUUUUUGGAUGACCCUAAACUUGUGGAAGCUCGGAAGAUUUUGGAUGCUGUCGGUUUGAUUUACACCGUCCUGGAUGUGGAGCCCUAUCGUCCGACUGUUGUGCAGGAGUUCUACGCUAAUGUUGGUGACCUGGAGUAUCACAAUGGGACCAAUCUCGUCUACAUUUGUGGCUGCAUGUUCGAGUUCACUCCUGAGGUUAUCAAUCAGAUGUUCCUCGUCGACGAUUAGCUUCCACAUGGUGAUUAGGAGCAGAUCCACAUUGAUGAAGCUGUGCAGUUGGUCUCGGGGGGACGCAAGAGUCGCUGGAAAGGCUUUCGGUCUCGUCAUCUCACUCCUCUCUAUGGGGUGUUUUACAAGCUGUGCUGUUGCAAUUGAAUGCCUACGACCAAUAACACUACCAUGGUCAAAGAAAGGAUUCGCCUCCUCGCCUACAUCAUCCAGGGUCGCAAAUUCAACUUCGGGAAGCUGGUGUAUGAUCAGAUAUUGGCUGCAGCGCGGACUCUGGAAAUGGUCAACAAACAAACUCAUGUUUCCCAAUCUCAUUUUCCAGCUCCUUCGCUUUCAACGUGUGCUCCCCGGUCAUCGAGGAGACCGCCCUUUGGAAAGAUUUCCUCUCAAAAUCACGCUGGAUCCCAAGGGAGGACGAGGUGAUGAAGCUGAUGAACCUCAAACCGCACCAUCACUUGCAGCGGACUUGGAUCAGCUCGCUACCUGGCUCAAACGCAUUCAACUGCGUGUCAAAGGUAAGUGUUCUGUCUCUGACUUUCAAGGUUGAUGUGUAUUGUCAUGUUGUAUCUGAAUAUGCACUCAAGCAGGGGGAGAGUACGCCGAGAUGGGUUCUGAGAAAGGCAAGGCACAUCCUGAGGGGGAGCAGGACAACGAGUCCGAGAAUGAGGACGUCUGGGCUGGGAACUAGAAUUGAUGAAAAUUUCUGAUUUGCAUGUGUUGUGCUAAACUCUAAGUUGAUUCCCGUUUGUGUUUCGGUUGUGUUUGUUUUUAUUUAAGUACCUUGGUUGAUCUUUUGGGAUUGAAUGUGCUGGUUUUUGGUUAUCUCGUGAUCCUUGAAAAUUCCUUGGUUGUGGCUAUACAUGGUUGUUUGUAUGCCUGUGUGUUAGAUUCCCUAUGCAGGUUGCUUGGAGUGACAUAUUCAAAUACAAAUGGGGAGAAUGUAAGAGUUAAGGAGUUGACGUUCAACAGGGAGACAUGUGUAGCACUGAUAUGCUCAAAGUUUAAUCCCUAAGCUACUCUGCAAGAGCACAGAUGUGCAGUUGUAGUAUGUAGGGGUCGAACCACAGAGACAAGAGAUCACUCAAUAAACCUUAUAGAGAUUGAAUUACGCUAAGCAUAAAUAUUGUAAAUGAAUAGCAAUGCAACAGAAUUAGACUAAGCAGCAAUAAAAACGGUUUGUAAGAUUCAGAUGGAUGGAGAUUAGGCUUAGGGCGUUUCUCAGGAAAUCAAUGCAUGCAGAUCAAUCGAUAAAUCAGGGUUCAGGUUUAAGCACGGUUCUUGAACUCGAAUCACAAAAUUAUAAUUAACCAACUUCCGUUGUGAGAAUUAUCUAAGUUAAAAUCCUAGAAUUCCAAAUUCCUUUGCAAACCCUAAAGAUUUAAACCAGCUUUAAUGCUCAAGUUCGAUAUGUUCACAAAGUAUUUAAACCAAAUUCCUUUGCGAAUAGCUACUUUGCUCACCCUAGGUUCUUUCCAGUUAUUCAAUUACACUUCCGUGUCAAUUAAGCAACCUAAGAUCUAAGUUCUAGGUGGCCAAUCCAGAAUUAGCUUUAAGAACAACCUAUGGUGAAGAACUAAAUAGAUUAUGAACCCUAACUAACCAAUCAAUCUAACAUCCAAUGGAAUCCUUUAUGAGAACCCUAAACCUAACAAACAAACUACUCAGACAUGAAGAUUGAAGCAAUAAGCAUGAUUGAAUAGCUUGCAGUAAGCAGUAAAUAGAUUAAUAAACAGGGGUUCGAAAUCUUCUCUCUCCGGAACAGAGUUUCAGACUUGUCUCCCCAAAAACUCUCAAAAACAAAAACUCUCUCUAAGAAAAUCUAAGGUAAUCGUAAAAAGGGAAUAAAAACCCUAUAUAUAUCUCUAAGACACGUUUUGGGCUUCCUUGAAAACGUUUGGGCCCAACUCCUUCUUCAAAUAGGAAACAAAAUCGCCUUUUCCUUAUUUCUCUAACAAGUGUCGCGCGUCACUCUCCAUGGUGUCGAGCGUCACUAAAGCACAAAAUCCAUACUUGACGAAUUUGAUCCUGAUUAAGCUCCAAAGUGCUCCAAAGUCUCCAGUUAAGCUCCAAACGUACCUAUAACCUGAAAAGACUCCAAAAGACUCGAAAGACACUAAAAAGACUCUAUAAAUAAGACUUAUACCAUGGUUAAAAACCAUAAAAACCAUGAUAUAUCAACUCCCCCAGACUUAGCAUUUGCUUGCCCUCAAGCAAACAUAACACCAAACAAGAGAAAGAAGUUUGAAAACACAGAGACUCAACCUUUCAUUGGAACAUCGCUUUUGACUGAUCACCCUGCAACUCAACUACUGCUUCAUCAUUCCAAAUCAAACCACCAUGUACUUCUCCAUAGACAUUCACAGCUUUCCAGAUUAAGUCCAAAAUUCCACAACAUGGUCCAUAAACCUUCAUCGCUGGAUCUCACUGAUGAUUCAGAUGCCAAGAACCUUCUAGAUUCUUUCCCAUUCUGUACUCAAACAAAUCAGCCAUACAAACUUUGGUACUUUUCUCUCCCCCAGACUUAUUCUUUUCGCACACUCAUCAUCAUUUUUUUAUGGCAUAUACUCGAUAAGGGUAAAGCUGCGAGUACUGAUGGUGUUUGCCACCAAGUCCCCAAGUUGUCCCUUUACCUUGUAUCAAAGGUUUUCAGCGAAUAGUGGGGUCAUGGGAAACAUUCCUACCCCUCACUUCCUUCCUUUGUGUGAUCAUUCCAACUUAGAAGUGAAAUAAUGAGAUCCUUGGAAACAUUCCUAGCCCUUCACUCCUAAGCGAAAAUCAUCUCAAUCUUUUCGCCUUUUUCUUUGUUUUUCUUCUUCUUAGCUCGUUACAAGGGAGAGAAAUACCAACAUUAAAUUUCACACAGGCUUUCAUUGAUCAAGUAUGAACGAGGAAUCAAGCUCUAAGGCAUUAGUCACAUCAGCGAGUUAAAAGUGAAGUUCAGAACUUAGCUCAGGUUAGUGGAUUCUGUUGGAAACAUGAACGCCUCUAGUGAACUGGUCAGCCUUUGGAUUUUUCAUUAGUCGGAUCUAGACUGAAUCUGCAGCAGUGGUCACUUAGGUGAAAGGUCAGCACAAUAAUUCCAGGAAAAGCAUCAUGAUCUCCAACAGGUUUUGACUCAAAAACGUUUUGACACAACUGACUCUUAAGAAAAACAAACACAAUGUCAGCAACUACCUCCCCCAGACUUGAAUAACACUGUCCCCAGUGUUAUCUAGUCCGAAGGUGGCGAAACAAAAUAAAAGAAACAGAGAAACGCAGGAAAAACAGAGAACUUACCUGGCUGCAAUGAUGGUGUCGCGCGACACUGAUGAUGGUGUCGUGCGACACUUGUUUUCCUCGUACCGAAUUGCAGCAGACCAAUCCGAAUUUCUGGUUUGACUCCGGUUGCCUGAUUUCCUAAAUUUUUUCUUUUUUUUUUUUUUUGAAUAGAAGCAAGUGACAAGCGACACCGAAGGUGGUGUCGCUCGACACUAAUAUCUGCUUCACCUGAGACACGAAAAGAAAAACGAAAAUCAACUGAAACAAAAAGACUUAUGUACAGACUCACCAGUGGAUUGCCUUCCACCAAGCGCUUGUUUAAAGUCAUUAGCUUGACUAUGGAUAGACUAUGCAUCUGGUGGAUCAGACAGUGGCAAAGAGUGCCUCUGUGAAAUUCGUCUCAUCCAUGGUGGUGUGUAAGCGUUGUGCGCAUGAGGUCGUCCAAGGAAUGCAGGAAUAGCACCAGGGUGAGAUCUGUGUUUGGGUGGCCUUGACCUAUUCCCUGCAAUAUCAUCAAACGAAAAACCAAGUGCUCUACGAUAAUCUCGUAGCUUGCGUCGUGAGACAGAGCCUGCAUCCUUUGAAUCAGUUCCAAUGAUAUCACGAGAAUUAGGCUUAGGUUCAAGAGGUGUGUACCUUUGCUUUGGUGGAGAUGGAUGGAGUGCAAUGUUUGGAGCUUCCUGAUCAACAGCAGUCACUGGUUCUGUAGACGUUUUCGUCAACUCAGAUUGAUCACUCACCAUCUCAGCAUCAAACACGUUCUGAUCUCCAACUAUCACUUCAGGUAUUGCAGUGACUUGGAAUGUCUGACCAUCUAUGGUGGGAUCCUUCAGCUUCUCCAUCUUGAAAGUCAUGAUGGUAUCUCCCAGGUGGAGAUCAAGGUUACCAUGCUUGACAUCAAUCACCGCUCCAGCUGUAGCUAAAAACGAUCUUCCCAGGAUAAGAGGAUCUUUGGGUUCCUCUCCAUAUUGCAGAACCACGAAAUCUGUAGGAAUUAUGCAAUCACCAACUUUGAUUGGAACAUCUUCCAAGACACCUUUUGGGAUUCUUUUAGACCGAUCUGCUAGGAUCAAAGAGAUCUUAGUUGGCUUGAAGUCAGUCAUCCCAAGGCUAACAGCUACAGAGUGUGGCAUGAGGUUGACACUCGAACCAAGAUCACACAGCGAUCUCUUGAACCUCUCUGAGAAGAUAGAGCAGUCCAAAACAAAACUUCCUGGGUCCGAGAGCUUUUCUGGAAUCUUAUUAUGAAUCACAGAACUGACAUGUUCAGAGAUCAUCAUCGCUCCUUCCUCAUGACCCACAUUAUUAGUCACCAUCUUCUUCACAUAGUGUCUGAGAGUAGGAGCAAUCUUCACAGCAUCAACCAAAGGAAUCUCAAUCACAAGCUUCUCCAUCAAAGCCUUGCAUCUGGCAUCAUCUAGCUCCUGCUUGGACUUCCUAGGACUCCUUGGGUAAGGAACCUUAGGUUUGUAAACCUUUUCCUCAGCAGAUUUCGGACUUUGAGCAAUAUUAGCUUUGCUCUGCAAUUGGUGACGCGCGACACUGGUUGUGGUGUCGCUCGACACUGGCUCUGCAGUUUCGAAAUUUUUUUCAGAUUCGUCAAACUCCACGAUUUCAUCCUCAGAAACACCCUUUUUCAGCACAGGAGUCAACUUUUUACCACUCCUUGACGAGAUGGCACUGCAGUAAUGCCUAGGAUUAGUAUCAGUCUUCCCAGGAAGGAAUCCUUCUUGCCUUUUUACAGACUCUGCUGUCUGAGCAACCUGAGUAUCAAGCUUCUUGACAUGAGUGUUCAGAACUUCAAUUUUUCCAUUCAGAUCCAGAUAUAGAGCAUAAAUCUUCCCAUUGAAAUCCACAGUCAUCUUCUACUGACCUUCCAAAAUCUGUUCCAGCAUUGACUUCACCUCAUUAUCUGGAGUUUGAGUAGGAAGAGAACCAUAGUUCCUUGAAAACCUGUUGUUGGAGUAGGAUGUCUGGUACUGAGGUUUGGAGCUGUAACCAGAAGAGUUCUGAUUACCUGUGAAGGUACUCCUCUGAUUAUUUCCAUUGUAAUUCGUGUUCCCUUGCCCAGAACCAAAUCUGUGACCCUGAAAUCCAGCUCCAUUGAUGAAGUUAACAUCUUCUUCCUCAAAAGCUUCAUCUGGUCCGAAAUUCUGAACUCCUGCAGGGUAUCUGACAGAUUUCUUACCCACAAGAAGACUAUGCACAGAGUCAAGCUUAGCCUUCACCUCGGCAAUUUGCGAUCCAUCCAGGUUCCCAGCCUGCUUCCUUCGUUGAUAGUCUGCAUUCUUGGUACUAUUGCUAGAUGCCAAGUUUUCGAUGAGCUCAACAGCUUCGUCUGGGUAUCUGGUGUUGAAGUUUCCAUUGCUCGCUGCAUCAAGAGCCAUCUGAUACCUCCAGUCGAUACCUCUAAAGAAAAUACCCAGCAACUGCACAUCGCUGAAGCCAUGAUGGGGACAGUCUCGCUGGUACGAUUUGAAUCGCACCCAGGAAGCUUUGAACGCUUCAGUUGGUUCCUGAGAGAAGGUCGAAAUUUUCGUCCUCAACUCCUCAGACCUAGCAUCAUCGAAAAAAUUGUGCAGGAAGGCAUUCCUGGUCUCUUCCCAAGUAGUGAGUGAUCCUGGCUCCAACUGCUUCAACCAGUUAGCUGCUUCUCCAGCAAGAGAGUAAGGAAACAGCUUGCAGAGGAGGAAAUCAUUGGACACUCCAUUGUAUUUGAUGCUGGUGACCAAAUCCUCAAACCUCUCGAUGUGAUCCAUAGGGUGCUCAUGAGAGUGGCCAUGGAAAGGAUGCUGACCCACAAGAGUGUAAUACACAGGCUUGAGCUCAAAAUCAUUCCUCUGAAACGCAGGAGCGCGAAUCGCAGACCGAUUUGCAUAGAAUUGCUCAGGCCUGUUGUAGUCACCCAGCGUCCUGAUGAUGUUACCCUGUCCAUCAAGUCGCUGACCUCUCUCAUUGCACACAUGACCCUCUUGGUCUCUCCAGACUCCAGCAUCAUCACGAAUCAAUGCCAAUGCGUUCUCCAUCUUUGAUAGUUUCUGAGACAAAGAGAAAGAACAAUGUAAGUAACAAAGCAAAAAUAAAAUUAAGAAAAACAACGGGUGUCGCGCGACACCAAUGCUGGUGUCGCUCGACACUAAAAAAAACUUAGUCGAAACUCAAGAACUAAAGUUUAAUGGCGAAAAUCAAGUCCCCGGCAACGGCGCCAAAACUUGAUAUGCUCAAAGUUUAAUCUCUAAGCUACUCUGCAAGAGCACAGAUGUGCAGUUGUAGUAUGUAGGGGUCGAACCACAGAGACAAGAGAUCACUCAAUAAACCUUAUAGAGAUUGAAUUACGCUAAGCAGAAAUAUUGUAAAUGAAUAGCAAUGCAACAGAAUUAGACUAAGCAGCAAUAAAAACGGUUUGUAAGAUUCAGAUGGAUGGAGAUUAGGCUUAGGGCGUUUCUCAGGAAAUCAAUGCAUGCAGAUCAAUCGAUAAAUCAGGGUUCAGGUUUAAGCACGGUUCUUGAACUCGAAUCACAAAAUUAUAAUUAACCAACUUCCGUUGUGAGAAUUAUCUAAGUUAAAAUCCUAGAAUUCCAAAUUCCUUUGCAAACCCUAAAGAUUUAAACCAGCUUUAAUGCUCAAGUUCGAUAUGUUCACAAAGUAUUUAAACCAAAUUCCUUUGCGAAUAGCUACUUUGCUCACCCUAGGUUCUUUCCAGUUAUUCAAUUACACUUCCGUGUCAAUUAAGCAACCUAAGAUCUAAGUUCUAGGUGGCCAAUCCAGAAUUAGCUUUAAGAACAACCUAUGGUGAAGAACUAAAUAGAUUAUGAACCCUAACUAACCAAUCAAUCUAACAUCCAAUGGAAUCCUUUAUGAGAACCCUAAACCUAACAAACAAACUACUCAGACAUGAAGAUUGAAGCAAUAAGCAUGAUUGAAUAGCUUGCAGUAAGCAGUAAAUAGAUUAAUAAACAGGGGUUCGAAAUCUUCUCUCUCCGGAACAGAGUUUCAGACUUGUCUCCCCAAAAACUCUCAAAAACAAAAACUCUCUCUAAGAAAAUCUAAGGUAAUCGUAAAAAGGGAAUAAAAACCCUAUAUAUAUCUCUAAGACACGUUUUGGGCUUCCUUGAAAACGUUUGGGCCCAACUCCUUCUUCAAAUAGGAAACAAAAUCGCCUUUUCCUUAUUUCUCUAACAAGUGUCGCGCGUCACUCUCCAUGGUGUCGAGCGUCACUAAAGCACAAAAUCCAUACUUGACGAAUUUGAUCCUGAUUAAGCUCCAAAGUGCUCCAAAGUCUCCAGUUAAGCUCCAAACGUACCUAUAACCUGAAAAGACUCCAAAAGACUCGAAAGACACUAAAAAGACUCUAUAAAUAAGACUUAUACCAUGGUUAAAAACCAUAAAAACCAUGAUAUAUCAAGCACAGAGUACGAAGGAUGCGGGAAACUCAAGUCGAAGACAAGAGAAUAACUCAAGUGGUGCUGACGUGGCAGCGAAGAAUUGGAGCUGGCAGGAAGCUGUUUUUAGAGAUCGAAUAUCCAAGAUAUGGAGAUUAGAGGAUCUCAACAAUAAGGAAAGAAGAUAUUCACGAGGGUGGAAAACGUGAAUAAAGAGUAGUGAAAAGGGUUUCUGAACAUUUACCCUUUAGAGAGAACAAGUCACAAAAAGCUAGCCGCACGAGAGGUUGGGGUUUUUGGUGAGCGUGUUCAUUGUGAUAGUUGCAUAGCUGUUGCUGUGUUUAAGAUUGGAUAGAUUAAGAAUUGGUCAGUAUCGAGUUGCAGGUGCAAGGUCGUGUAAUUCUGAUUAAACAGAUCUAAAGGAUUGUCUAAGUGAUUCUUAAUAAAAGGCAAAGAGUGUUUUUGCAAUUUUCUGUGUUCUACUCUUAGUCUCUGUGAUAUAGAUCUUACAACAUGCUUAUGCUUAUGGUUGGUUUUGAUCAUUCUCCAUGUUUGUUGAGCUGAUCCCAAUGUUAAAACCCGACACUCAUCGCCAAUUUUAUAAAGAGGCAUGCACAUCACUUUGUGUUUACCUUGAAUUGGAUCGUAUCCUAAAAAACAUGUUAUAUCCUCCCAGCUUUCUUCUGGUUUGGGUAAGGUUAAGAACUGUCUCAUUGUAGGGUUCCAUAGUACAGGUUUUCCUGAGUCUUGGAAGCAGAUCAAGCCGUGGACAGAUUCCGUAGGGUAGAAGUAACUAUGUUCUAAGGAUUUCAUUUGAUAACGACAAAUAGGCAUAGAAUUAAAAGUAUUAGGAUUAGACUCGUUCGAGUUCUGAUGAUCUUCCGGAAUCGAGAAAACGAACAACGUGUCCCUUCAGCGAGUUUUGAAGGAGUUGGUGAAAUAUGGAUCGCUGGUGAUUGCUGGCCAAAGCUUUGAUACGCAACGAAAUCUCACAACAGAUUUUGCAGGUAGCCUUAGGAGUACCUCUGAGAUUAGGUCGAGAGGAAACGACGAUGUUGAUUUCGAUAUUGUUCCUCUUCUAGGGAUUUUUUUCUUCCUUUCUUCUUCUUGCUCCAUCUUUAGUAAAAUUCUAAUUUGUUCCUCACUCCCCCUCAAUGAUUUUCGCUCCUAUAUAUAUAUAUAUAUAUAUAUGUUUUUAACCCUUUUUUGACAUAAAUCUCAUAACUCAUGAGCAUAAACUAUGUAAUUUGAAGAAUAUAUAUAUACAUUUAAAAAAAACAAAGUUCCUAUUAAUCGUUUUGAGAAGAUAUAUAUUUUUGUUUUUAAAAAAAAUUAAGUUCGUAUUAAUCGAUUCGAAAGAUAUUUAAAGAGUUUGUUAUUAAUAAUUCUUAGAGAGUUUGUUUUCAAUAAAUCACAUUUAAUUAUUCAAAAAUUGCUAUAAAUCCAGAUUAAUGUACAGAAUCUUUAAGUUUUCCUUUUUUGAUUGUUCGCAUCUAAUAUAAAAUAAAUAAAUAAAAUACAUAAAAAUGUAGGAGCAUGCGGUUUAAGCAAGUUAAUCCUGUAUCAGAUUGCUUCUUGUCUUCACUUGGAAAACUGGAAUACCUAUAAUUCUUUACUACUAAUUUCGUCCUGAAGAUCCAUGUAACUCAUAGAACUUGCUAACGACGGGAGAAUCUGCAAAGGUAAACAAAAAAUCAACCCUAAACUACUGUAUCCGUUUUCUUAGGUUAUCCUAAAUGGUUAUUUGACUAACUGGUAAUUAGAUCAGGAUGUGAGAUUUCAUAAGAGAUCAAAUCUUUGUGUGUAGUUGCGAUGGAUCCACUACAAGAAAACAAUCGUUUUCCAACAAUUUGUUACGACGGUUUAUAAAUCGUCACAAAUAUACACGCUUUUACGAUGAUUUUACGAGAAAAAAAUAAAACGUCGUAAAACCGUCGUAAAAAAAAUCAUCGUAACUUUGACGUAUAAUUUACGAUGCUUUACGACGAUUAUACAUCGAUAAAGAGAGAUUUGAUAUAUAUUGCAAAAUCAUCGUAAAUUGGAUGUAACAUUACGACAAAUAUACGACGAUCCAAAUCUGAUGUACAGUUACGACGAUUUUACGUCGACAAAGAAGGUAGGUGAAGAACAUUUAAAAAAUGUUUACCUAACUAAUGUCGAUGAAAUAUUUUAUCACACAAUCGACGUAAAAUCAUCGUAAUAUGAAGGUUGGAUGUAAAAGGGAUGUAAAAAAAUCGUCGUAAAAGCGUCGUAAAGUCCAAAAUUUUGUUAUAAAUACAUCUUCAUUCCUUAUUUCAUUCACAACACAUCAUCAUUCAAACAUAAGAGCAUUGUAAAUCCUAAUAUAUUGGGUUGUCCAUUGCUGGAAACCCGAAUUAGCAGUAAUUUAUUUGAAAAAAUAAGUAAUAAUAUUAAAAGGUUUACUCCAUUUACGCGGCCUUACGUGACACAAGAGACCGUCUCUUUUAUUGUCUAAACAAUAGAAAGAGAUUGUAUUUUUGAGUUAUUUUCAAGAUGUCUAUAUACGAGCUAAGAAGCUGGAUGUAUAUGCGUAAAAAUUCAGAUGGGGCGUUGAUAGAAGAAUUCAAGAACGGGUUAGAAAUGUUCAUGUAUCAGGCCACAAAUAUGGAGAGAACGAAAGAUAGCGGAAAGAUGUUUUGUCCUUGUUUGAAAUGCAAGAAUACAAGGUAUACACUAACCAAAACCGUGUGAACGCAUUUAUUAAAUAGAGGGUUUAUGCCGCAAUUUUUUGUUUGGUAUCUACAUAGAGAAGGAUAUGGCAGUAAUACUCAUUGGAAUGCUGGUAGUAGUAGUAAUUAUCAAAGUCAUGUUGAUUUUGAUGAAUCGAAUUAUGGUCAUCAGCCUAAUCAGUAUCAAUCUGAUCAAGGUCUAGAUCAUGAUAGGAUGCAUGAGAUGGUGACUGAUGCAUUUCAUGAAACGCAUACUAGUAAUGCUGUUGAGGAACCUAAUGUAGAUGCCAAACGAUUUUAUGAUUUGUUAGACAAUGCUAAUCAGCCAAUCUACGAAAGAUGUAAAAAAUGCCUGUCUAAAUUAUCGUUGGCAGCUAGGAUGAUGUCAAUUAAAACAGAUCAUAACCUGGCUAAGGUUUGCAUGGAUGAUUGGGCUGAUCUUCUGAAAGAGUAUCUACCGGAGGAUAACUUGGCAGCGGCGACAUACUAUGAAAUACAGAAGUUGAUUUUUAGUUUUUGUAUACCUUCUGAAAUGAUAGAUGUAUGUGUUGACAAUUGUAUGAUUUUUUGGAAAGAUGAUGAUCAGCUGGAGGAAUGUCGAUUUUGCCAAAAACCAAGAUACAAGCCGCAAACUGGUGGGCGUAAAAGGAUAUCGUACCAACGUAUGUGGUAUCUCCCUAUAACUGAUAGGUUGAAACGGCUUUAUCAAUCUGAAAGGCCAGCUGCAUCAAUGAGAUGGCAUGCAGAACAUACACAAGUAGAUGGAGAAGUUGUUCAUCCAUCAGAUGCAAAGGCAUGGAAACACUUCAAUAGGGUAUACCCAGAUUUUGCUAAGUUCAAACGGAAUGUCUAUCUUGGUCUAUGCACUGAUGGUUUUAUUCCAUUUGGUAUGUCUGGUAGACAAUAUUCAUUAUGGCCAGUAAUCCUAACCCCUUAUAACCUUCCUCCAGAUAUGUGCAUUCAAAGGGAAUUUCUUUUCCUUAGUAUUUUGGUUCCAGGUCCCAAUCAUCCGAAGCGAGCUCUCGAUGUAUUUCUGCAGGCACUCAUACAUGAGUUGAAUCAGUUAUGGUUUACCGGCGUUCGUACAUAUGACUGUUCAACGGGGAAAAAUUUUACUAUGCGGGCUGUGCUUAUGUGGACAAUAAACGAUUUCCCCUCUUAUGGUAUGCUAUCAGGAUGGACUACACAUGGGAGGUUAUCUUGUCCUUAUUGUCUUCAUCGAACUGAUGCGUUUCAGCUAAAACAUGGUAGAAAAAUCUGUUGGUUUGAUUGUCACCUGAGGUUUUUACCGGAUAACCAUCCAUAUCGGAGGAACAAGAGGUUAUUUUGGAAGAACAAAAGUGUACAUGUCCCUCCACCCGUAAAUUUAACAGGAGCUUAUAUACAUGCGCAAAUCAAGCAUAGGGGGCAGAAGAAACAGUAACGCGUGGGGGAAACUGGCACAUUCCUGCAAAUAUGUCUGAAUGUUAUGGAGUUCAUCAUAAUUGGCACAAGAAAAGUAUCUUUUGGCAACUACCCUAUUGGUAAGAUCAUCUGCUCAGACACAAUCUUGAUGUCAUGCACAUUGAGAAAAACUUUUUUGAUAACAUCAUGCAUACAGUUAUGAACGUAACAGGAAGAACAAAAGACAAUGGUAAGUCAAGAUUGGACUUACAUGAUUUAUGCAACAGAAGUGAGUUGCAUAUACUGAGAAACGAGAAAGCACCUGUUCCUGUAUUUCGGUUGAGUGCAGAUCAAAAGUCAGCAUUGUUCAAAUGGGUUUUAUCUGACGUUAAGUUUCCUGAUGGAUAUGUUUCUAAUCUUUCUAAAUCUGCUGAGAAGGGGGUAAAGUUUGCAGGGAUGAAAAGUCAUGACUGCCACGUGUUUAUGCAACGAUUAUUUCCAUUUGCAUUUGCUGAACUCUUGCCCAAAAUGUUCAUGAAGUUGUUGGAGGCAUUGGUGCUUUUUUCUGGGAUCUUAGUACACAAACAUUAUCAGUUGAUGUAAUAGCACAACUGGCAUCGAAUAUUCCAAUCUUGUUGUGCAAUUUGGAAAAGAUCUUCCCGCCAUCAUUUUUUGAUGUUAUGGAACAUCUUCCUGUUCAUCUUCCUCACGAAGCAGAGCUCGGUGGACCAGUUCAGUACAGGUGGAUGUAUCCGUUCGAGUGUUUCAUGAAGCAUCUUAAAGGUAAAGCCAAAAACCUAGCUAAAGUGGAAGGUUCAAUUGUGGCGGGAAGCUUGACGCAAGAUACUUUGCACUUCACUUCGUACUAUUUUGCACCAAAAGUACGAACACGCAAAAGAGCUAAUUGUCGAUAUGAUGAUGGAGGAGUUGGCCAAACAUAUGCAGUUGAGGGUGUAUCUGACAUAUUAUCGCCGUUCGGAUGUCUUAGUGGAAAACUGAAGGAAGUUUGGUGGUCCAAUGAAAAAGAUUAUCACACUGCACAUAGGUAUAUCCUGCUAAAUUACGAAGAGUUAUCAUCGUACGAGAGGUACAUUUUUCCACUAUAUAUAUAUAUAUAUAUAUAUAUAUAUAUAUAUAUAUAUAUAUAUUAGUCAGUCUUAAUUAAUUAUUAGUUCUUUUUUCAGCACAUUCGUUGAUGAGGUUAAAGAAUGCAUCUCUAGGGUUUCUGAAACUGAAAUCAAUGAUCGUAAAGAUCAACACUAUGUCCAGUAGUUAAAAUCGCAAGUAUGUAUAAAAUAUAAAUUAAAAGACUUUGAUAUAUAUCCAACAUAUAUGAUUGCAUGCAUAUUUGCAAAAUCAAGAAAUUAAAGCAAGAUUUUUUCUGAUUAGGUGGACCCGAAUGAUCUGGAUGAAUUUCCAACAUGUCUAAUGGCAAAAAUAACGACAACCUCCAUGUAUUUCACUCGGGGCUAUGUUUUUCACACAUACCGUCACGGUGCAAAGCGGGCGACAACUAACUAUGGAGUUUGUGUGAGGGGUGAAAUAGAGUUUUAUGGAGUUUUGGAAUAAAUAAUUGAAGUGGAGUAUCCUGGAUUGUUAAGGCUGAAAACUGUUCUCUACAAAUGUGAUUGGUUUGAUCCAACUGUUGGAAGAGGGGUACGUCUAAACAAGUUUGGAGUUAUUGACGUAAACAAAUCACGACGGUACAAUAGGUUUGAGCCAUUUAUAUUAGCUUCUCAGGCGGAACAGGUCACAUUUCUACCAUACCCCCGAGUUCUAGCAACAGGAACCUCAUGAUUAGCAGUAGUUAAAGUGGCUCCGUGGGGCAAGAUUGUAGGAGUUGAGGAUGUUCCACUGCAACAGGACACUUGCGUAGAUCUGACUGAACCAGAUGUUGAUGAGGAGAUUUUCUUAAUUGACCCUCAGAAUAGGCAAGUUGAAUAUCUUCCCGAUGAUACAGAAGAAGAAGGUGAUGAGUUUGCUGAAACCGAUGAUGAUGAUGACGAUUUGGUGGAUUGGGUCAAAAUCCAAGGUACGAGGGUAUAAAUGUUGGCCUAUUAUGAUGCUUUUACGACGGUUUAAUGAACAUUCGUCGUAAAAUCGUCGUAAUGCUCAAACGCUGUGAACAUGACAUGUGUCGUGUCAUGCACUGGUACGAUGGUUAUACAACCAAAUCGUCGUAAAACCGUCGUAACGUUACGACGAUCACAAAAUUUAUAUAAGGGAUGCGAGUUUUCCUCCUUCGUCGCUCAUUCCUCACUUCUCUCUCUCUCUCUCUACAAAUACUCUCUCUCUCUCUAGCUCUCCCUCCUAUCCCUCCUCUCCAGCCUUAAUUUGUAAGUUUUUUUUAAAAAAAUCAUUAUAAUUUAUAUUUCGUUUAAAUUUUAAUCCUUAGAUAGAUAUAAUUAGGGGAAUUAGUUAGAUUCGGAAUUUAAAUAGGCCCGAAAUUUAAAAAUAAAUUAUAUAAUUAGUAAUUUAAUUUUGUAGAUUAUUCAUAUGCCUCCCCGGACCAAGAGAUUCCACUACCGGGAGAUGGUUGAUCCGGACGCUACCGCUCCGUCCGCCACAAGUAUGGGGUCCGCCAUCCCGGAGUCUUCGCGAACACAAUGAACGGUUUUGCAACCGGUCAUUGUACCACAGCCUGCACCGACUCCACCAUCACCAGCCGAACCAGCAGCACCAGCACCAGCCGCAGCCCCGAUACAGCCUGAAUCGUAUGCCCAAUUUACGGUUGAGGAUCUUCUACGACAACUGGGUCGUGGGAGUAUGAAGAAUCUCGAUCUGGAUCGAGCCCCAGGGACAUUUUGGUAUGAAUUUUUUUUUAACACAUUUUUUUAUUUAAAAGAUUUAUAUUUAUAAUUAAUUAAAAUAUCUAACCAAUUUUUUUUUUUACUGACUAGGUUUAUGACCGACAACGCAGUCGGUCGUAACGUUUCCGACAUCAUCAAAGGGUUCUUCGUACAACCUCAUACCAGCUGGAAGAAGCUAGAUCAGACAACUAUGGACACUUGGUUCAAGUGUUUCGCGGUAAAUUAUUUAAAAUUACGAUUUAUAUUUUUAUUUUUUAUUUUUUACAAUAAUUACUAACUCUUUUUUUUCUAGCAAAAUUGGCAUUGAGAAACUUCUACACACGAACGUGUGAAGGCGGCCUUCAAAGAGAAUGUCAAGUACUGGUUCAACAACACUGUUUCUGACUGGAAGCGGAAGUGGGAGGUCGAUGGCAACAAGGCCAAGCCGGCGCCAAUGGCCGAUACCGUCUGGGAGGGUCUGGUGCACCAUUGGUUGACCCUGCACAAUCAGACUAUUGCCGCCAAGUGUUCCACAUCCAGGUAUUUUUGUAAAUUAAACUAAAAUGUGUUUAAUUUAUAAUAUUAUAUAGGUUUAAUUACAAAUAUAAUUACUAUAUUUUUCAUGAACGCUACUGACGAUGCGGGAAAUUUAAAGAACGUCUCGCACACUUCCGGCCAGAUUCCUUUCGCCGGAAGAUGACUUAUGAUGGUAAGUUUUUAUUAAUAAGUUUUUUUUUCAAUAUUAUCUGUCUUGUUAAUAAUUUCAAUUUGAUUUUGUAGGUCGAAGAAAACGGGGGAGAACUUUCUCCGAUGACGAAGGUCUUUGCCGAGACCCAUAAGAAGAAGAACAGCGAAUUCAUGGAUCCUCGGGCGGAAGAGAUCUACAACGCCGCCUGUGCACGGAUCGGCAGACGCAGCUCACUCAGCAGGCACCUCCGACGUCUUCCGGAGGUAGCUCGGUCCAGUCCACCCCGACAUUGAUGGUGGCGGAGAUGGACCAGAUCUUCGAAGAGGUAAGUUUAAUUCACUUUCUUUUUCCUAUUUAGUUUAAUUUUAACUUUAUAUUGUACUGUUUUACAUAAGUUUCCUACAUUUUUUCAGGUUGUCAUUCGGAAGAAGGGCCGGGUUUUAGGGAUGUGAUCCAUCCGUGAUACCCCAGUCGCUACGGCGACUGGUCAUGUCCGGUGAUAACACCGGAUUUUGACCAUUUUUAUGGAUCACUUUAAUAUCUUUUACAGGUGUUUUUACUCAAUUUUCAAAGGUUUUCAAAGGAUUUCUAUGUUUCCGGAUUUUAAAAGACUUUUCAGGUAAUUUGGGAUAAAGAGGCACAAAAUGGAACAAAAGAACUCUUUUGGAUAAAUGCAGACCGUCAGAACUCUCAUGGAGAGACGAAGACCUUCUCACCGUCUGAUCAUCCUCAAAAUUGGACAACUUAUAGAAGAAUCAACCAGCUUUCAAAUGCACUUGGUUUGAAGACAUUCCAACGGUUGGAUCUCAAGAUAUUCCAUUAGCCCCAGAGCCACUCGAAGUCGGCCAGCAAGUCACGCGACCGCGGUGAUCAACCUAUUUCCCGCGGUCAGAAGCUUCCCGACUGCGGCCAACCAGCCAAUCCCCGCGUCACAACACUCCCGACCGCGGCAAUCAAUCUCCGAAUUAAAGCCCAUGUAUCUGAAGCCCAAAGUCAUUCUCAGCCUCAAUUCCAGAACCCUAGAGACAGUGGAGUAUUGGAGACUAUAAAUACAUGUCAUUUAGGUCGUUUUAGGGAGAGUAAUACACACUUUACAGAAACCCUUUUCCUUUAGCCGUUUUUAUGAGAUUUUUGUAGAAGAUUGUUCAAGUCCGAGUUCUUCAAUAGAGAAGCUUUCUUUAUCUCUUUUCUUUACUGUUUUUCAUUACUUUUAUUAAAACCGAUGAUGAUGUCGACCUCAGCCAUGUCUGAGUAGAUCCUGAGUUGGGCUUAGGGUUCCCGAAAGGGGCUCUCAUAAUCGAUUAAGACAUCUAGGUUUAUAGAUCUGGGAUUUCGACCUGUUCUUUGUUUAUUAUUGUUCUUAUUGCAUGUAUGCUUGAUUGAUCACCUAGUAUCUGAUCUAGAUAGUUAGUGUUGCGAAAGUUUUCAUAAAGUAUCAGUCCUAGAAUGAAACAGGCGAUUUUUCCGUAGGAGUGGAAACCUACCUGCGGCGAGAUCGUGAGUAUUGACGAGUCUUGUGCAGCUCUUGCGUUCUCUCCCUUCCAGGGCCAGAGUGGAAACCUACUGGUCAGGGUUGCGAGAAACAGUUGGUUAUGAUCACGACAGUGACGUAGUCAUACCGCCGUACUCUAGCUCUAGAACCCAUAUAUCGAUAUCCGUCAAUCCCAAUCUAUUUACCCUAGUGUUAAAACCGAUUAUGAUCCCUUAGAGUUCCCAAAAGCUCAGCGUUUUUAGCCAUAGUUUACAACUCCAUCGAUUUUUAUUACUUUCUUAGACCUGCAUUUCAAUUCCCUUAGUUCGAUAUUUUACUUGCUUAAUUUACCUUUCAUGCGAUAUUUCACUUGCUUUAUUAGUCUUUCAUUCGAUAUUCUGCUUAUUCUAAUUGCAUUUCAUUCGAUUUUCUUACUUGCUUUUUAGGAUAGAUUUAUUUGGUUUCUUUGUUUUUAGUUUAAUUCGCAAAACAAACAACCAACCUUUAAAACCAAUUUAGUCUAGACAUAAAGUUAAAAACCGUAGAAGAAUAUCAGGCACACAAAUCUCUGUGGAUUCGAUCCCUAAAUACUACAACUGAUUAGCUGUGCACUUGCGGCUUUCAUUUGUUUUGUUAAGGGUAAAACUUGUUCCCUCACGCAGUUGAUACGACAUCAAGUUUUUGGCGCCGUUGCCGGGGAUUUGUUUCGCUGCCUUUUGUUAUUUUUCUUGUUUUAACUUCUGUUCUAGACACCUGAUCUCUAGUUCUUUCUUAAAGUUUUGCUGAAUUAUCUUUCCCUUCUUUUGUUUUUCUCUGAAUUGCAUGAAUUCCAGGCGCAGACCUGUAGAAAACAUUCCAAUUCUAGACGAGAUAGACAGACACGAAAGAGAACUUCGAAGACUUAGACGAACGCAAGGAAUGGCCAACGACGACCAGCCUGGAGAUCCUAUUAAUCGAACUUUAAAUAUGGACCAAGACGGGUCCGAACAUGGAGAAAAUGAAGAGAAUGAUCACAGAGGAUGUGAUCAUGCUCGACAAGAUGGAGAGGAGGAUGAGGUUCCUCCAAGAAACCACCAGCCCACUUAUCUGAAGACCAAAGUCAUUCUCAGCCUCAAUUCUGGAACCCUAGAGACCAUGGAGUAUUGGAGACUAUAAAUACAUGUCAUCUAGGUCGUCUUUAGAGAGAACCCUUCAUACUUUACAGAAACCCUUUUCCUUUAGCCGUUUUUAUGAGAUUUUUGUAGAAGAUUGUUCAAGUCCGAGUUCUUCAAUAGAGAAGCUUUCUUUAUCUCUUUUCUUUACUGCUUUUCAUUACUUUUAUUAAAACCAAUGAUGAUGUCGAACUCAGCCAUGUCUGAGUAGAUCCCGAGUUGGGCUUAGGGUUCCCGAAAGGGGCUCUCAUAAUCGAUUAAGACAUCUAGGUUUAUAGAUCUGGGAUUUCGACCUGUUCUCUGUUUAUUCUUGUUCUUAUUGCAUGUAUGCUUGAUUGAUCACCUAGUAUCUGAUCUAGAUAGUUAGUGUUGCGAAAGUUUUCAUUAAGUAUCAGCCCUAGAAUGUAACAGGCGAUUUUUCCGUAGGAGUGGAAACCUACCUGCGGCGAGAUCGUGAGUAUUGACAAGUCUUGUGCAGCUCUUGCGUUCUCUCCCUUCCAGGGCCAGAGUGGGAACCUACUGGCCAGGGUUGCGAGAAACAGUUGGUUAUGAUCACGACAGUGACAUAAUCAUAC